AUAUUCCCAUUCUACCCUUGACAUUGCUCACUUUUUACAUGAUAGAGCAGGCAUUAGGGUUCUCAUCACUGAAGAUCUGAGGUGGGUAGGCAUACUGUUCCAUGAUCUGAGGUGGGUUUGCAUACUGUUCCAUGAUCUGAGGUGGGUAGGCAUAGUGUUCCAUGGCAUACCUUGGUGGGUAAGAAUAGUUUUCAUUCUUCUUCAUCAGCUCCACCACCUUGGUCUCUUCUGCGGCAGCUCCUUCCGGUGCACCACCAGCGGCCGCGGCGGCAGCUUCAUUGUUGUCACCUUUAUUUUCCUUGUUCUCUUCUGCUUUCGCUUCAUCGCCACCACCAUCUUUGCCCUUCUUAUCUUUGUCACCUACUUCACCACCUUUCUUCUCAUCUUUGGCUUUUUCUUUCUCUUUCUUCUCCGGUUCUUGCUUCACGAUCGCCGCGUGCUUCCCGGUUCUUUUGUGCACAUAAUCAACUAGCUUAGGCGGAUCAAACACACCCUUCACUGUCACCUCUGAGCUCUUAAGAUCUGCCUCAGCAGAUUCCACUCCUAAAAAAGUAAUACAAAAGAAAAGCACACAAACAAGAUUAAUUGGAAAAUCGCUCGAAUAAAAUAAUUAUUUUAAAAACAGAAACUUUUGGAAAUAAUUUAAAGUUGGGAUUGGUGGGAUUUGGUCUUGGAAGAGAAUUAAAUUGACUUUAAUUGGACUUGAUUUUUGUGAACUCUAGAAAUUAAUGAAUUAUAUUAUUGAAGAUGAAGAAUGAAUUGACAUUGAAAGAUUGGUCAUUAUUGAUAGAAUAAUAAACUCUUUUUUUAAAGAGAUUCACAAAAAAGAAAAUUAAUAAAAGUUCAGGACCGUUAAUUGCCAACGCAUCCAUACUCCAAAUUUCCCAUUUUUUAAUUUGUGGAAAGUUAGAAAAUGCUUGAACCAAAAUCUGAAAAAGGAUCAAAGACAUAAUCGUUUUUUUCUUUUUAUUUUUUGGGUUUUGUUCUUAUCUCUCUGAGAAAAGAAAACCAAAAUAAAAAUUUGAGUACACCUUUUAUUCUGAGAAUGCGUUUCUUGAUUUCUUGGGCACAGGCGUCGCAAUGCAUGUGAACUUUCAGCACCACUGUGAUUACCUGGGGCUGCAACAAAACAAAAAAUAAUUAAACCCAUCAAAUUGAAAGAAAAAAAAAUCAAUUAAAAUGGCAAUGGAAAAAAUUCUGCAAAAUGAUUAAAAUAUUUGAGUGGACUGAGAACCUCUUCUUUCUUUUCCUCUGGUUUGGGCUUCUCUUUCUCCUCCGCCGGCGGUUUUGGGAUUGGAAAGAGAAGCUCCACCUGCCGGUGGCUCUUCCUCUGAACUCUUUCAAGAACCUUAAUUGGUUCAGCCUUCUCUCCCUUCACCACCACCUUGUGAGUCUUGCAAUCUGUGCUCACAUCUUCCACCCCUGAAAAUUAAAAAAUUAAAUCAAACACAAAUUAAUCCCCCAACCCAAUAUUCCAAUAACGCAAACACAAAAACAAACCUUGAAAUCCUUUGAGGCACCGCUUGACCUUGCGAGCACAUCCCUCACAAUGCAUAUAAACUUUGAGCACAAUUUCUUGGGGUGGCGGCGGAGGCGGAGGAGCGGUGGCGGCAUCACCCUCCUUGGCCUCUGCUUUCCCAUCUUUUCCCUCCUCGGCUUUCUCCUUCUUUUGCUCGGCAGCCUCAGGCUUCUUCUCCUCCGCCUCUGGCUUCUUCUCCUCCAUUUUCUUCUCCUCUGGUUUCUUCUCCUCCUAAACCAACACAAACCCAAAUACAAAAACAAACCCAAUAAACAAAAGAUACAAACUUCGAGAGAAACAAAUCAUAUUAAAAAAAAUAUAUAUAUAUCAAAUCAAAAAUUGAUUAUUAAAGUUGUAGGACCUCCCCCAUUGGUGUAGUUCAAUUGUUAAGUUUUACUCUGUUUUUAAAAUCUCUCCUCUCUCUCUCUCUCUCUCUCUCUCUCUCGAUCUCUCGAGUGGCAUGGGAGCUCAGCUUUCUCUAUAUUUGCGAGAAAUGGGCACUCUCUCUUUUGUGUUUGUUUUUUUUGGUUAAAACUCUCUUUGUGCUUUGUAUUAAACUUUGAGUCACAUAUUUGGGUCCCUCAGAUCUGUAGCCAAAAGCCACUCGGUUCUAUCUCUCUCAUCAUCAUCCAACUUCUGCAAUUUUCUAACCCCAUGACGUGGCAUUGUUGAGUGCCCAUGUGUGCGCAGAAAUUAAUAUUUACUGCACUCUGUGAUUAAAUUGUUUUGUUUUUUGUUUUUUUGGGGCAUUUCUGGAAUAUUCUACCACUUGUUUCUGCUGUUUUUCUUUUGCUCUUGUUCCUUUCAAUGGACUGUACUUGGAUGCUUGCUUUGUCAUUUUGGCAGCUCUUCAUGUGUGGACUUCGAGUUAUUAGGGCACUUCUACUAUAGGAAGGACCAAGGGCGGAGCUACCAUGGGCCUAGAGGGGGCGGAUGCCCCCACUGAGAUUUUUCUGAUGCUGGCAUGCUCAUCUGUUUCUGCAGCAGCAAAGCCCCCACUGCGAUUUUGAGCAGCAGCAAAGCCCCCACUGCAAUUUUCUGGUUCCUCCGAUCUGGGUCUUUCUAAACCAGGCCAAAGGCAAAACGAACCUCUGCAGAAGCCUGAUCUGAUUUUUUUUUUUUAAUGUAAACGAAACGGCGUCGUUUCGUAUAUGUUUAAAAAAAAAAAGUUAUGUUAUAGUAUUAGUGGGGGACCAGACUCCCAUUUCUUUUUUUUUGUCUCCUAAAAAAGUUAUGUUAUAGUAUUAGUGGGGGACCAGACUCCCAUUUCUUUUUUUUUUUACUCCCUUUGUUUUCGUUGCCCUUUGUCAGAGAGCAGCUUGGUGCUGCUCUGUUUGUCUUCUCCAAAGUCCAAACCAAUACCUUGAAAGUUGCUCUCCUGUCCAGGUGCUCUCUGGAGCAAAGUUGCUCUUCCCAGCCAUGCCAGCAGCCAGCCAUUCUCUAGUCUCUAGCCGACAACAUAUAUAUAUAUAUUUAGGUAAAAUUUUUAAUUCCUAAAUCUAUAAUUCCUAACCCUAAUUAAUUAUUUAAGACGAAUUUUUGUUUAAUUGGUAUAGAAAUAUAGAAUCAUAUGGAUAUGGUAUGCACUAAUAUGGAUGGUUAUUGACUUAUUGAUUAUUGAUAUGAUGAAUUCUAUGAUUAUUGAUGAAUGAAAUUAUGAAAUUAUGAAUUCUAUAAAUAUGGGUAUACAUUUAUUCAAAUGAUUAGUUGAAUUAAAUGUUUAUUUGUUGAAUAAUUUGUAUGCUUAUUGGUAUUAGUUAAUUGAAUUGUUGCCUUGGUUGGAUAUGGAUUAGUUAUUAGGCAUUUAUUUUAUUUUUUGGUUAAGAAAGCAUAUAUAUUAAUAUGGAUAACAUUGUCAACAUCUCCAAGAAAACUCAAUUCUACGGCUUAACAGUCUAAAAACAAAUCCAUUUUUCAGAAAUGGAAUCAUAAUCAUCCCCUUUCGAAACCCAAAAAAGAAGAAGAAAUGGAUUAGUUAUUAUUAGGCAUAUUAGUAUAGUAUACUCUAGGAUUAAGAGUCUAAGAAUUUUAUUGAGAUUUUUAUUCUAUAAAUUCUACAAAUUACGUAUGAACCUUAUAUGUUAUUGGUAUAUGACUAACUUUGUAGGCUGAAACAUCAUGGAGAGGUUUUUCAAAAAAAUAUCAGUGCCGCCACCAUCCCCAAUUAUUGAGAAAAAUAAUGAUACUCGGGGACAUGAUAGUGCAGAAUUUAUUUUAUCAAAUCUUCCAUCAGAUCCUGGUAAGAGAAUUCGAAUUUUGGAUUACAAUCCUAAUAUUCGAGAUCAAGUACGAAGAGCGUAUGUACUAGCUGGUCCUCAACAACCUAAAACCCAUAAUUUUCCUUACAAGAAAUAUGGAGACACGCAAAGACGAUUCAACCCUGCUUGGUUUGAUGAUUUUCCUACUUGGUUGGAAUAUAGUGUAGAAAAAGAUGCUGCCUUUUGUCUGUGUUGCUACCUUUUUAAACCAAACAUUGGAGAACAAGCAGGUGGUGAUUUCUUUGUUGGCGAAGGAUUUUCUAACUGGAAGAAGAAAGAAAGACUUCUAACUCAUAUUGGAGGCGUCAAUAGUGCACACAAUCAAGCGUGGAGUAAUUUUGAAGCUUUAAGGAGUCAAAAGCAACAUAUCCAGUCUUUUUUCUCUAAAACUCAUGAUGAAGCUCGAAUUCAAUAUAGAGCUCGGUUGAAUGCAUCAAUUGAUUGUUGUCGAUUUCUUUUGAGACAAGGGCUUGCAUUUCGUGGUAAUGAUGAAUCUGAACAUUCAAGCAACCAUGGAAACUUUCUUGAGCUUCUACAGUUUAUUGCUGACCACAAUGAGGAUGUGAAAGCCGUUACUUUGAAAAAUGCUCCGGAGAAUCACAAAUUGACAUCACCAGAUAUUCAAAAAGACAUUGUAAAUGCUUGUGCAACUGAGACGAUCAAGGCUAUUAUUGAAGACGUUGGCACUUCGUUGUUCUCUAUUUUGAUUGAUGAAUCUCGUGACGUAUCAACGAAGGAACAAAUGGCUAUUGUAUUGCGUUAUGUGGACAAGAAUGGGCAUGUCGUUGAGCGUUUUAUUGGCAUUGAGCAUGUUACUAGUACCGCUGCUCUCUCACUCAAGGAAACCAUUGAUGGGGUAUUUUCUAGGCAUAAAUUGAGCAUGUCUAGGUUGCGUGGGCAAGGUUACGAUGGGGCCAGCAAUAUGCAAGGUGAGUUCAAUGGUCUUAAAGCUCUUAUUAUGAAAGAAAGUGGUUGUGCCUAUUAUAUUCAUUGCUUUGCACAUCAACUUCAAUUAGCUCUUGUAGCUGUGGCAAAGAAGAACAUUCAAAUUGAGUCUCUUUUUAGUAUAGUUACUAUUUUGGUAAAUGUUGUUGGAGCUUCAUCGAAGCGUUGUGAUCUUCUUCGGGAGAAGCAAUCUAUUGCAGUUAUUGAAGCACUAAACAGUGGUGAGUUUACAAGUGGGAAAGGCAAAAAUCAAGAAACUACUUUGAAACGUGCUGGAGAAACACGUUGGGGUUCACACUUGGGUACUUUAGUAAGUAUAAUGACUAUGUUUUCAUCCAUACUUGAUGUACUUGAAGUAAUAGCAGAUGAUGGAGUAAGCUCUCAACAAAGAUGUGAAGCGAAUAAUUUAUUGGAUUCCAUGCAAUCAUUUGAUUUUGUGUUUAAUCUACACUUGAUGAAAGAUAUACUUGGAAUAACCAAUGAAUUGUCACAAGCAUUGCAAAGGAAGGAUCAAGAUAUUGUAAAUGCUAUGAAGUUGGUUGGAGUUUGUAAGCAAAGGUUGGAGAUAAUGAGGAAAAAAAUGGUUGGGAUUCUUUACUCAAUGAAGUCUCAGAAUUUUGUCUUAAACAUGAUAUUGAUGUGCCUAAUAUGGAUGAUAUGUUUCUUUCUCGAAGGCGAGGGCAACGAAAAGCAAAAGCAGUCACAAAUAUGCAUCACUAUUGUGUUGGGAUAUUUUAUGUUGUUUUGGAUUGGCAGCUUCAAGAACUAAAUAAUCGUUUCAAUGAGACCAACACUGAGUUACUUCUUUGUUUGGCAUGUUUAUGUCCAGCCGACUCCUUCUCUGCUUUUGAUAGCCAAAAGCUAUUGCGUCUUGCCCAAUUUUUAUCCUAAAGACUUCUCUAUGAAUGAGCUGGUGAUACUUAAGAUUCAACUUGAGACUUACAUUGUGGAUAUGCGGUCUAGCAUUGAGUUUUCAGGUUUAAAAGAGAUUGGAGAUCUUGCAAAAAAAAUGGUUCAAUGCAAGAAACACAAGGUGUAUUCGCUGGUUUACUUGCUUGUGACAUUAGCACUAACUCUUCCAGUUGCUACUGCAACCGUUGAAAGAGCAUUUUCGGCCAUGAAAAUUCUGAAGAAUCGAUUGAGAAAUCGGAUGGGAGAUCAAUGGAUGAAUGAUAACAUGGUUAUUUUUAUAGAGAGAGAGAUAUUUGAUGGUAUUGGUAAUGAUGUUGUCAUGCAACGCUUUCAGAACAUGAAAACGCGUCGAGGGAUAUUGUAAAGGACUGUUGUAUGAAAAACUUUAUGGAUUAAUAUAUAAGUAUUGUGUUUAGUAAAUUCUUAAGCUUUUUAAUUAUGACUUUGUUGUUUGAGGAUGCCCCCAUUCACACAAAUCUCUGGCUUCGUCCCUGGGAAGGACCCCAGGAUAAUUGACAAUUAAAUCUCCUCUAUUGAAUAAUAAUCGUUUUUAAUAAACAGUAAUUGUCUUUUACAUCUUCAUCUUUAAACUGAAUAGUCAUGGCAAUAGGCAAUUAAAUAUUAUUUAAGCAAGGGGAAGAAAUGUUCAAUCUCCAGGAGGGCGAAAAUGAGAUGGAAGAGGAAGAUGAUGAGGAGCGUAAAAGGAGAGAUGACGAAGUAAGUAGUCAAAGAGCCUUAUAUUCCUGUCGAGUCAUCCAAGUUGUGGCUGAGAUCUUCAGGCCUAGCCAUUCCGCAAACAUCGAUGGAAUCAGGCAACGACGACGUAAGGAUCUCUUGGACGAUUAUUUUGUCUGUAACAGUGUAUUCCCUAAUAUGUGCUUUAGAAGUUGUUUUAGAAUUCAACGACAUUUGUUCGAUAAAAUCAUGAUUGUUGUUUGCAACCAUGAUUCUUACUUUGUGCAAAAGAAUGAUGCUUUUGGUGUCAUGGGUCUCAUUCUUAAGCAAAAAAUUACUACUGCUUUGCAGAUGCUUACAUAUGGAGCAUCUGCAGACCAAGUGGAUGAAAUAGCGAGGAUGGGGAAAUCAACCAUUCUUGAGUCCCUGAUAAGGUUUUGCUCCGCAAUCAAAUCUAUCUACACCAAAGAGUACCUCCGAAGACUUACGACAAUAUACUUGCAAAGGCUUCUGAAGAAGGGUGAGAUGCAAGGUUUUCCUGGUAUGAUUGGAAUCAUCAACUGUAUGCUUUAGACCUGGAAAAAUUGUCCAAGUGCAUGGCAAGGAGCUUAUGAGGACAGAAAAUGAGUAAAAAGUAUCAUUUUGGAGGCAGUGGCAUCAUUUGAUACAUGGAUUUGGCAUGCUUUUUGACAUGUAUCAUUCUUCACAACAUGAUUGUGGAAGAUGCGUAUGAUUAUGAUGUCAUUAAUGAAUUUGAGCUAGACCCGAUGAACAAUUCCAAAACAGAAAUAUAUUGUGCUCAUGAUGCCACUUAAGAACCUGUGCAACACGAGCCAUUAGAAAUGGAUGGACGUUACAAUGAAAAGCUCAUUGAACGACAUACUUCGCUCCAAUCCUCAUACUAUCACAAAUCCCAGCAAAUUGACUUGAUAGAGCACUUGUGGGGAUUGAAAAAAGCUCAAGAAACUUAAAAACAAGUUUGUGAUGGAAGAAGAAUGCUCUUAGUUUGUUUGGUGUGUUUUUUAAGUUCAUUUAGUGUGGUUUUUUUUUAUUUGGUGUGUUUAUGUUCUUUGAAUAAAGAUUUUCUUAGUUUAAAUAAAGUACCAAAUUAAAUAAAGAUACUCUUGGUUUAAAUAAAUACGAAAUUACAUAAAGUACCAAAUUAAAUAAAUACAAAAUACAACCCAAAGUGAUUGGAAAAUUAUGGGCUCCGAUUAUACAACAAAUUCCCUAGUCCUUCGUGAAUGGAAAAUCAUCACCUAACCAAUUUGUGGUGCUAGGACCAUCUCCACUUGCUCUCUCUUCUCUUGCACGCCUCUUUUGCACCAUCUUUGAAUUCCAAAAAUAUUUAGAAUUUGAUGAAAUCUACAGGCUCCUUCAUAGUUUCACGAUCUUGUUGGGCCCUUCUUUCUUCUUUAAGCUAUUCCCUUUCUUGCCUAAGUAGCUCUUUCUCUCUUAUUAGCUUGAAAUAAUCUCUCAGCAGAUACAGCUUUUGCCUCAUCUCUAACCUUAUUAGCCUCAAAAUUAACCAUUUCCCGUGCCAAAAUCAAAUCACCUUGGUGAGCAAGUUCUUCCAUAUAUUUUGCAUAAUUAUUCUUGGAAGCACUCCCUUUUCUCUUUGAAGCCUAAGCGGAUAACGGGUCGACACUGGCACUUGUUUAGGGGUCACUUCAGGCACUUGUUUUGUGUCGCUUUCAUGAACAUGCGAGUCUUGAUCUGGUGUAGAGUGUAGAGGGGUGUUGUUCAUGAUAACUUCUAAACCGACACAACUCUGAAUUUGGGACAAUCUUUGACAAUAUUCCAACAUUCCCACCGGUUGAAUGAUUUGAUUUUGUUUUUGGCAUUAUACCAAGUUUGUGCUUGAAGUGUCUACAAAAUGCGGGAGAAAAAAAAUUAUAAUCAAAGUAGCUAAUGUAAAUUUGGGUAUAGUACAAACAAAUAAAUAAUAUAUUGUUACCUGAUCCGCGUAAUUUUCCCACUUCGAAUAUUAGUACUAGCUUGUGUCAAGGUGUUUCUCCAAUGAGUAAACGGUUAGCUGAGUAUUCUCCAACAACUUGAGAGUGAUUGUUCCGUUCUUUUGCCACCAAUUUUCUCAAGAAAAAUGGAAUGAAUAUUGCUCCACAUUUCUCGCAACUGCAUCUCAUUACUCGUAAUCGGAUCAUGAGUAACUUCAACCCAACUAGAACACAACGUAAUAUCUUCAAUAAGCGUCCAAUUCAUAUCUAUAUCAUUAGCCUUUUUUUUUUUUGGAAACAAAAGUAUAUAUAAACUUUGAGAGAAAGAUUGGAAUGUGGUUGAAAGUAUUUGAGAAAAUAUGAAAUUGUAAGGUGGAAGAUAAUGAUAAGGUAUUUAUAGAAAAAUAAAAUCAAUUUUUAAAAAAGAAAAAGUUUAAUUUUUUUCGUAUUUUUUUAUUAAUUUUUAACUUUUUUAUUAACUUAAUUAAAUUUUUCCUUUUGAUUAAAGAAAAAUCCAACCCUCCAGAUUGUGCCAUGUGUCAUAAUAGUAACAUAUCAGAUUUUUUUUUUCUUUUUUUUUUCAUUGUUAAAGCCGAAAAAUGUGGACCAUUGAUCUGGAAUCGAACAACUGAGAUUGUGCCACGUCAUCUAGCCGUUGGGGGAGGUUUUACCGUUGGAAAUCCAAUGGUCCAAAAAAAUUAGCCUUUGAAAUCCGACGGACGAAAGGGUGCCACGUGGCACCAGUAACGAUAACAUUUCAGAGUUUAAACAGCGAGCCCCACCGACUGAAAUCUUGUCGGUGACGCGCCCCCACGCGUUGGUGUUAUGCACACGCCUGACGCAAUUUUUUUUAUAACAUAGCUGACAUCAUCCUGACGUCAGCCUUGCAUCACAUAGCCCUCAGGCACUCGGACCUUGGACUCACGCCUGCCCUUUCCCACGGGCUCCCCCUUAGCCCAAUUGCUCACAUGGGCUAGAGCAAGUUUGGGAGGCUAUUGGGUUGCUUUGGUUCCUUGUCCACCGGACUAUCUCUAUUCCUGGACUUGCUCUUAGAAUGGUGGGGGUGAAUUUCAUAGAGUGAGUGAGUCACUAAAAGAAUUUCCAGUAAUAUUAAAAAGUAUUUGUUUGACAAUCACUUGCAAGUCGCAUGUAUAUGUAAACUUGUGACGGAGUCGAUGAUGAAAAUUUGAUUGAGUAAAGUCUAAAUUUACUGCUCGUCUAUACUUAAUCAAAGAAUUGUAAUGAUUAUAGUAUUAUUAUUUGUCAUUACGCACCAAUGGAUGCACAAACUGACCAUCAAUAUGUAUAAGUAAACUUGGGUGUUGGGUUGGUGAAGGUUUAAUUGUGUACCAAGUAACGUCUAAAUUUAUAACUCAUUCCUAAUGCUUAUCAGUUCGGAACGUGACCACUUGUAAGGCAUGCACACAAGAAAAAUUAAAGUUAAAUAAACAAGCAUGAAAAUCAUUGUUUCUUAGUUGGUAAUCAAGGCUUGGAGAUUACAUUAGGCUUGAUCAUUAAAAUACCAUAACCUUUUUAGCGUUGACCGCCAAGUAAACUCGGGCGUUGCACCAAUGAAGAUUUUAUUAGGUAACAGAUAACGCCUAAAUUUACAGCUAAUUCCUAAUACUUAUUUCUUUGCAAUUUGACCACUUGUAACUUUGUAAGGCAUGCACAUAAGAAAAAAUAAAAAAUAAAAAACAUGUAAAUCAUUAUUUCUCAAUUGGCAUUCAAUUUUUUUUUAUAUUUAAUCAUUUUAGCUUUCACCUUAAAAUAAACUUAGGUGAUAUCUAAGUUUGAUUAAGAAGCUAAGUUUUUAACUAAUUUUUUAAACUCAGCCGAUUCAUUAGUGUGAAUCGCCAAUUUACUCCUAACCAUCAAUGUCUUUACAUUUUUUUUAAACAAAUGAUAUUAUCUACACUAAGAGAAAAGGGGUGGCUGCUAGCAAUAAUGUGGUUCAAAUUCAUUGAGUAAAGAGAAAUAUCACUAAACCCUUAUAAGUAAAGAAAAAUACUAUUAAACUGUAAUAUUAAAUGAUUCUCUACAUUUCUUUUAUAUCAUUUUAUGUUCGCUUGGGACACCAUGCCAAGGGAGGUGCCCUACACCUAUGAGAAAUUUGAUCCCACCUAUAGACACUUGGCAACGUAUAAACCCUAAUAAUAGCUUGAAUUGAACACAUUGGUGUUCGAGCACUUGUCAAAUUUUGAGAGCAUGCAAAACUAGAGGCCACAAAAACAAAACAUCUUUUGAAUUAGCUAAAGGCGUUUUAAGCAUUAGUUAACCACCCACCUAAAAAUUCAUUGUUUUAAUAUAAAAGAAAGAACGUAUGAAACGAAAUGGAAAAAUCAUGUUGUUCUAGUAGGUUGAUUUGAUUGUUUUUGUUUAUGCAUGUGGCUUUUGCUAGUUUGGUGAGACAGUAACCGAAUAGAAUUUUGAUGUGACAAACCAGGGGGUGAAACAAUAGAACCAACUAGCUCCAUCAAAGUUCUAAACAUAGAAAUUUAAAUAGGAUAGGGAUCCUCUCCAGAUUUCUUCUUCCUAAUUUACCAAAUCAGGAAAUCCGUGUAAUUUAAAUUAGAUCCAAUAGCUGAAGUUAUUAUAACUUUUAAAUGGCCCUCUGUUUGUGGCCGUUGAAUCAAAUUUCAAUAGCUCAGAUUCUCUAAUUUGAUGGAUUAUGAGGAUUGAAUCUGGAGGUGAUCCCUUUCUAUUAAAAUAUACAUUCAAAAUUUUAAGAAAGUCUUAUCAACAAUGCAUCCAAAAUAUUAAAUUCCUUUAUUUGUGGGAAUUAAUUUGGUUAAUUUUGUGACGGUCUCUAAGUAGCUCAAGUAAGAUGGAGUGAGAUUUUUACAGUAUAGAGAGCAGCUCAACACUUUACAAGCGCAUGUAAUGUUCCUUAAUUCUCUUAUGGAAGAUUUACUAUGCCUCUCACGUGUGACAUCAUGUAAGUCUAACAAGUUGACAAUACAUAUUUGUUGAUGUGAGAGCAAAAGCAAGUAGGCCAUCGGGCUUAGUAUGCAGCUAACCUCCUUUAAUACUAUGAAAUAAGUUGAGAUUUUAUGCUUAACAAUCAGGAGUAGCACAACUUAUUAUAAAUAAGCAUUUUAACCAAAAUGGUUCCUGAAAUUAGCAUAAAUCCUCACUUUGGUCCUUGAGAUUUGAAAUCGAUAGAAUUUGUCCUUGAGUUUGUCUGUCAUCAAUCAUUUUGGUCAUCCUGUGAAAAAUUUAUGUUAAAUAAGAACCAAAAUGAAAAAAUGCUCUCAAUUUAAUAAACAAUGAGCCAAUAUAAUUUGACAAAAAUUGAGAGUUUUUUUUUUUUUUUUUUGUCAUUUCAUCAUUAUUUAACGGAGAUUUUUUCACAAAAUGACUAAAAUGAUUGAUGGUGAACAAACUCAAGAACCAAUUCUAUCGAUUUUAAAUCUCAAGGACUAAAGUGAGAAGUUAUGUCUAUCUCAGGUACUAUUUUAGCUAAAAAAAUCUUAUAAAUAGACGUAAAAUUCCUUAAUUUUUCAUUGUAAAUUCACGCUCUCAACAUUAUUAAUAGUAAUCAUCUAUGUUAUUUUAUAGAUUACUUUGAUAUUUUCGUCCCCACCAAUUAAAGUGUAAAGAAAAGGUUAUAUGUACGUACCUGGAUGUAUACCACCAUACUCAACUGAUUUACCGAAAAAGGUGGCAUAUCUAAUGUUUUCUUUUAAGAAUUUCUCAAAACGAAUUCUCAAAAACGUUGCUUUCAGUAUAAAAAAAUUCUCAUCCACAGUCCAAUAGAGUUCAGAAAAUAUUUAAAUCCAAAGAGAAGGUUUGGGGAUUUCUCAAAACAGACAGUUAGCUGUGAUCAUGAAUAUUCCAUAUGCAUCAUCAAAUAGCUAGCUACUACCUAAUCGUGUUGCCUCCAAUAUGACAAGGAAUGGACCGAAACCUGACUACGCACUAUUAGAGCAUCUCCAAUAGAAGAUGCAAAAUAUAUUGGAAUUGUUGCAGUUUUAUUGGAUUGAGAAUGUAAUUGUGUAAAGUAUAGUGUAUUUAAGAGUAUCUUUGUAUAUUCCCUUUAGUAGUUUAAUUCCUAUUAGAGUUGUAAUCCUAAUAGGGUAAGGAUUUAAUCUUCCCUACUACUAUAAAUAAAGGCAUAAUGGGGUGAUACAAUACACACCUCAGAAUCACAUCUCUCUCUUCUCUCUCUGUUGUCGCCGGCCUCUCCCUCAAUGUCCUAAAUACAGUUCAGUCAAAUAGGCAUACAACACGUUAUCAGCAUGCCCUUGCCAGAAGCUAAGGAACUGAAGGAUCGUGGAUGAGGAUUUCUUCUACAACAUCAAAGGCUUUCAAUGAUUUUCUGCUAAUCAGGUUUUUCUAAAAUAAAUUAAGAUAUUUGAAAGAAAAAAACCUUGAAGAAUGAAAACAUUCCCCAUAAUGCAUGAACCCCCUAUAUUUAUAUUUUCUUUCCAAUUAUAUAUACUGCAUAUGUGUUCAUAUAUUUUGUCAAUAUAUAUACUUGUUCAUGCAAUACACAAUUAUGCUAUGUGGAAUUUGUGAGUCAAAGCAUUGAAGUUAAUUUAAAAGCAAUUAGGGUUUUUAACCCUAGAUUUCGAGAAAAAAAUAAAAUAAAAAAUCUAGGAUUUUUGCGACAAAAGUCGCGGCUCACCGUCGCGCCACAGCCAGCACCACCGCUGCCAUACCCCGUCGUUAACAUGCAGCCUAGCCGCAUAGAGCACCUUGGGAUGGCAUCGUUUCGAUGCCAUGGACCACUAAGUAGCAGCCUCAUGGGCUUGCUACCUCUGCACAGAUAACCAGGCUUCGACCUGGGUUGGGUUUCCAUAAGCCUGAAGCCCCGAGCCCACUAGCAAGCCUGCAGCCUUGUUGGACCAUCCCUUGCAACCUAGCCCAACCUGCUAGCAAGCUUUUGUGCUUGUUGGGCUUGUCCUCUUGCCCUGGCCCUCCUACAGCAGAUUUCUUGGCUGAUGGGUUUGAACUGUCACAGCCUAACCACAAAGUCAGCUUGGGCUACGCUUUGCAGCGCCUCAAACCAAAGCCAGCUUCGGUUGGGCUUGCUAGCGCUUUGGCCCGAGACCAAAUCAAGUCAGCCUUUGCGGUUGAGCUUACCCAGGAACAGCCCAUGGCCUGCAGCCAUGAUUUGGGCUGCCCAGUUGCAACCCGUGGCCUCUCUAAGCCCUUUUAGGGCCUUGGCUUGCUCACGGCACCCAAGCCCACCGUCAUUGGGCUAUGGUUUUUUUAAUCCAAUGCUAUUUUUGUCAUUCUUUAUAAUUUAACCUGAAUGUUAUAAUUAUUUUUGCUUCUACAAUCGAUCUUGUAUGGUCUGAUCUAUUGAAUUCAUUAAAGUGACCAACAAUCCAUUAAUCUGAAAAUUAAUCCAAAAUUAUUAGCAUGUAGCUCACUUUUUGAAAAUUAACAAUUCAAUAAAUUAUUUCGUUUCUUUGAAUCGUUGAAUAUCUUUCGUAAUCCCGAAGCACUCACACUUGGGGUCCUGAAACAAUCCACAAAUUCACUACACUUUAUUGUAUAUUGUAUUAUGUGUUCUUGCAGGUAUCCUUAUAUAUGAACUGAACGUUCAUAACUAAAUAGAACCUGUAGUUUCGAAUUUAGUGUCCUUGAAACUCGAAAUUUUCAUUCAAAACUUACCACAUGAAACCUGUAGCUUUCAUGCUUAAAUUAAACCAAUACAUGUCCAUAGAACCCGAAUGUUCUACGAUAUAUGUCUAUGGAUUUCCAUAUGACUAACCAUGUUUUGUUGUAACCUCCGUUUUAGGGACAUGUCGAACUUGAACAAGCUCAAAUUCACCGCUCUGGAAGUCUCUGGAAAAAACUACCUGAAGUGGGUUCAAGACAUGAAACUCCAUCUUACUGCAAAAAGUCUUAGAGCUACUAUCGAGGAACCAAUAAAUGAUGAAGCCGUCGAUGAAACUCUGAAAGUUACUACUAUGAUCUUCAUUCGCAUACACACCCAUGAUGUACUACAGACCGAGUACCUCGCAGAGAAGGAUCGACGUACAUACCCUCUGGCUUGCUCUAGUCGAUCGCUCCGAUCACCGAAAAGACAUUUACUUGCUUGAAGCAAGACAUGAUUGGCAGCAUUUACGUUUCCAAGACUUUAAGUCAGUGAAUGAAUAUAACUCUGAAAUUUGUAGAAUUCGAUCACUACUUAAGUUCUGUAACGAGGACUUAACCGAACAUGAUCUCCUAGAAAAUACCUAUUUGACCUUCAAUGUCACCAAUAUUGUCUUGCAACAACAAUAUAGGGCAUAUAAGUUCGCCAAAGUUUUAGAUUUGAUAUUUAUUUUACUUCUCGCUAAAAGCAGAACCAGCUUUUAAUGAGAAAUCAUCAAGCUCGACUUACUAGCUCGAACGCUGCGUCUAAAGCACAUGCGACCAAUUCUAGCAGCCACAACUAACAAAAAUCUCAUCGUGGUCGUGGAAAUGGGCGGUAAGCCCCACCAUGGGCCCAAAGUCAACAAAUAGAGGCCCACCCAAGUGAGGAAAUUUGACCUAAAAUGUUAACCCCUUGCCUUUAAGGCCCCAAACUUCAAGAAUAAGGGAAAAACUACCAUUCAAUCGGCUUCCACUGAACUGGACAUGUGAUAUUAUUGUGGAUCAAAUGGUCAUUGGUCAUGCAUCUGCUAAGCUACCCCUGAGGCGAUUGCCAAGUAUCAUUCCCUCGUGAGGCUAACUUUGUGCUUGUAGAACUUCCCGAAGAUACUACUACCACCCUGGAGGUUUCAGAUUUUCAUGAGGCAUCCACUCCCAUGGAAGAAUAAAGUUUUAUUUUUCUAAGACAUGUUAGGCUGUUUUACACCCCUAGUGGCCGAACCCAUUAGGAGUGGCCAAACCCCCUACAUUUUAGGUUUAUGGUUUAAUUUUCAGACAAUUUUUCUAAGUCUUUGGAAUUAUUUGUUUGGUUUUGGUUUGUUUUGAACUAUGGAUAGUUAUUUUAUGUAUAUUAUUUCUCGACUUGAUUAAUUGAAUGAAUGGAAUUAUAUUUAUGCAUGUGACCAAUUUAAUUUAUUUAUUUAUAGGUAUGACUAGUGGAGAAGUUAGUUGUCUGGCUGAUAGUGCCACCAUGCACACCAUAUUGCGUGAGAAACACUAUUUUACUAACUCAUACCUAAAAAUGCACCUCUGAAAACAUUCUCAGGCCCAUCCAACCUGAUAGAAGGAUACAUAAAGGCUUGUAUUAUGUUGUCCAAUGGUACUGAAUUAACCAUUAAAAAGGCACUCUAUUAAAAGGCAUUAUUUGUAUCACUUCUUACGAAUAUGGCCAGAAGCGUACUCACAAUAAGCUGGAAAAUCUCCCGAGUGGGUUGUACAUAACAACCAUUCGUGUCAUCGAUACCCAUCAUGUGGCCAGCCUUAUAGCUGGGUUCCAGAGUAUUCUCCUGUUUUGGCAUGAUCAAAUGGGACACCCCGGAAGAGAUAUGAUGCACCGUAUCCUUAAAGUAUCACAAGGGCAUCACUUGAAAUCUUAUCCUGGUCAACCACUUUGCAAAGCAUGCUCUUUGGGGAAGUUGAACAUUCAACCUUCCCUUACAAAGAUUAUUCACGACCCCUCUAUGUUUCUUUAGAUGAUUCAAAGGGAUAUUUGUGGACCUAUCCAACCAACAUACGGACCAUGUUUGCUUAUUAUUCACAUGCAAUGCUGCAUUUGCGAAACUCCUAGCACAAAUUAAUAAGCUUAGGGUUCACCACCCUGAUUAUCCGAUUAAGUCGAUUCGACUAGAUAAUGCGGGAAAGUUUACGUCACAGACUUUUGACGAUUAUUGCAUGUUUAUUGGGAUUGAUGUUGAACAGCCUGUACCCCAUGUUCACACCCAAAAUGGCCUGGCAGAAGCUUUCAUAAAGCGCCUUCAAACGAUAGCUCGGACUUUGGUUAUGCGAACCAACUUGCCGGUAUCUGCUUGGGGCCAUGCAAUAUUGCACGCAACUAUAUUGGUCUAUCUGAGGCCCACCACUACCUAACCUCAUUCACCGUUACAGUUGGUUAUUGAAUAUGAGUCUGACGUCUCACAUUUAUGUGUGUUUGGGUGCGUAGUCUAUGUGCUAAUAGCACCGCCACUACGUACCAAAAUGAGUCCUCAAAGAAAAAUGGGAAUCUAUGUCGGUUAUGAUUUGCCAUCCACUAUUUGCUACUUAGAACCCUUGACAGGAGAUUUAUUUACCGCACAUUUUGCGGAUUGUCACAUCGAUGAGACAGUCUUCUCGUCGUUAGGAGGAGAUAAGAUCACUAAAGUUCUUGUAGAACGCCGCGAAUUGUCGUGGAUUACUCACAUUAUGUCUCAUUUGGAUCCCUACACCCCUCAGUCUGAAAUUGAAGUGCGAUGUAUACUAGAUCUUCAGAGCAUCACCCAAAGCAUGCCGGAUGCUUUUACUAAUCUAGCAAAGGUGACGAAAUCACAUAUACCCGCUGCCAAGGUAUAAAAUAUCGAUGAUAUCGGAAAUAUCGGUAGUCCAAAAAUACGGAAAUAUUGAUGGAAAUAUCGGGAUAUUAUCAAUAUCAAUAAAAUUGAAUAAAAACCACGGAAAUCGUAAGAAAAACUUGGAAAUUUUUAUUGAAACUUUGGAGAAUGUUUAUUUAGUCAAUUAUCUAUUAGUUUAUCAAAAAAAAUUAGAAUGAAAUGCAUUACAUGAUGGAUUUAACUGAUUUAAGUUGAUUAUACAGCGAGCUGGCAAACACUGUGAGUAUAGAAAAUAUGUAGUAAUUAAUGAAAAAAAUUAAACACACCAUAAUCAUUUAUAUAUAAUGAUUUACUACAAUAUUUUACAUUUUAUACAUUGCAUGGUAAGAUACAUGAGUGAUUUAGUACCACAUAAAGUUCCUAUGAGGUUCAAAUUUUUCACUAUCUUCAUCAUCUCUAUGUGUAGAGUAAGUUUAUUGUGAAGAGUAUUCAUCAAAUGAUAAAUCCUCAAAAUAGUUUUGCAUGUAAUUGUUAACAUGUCACUCAUAUAAAUUAAUAAAUAUAAAUAUUUUAGCAUAUUAUCACUAAAACAUAAGUGAUAUAUCGUGGUUAAGGUGUUGGAGGAGUAAAAUGGGAGGGGUUCAAAAUCCCCUUUGUGUUUUUUUUCCUCCUUUUUUGCCCUUUUUUCUUCUUUUUCCUUUAAACUUUAAAAGAUCACACAAAAAAUCAAUGAUUCAUAUCAUUGUACAAGACUACAAGAUGAGAAUGAACAUCUCGAGGACAAUAUGAAAAUAUUCAAAAUAGAAAGUUUCAAGUGGUGUAUUGCCCUAAUGAAGAAGAGUUGUAUUCGAAUUAAAAUAAGGUUGUGGUAUCGACACACCUAUUUUUUACACACUACACUCAAUUUUCAAUUGAUCGGGAUCAAAUGAAAUUAAACAAGAUCUAUGAAAAAAUUAACAAGAAUAUAUGCAAGGUACAAAGUGUGUGUGGAAAACGCUACAUUUUAAAAAAUAAUCUCACUAUGUGGAGUAAACAAAAUAAUAACAAAUAGAAGAAUAAAAAAAUAUGUCACCAUUUCUUUCUUCCCUACCCUGCACGUGAGGUCAGAAGGAUGAUUUUAAAAUCUGCCACCUUCUUUUCGUCCUUCAUAAUAUCCCCCUCCCCAUUUCUCUUUCCCCAUCGCCCGUCCAAGCCUCUCCUCUCCGCUCUCUCUCUCUAAAAACCACAACUUUUUCUUCCUUUCUCUCUCUAGAAAAACCACACCCUCCAUUUUUUCUUUCUUUCCAUCUAUCUAUAUCUCUGAAAGAAAAAAAAAACAGAAGAAAAAAAAAGGGAGGAAGAGAGAGAUCGAUCGAUCGAUCAGAAUCUGAGUGAAAAAAAUGGCACAGAUAGCCGAGAAGGAAGAGACGGAGUUCAAGGUCCCCGAAACUCUAACGCACUGCAUCAACAACUGCGCGUCACCGGUAAUCCCUCCACCAACAACUUGUGCAAAAGUGCUUCAACGCCGCCACCACCUCAUCGUCGUUUUCGUCCAUGGCGAUUUUAAAGUUUUCUGCGGAGAAAAGUCCGAGAUCUACCUCAUCCUUCAGCUUCGAGGCCCCGACCGAGACCUUCCGGAAGACGACGACGUCGGAGAUCGCGAGAUCAGAUGAAUUGCUGAAUAGGCGCGUGGUCAAUCGGUGCUCCGAAUGCCAGAGAAAGGUCGGGUUGAUCGGAUUUCAGUUUCAUCUCGCGAUAUUAUCGAUAAUAUCGAUAAUAUCACGAUAUAUUUCCCAAAUAAUGUAUUAAAAUGUUGAAAAUAUCGUUUCUGAUAUUAUCGCGAUAAUAUCGACGAAAAUAUAGAUAUAUUGACGAUAAUUAAGUGGAUACGUAUGAAAAUAUCGUCUUCUAAAAAAAAUGAUAUUAUCAGCGAAAUAUCACCGAUAAUAUCGAUAUUUUGGUCAUUGCCCGCUGCAAAUGCACCUGUAAGGAUGGACGUACUUAACGUACGUCGUAACAUUGCCUUGGAAGGCCGAAUCGUCCCCGAAGGUAAGGCAGCCGCACCUCCCACAUGGCAGGUACACUAUUGGCUAACCAAUCACCUGCUCCUACUCUGAAGUGUGGCAAGCCCCAUGGUUCUAAGGAUUCACAACCCCAAAAAAGGAAAACUGCACAAACUAAUGACCCUAGUCUGAAUCUGACCAUUGCUUACUCAUCUGUUCCAACGUAUGAGGUUAUUCAAGAUUAUGGUGAUGUCUUAAAUGAGACAUACCAGUCUCCUAAGAAUCGCGAGAUUUCGAUCCAUUACGCAGUAUUAGAUGAGGUUUGGAAUCGGAAUGAGAUGAUUGUCAAUGAUGCAUUCACGUAUACCGUUGCUUUCAACAUCAUGCUUAGCGAUGACAUUGAACCAUGUUCCGUUGAUGAAUGUCGACAUAGAACAGAUUGGUCAAACUAGAAACAAGCAAUCCAGGUCAAACUCAAUUCGCUCGCAAAAUGUAAGGUGUUUGGACAUGUACCUCUUACUCUACCACAUGUGAAGCCUAUGGGCUAUGAGUGGGUUUUCGUAAGGAAACAUAAUGAGAAGAAUGAAUUAGUGUGAUACAAAGCACGCCUCGUAGCUCAAGGCUUCUCUCAACUCCCUGGAUUGAUUACAAUGAGACGUUUCCAAAAAAAACUGAAUAUGUAGCUUAUGGACGUGGUAACCGCGUAUCUCUAUAGGGAUCUAGAUACGAAAAUGUACAUGAAAGUUCCAAAAGGACUUCCAUUAAAUGGUUCAAAUAGUUCUAGACCAUGGAACACUCUCUCAAUUAGAUUGGGGAGGUCACUCUACAAAUUGAAACAAUCCGGGCGGAUGUGGUAUAACUGUCUGAGUGAAUAUUUGACAAGUCAAGGUUAUGUGAACAAUGAACUAUGCCCAUGCGUGUUCAUCAAGAAGUUAUAUUCCGGAUUUGUGUUCAUUGCAGUUUAUGUCGACAACAUAAACCUCAUCGAAACUCUCAUAGAGCUUGAGGUAAUUGCCGCUCACUUGAAAUCAAAAUUUGAGAUGAAAGAUCUUGAGAAAUCACGAUAUUGUCUCAGCGUGGAGAUCGAGCAUUGUUCGGAUGAAAUCCUAAUACAUCAAUCGAACUACACCGAGAAAGUGUUGUGACGUUUUAAUAAAGAUAAAGCAAAGCCUUCAAGUACUCCUAUGGUUGUUCAGACUCUAGAUGCAAAACAAGAUCCAUUCCAUCCCAACGAGGAUAAGGAAGAGAUUUUGGAGCCUGAAGUUCUAUACCUAAGUGCAAUCGGUGCUUUAUUGUACUUGGAUCAAUGCACCAAACCCGAUAUCUCCUUCCUUGUUAAUCUUUUGGCUAGAUACGACAAUGCGCCUAUACGCAGACAUUGGAAUAGUGUUAAAGACAUUUUCCGUUACCUCAAGGGUACGACGGAUUUAGGCUUAUUCUACACCCACGAAUCCUUGAGAUGAGUCGCCGCCCCCUCGAUCCUCGAGUUGAUUCUUGCCUCGUUGAUUACGCAAAUACUAGUUAUCUGUCUAACCCACAUAGGGCACGUUCUCAGAUGGGCUAUGGCUUUACCGUUGGAGAUACCACUGUAUCUUGAAAGUUUACCAAGUAAACACUAGUUGCAAUUCUUUGAACCAGCUGAGAUUCUCACUUUGCAUGAAUCAUCGCAUGAGUGCUUUUGGUUGAGAACAGUCAUGGAACAUAUUCGAAGCAUUAGUGGUCUUACUUCCGUCAUUGACUUUUCUACGAUGAUCUUUGAAGACAAUGCAGCAUGUAUCGAGCAAUUAAAGAAGGGAUACAUUAAGGGAGACAACACCAAGCACAUAUCGCCGAAGUUCUUUUAUUCUCACCAGCAACAACAACAUCAGAACAUUGAAGUCAAGCAAAUCUGUUCCCAAGACAACUUGGCUGAUCUCUUCACCAAGUCAUUGCCUAAGUAUACUUUUCGUAAGCUCGUCCAAGGAAUCAGUAGCGUAAAUUAUCUGGGUUGAAUUGCUUGUAGUUCUUUUAUUUGGAAGUUAUGUUUAACUCAAGGGGAGUAUUCUAAAGCAUGAUCACUUGAUCUUAAUGUACUAUUUUUCCUACGAUUAGGAGCAUUUUUCCCACUAUGUUUUUGCUACCUAACGAGAUUUCAACAAGGCACCCAUCCUGGGAUGAUCAUACUCCAUUGAGUUCACUACUUUCAUCCUGUUUUAUGUUUGUUUUAAGACAUUUUGCAUACUUCUCACUUUUCUCCUUAGUGUAUGAGUUUUCACCUGGCUUAGGUUUUAUCAUAGAGAGGUUUUGUAAGUUUUACUACCAAUGCAUACUUUCUUUUAAAUUUGAGACUCGCAUUCACCCGUUGUGUCAAUGACUUUAUCAAUUGUUCUACCUUAUCUACUGAAGAUCUGAUGCAAUGUUUUGUUUGAGUAUUUACACACUCAAAGGGGAGUGUUGCAAUUCUAUUGGAUUAGGAUUGUGAUUGUGUAAAUCCUAGUGUAUCUAGGAGUAUCUUUGUAUAUUCCCUUUAGUAGUUUAAUUCCUAUUAAAAUUGUAAUACUAAUAGCGUAAGGAUUUAACAUUUCCUACUACUAUAAAUAAAGGCACAAUAGGGUGAUACAACACACACCUCAUAAUUACAUCUCUCUUUUCUCUCUGUUGCCGCCGGCCCCUCUCCCUUUCUGUCCUAAAUACAGUUUAGUCAAAUAGGCCUACAACAUAAAUGAGUAUUUUUCAUUUUUCUUUUUGUUGACAAAUUCUUCGAAUACGGAAUAUAAAUGAUUCAUUUUUGCAGGAAUAUGUAAAUAAAAAUUUAAAUUUACAUUCUUAUUUACAUCUUUUGGUGAUGGGUCCGACUAAUCAAAUAAAGAAUUUAAAUGGGAUAUCAAAUUUACAUCUCUCAAUAGGGAAGAACGUUCAUUUACAUCUGCCAAAAAUAUAAAAUAAGAUGUAAACAUGGUUCUUACCUCUCAAGUUUACAUUUUUUCAUUAGAGAUGCAGGAGAUGCAAAAUACAUUGGAAUGAGUAUUUUUCAUUUAUUUUUUUGUUGACAAAUUCUUCGAACACGGAAUAUAAUGAUUCAUUGUCCUGGGAAUAUGUAAAUAAAAAUCCAAAUUUACAUUCUUUUUUACAUCUUUAGGUGAUGGGUCCGACUAAUCAAGUAGGGAAUUUAAUGAGAUAUCAAAUUUACAUCUCUCAUUAUUAGGGAAGAACUUUCAUUUACAUUUGCCGAAAAUUUAAAAUAAGAUGUAAACAUGAUUCUUACCUCAAGUUCACAUUUUUUUUCAUUAGAAAUGCUCUUAACUCUUGUGAGAAGAAAAAAAAAUCGGACACCAAUCUGAAAAAUAGUAAGACGAAACACAUCACUAAACAUUUUUUGCCAUUUAUAUUAGUUUUUGAAUCGAGAAUUUGAAAAGAAAUUUACCAAAAUUUGGUAUCCCAUAUCUUAAAAAACUGAGUGGAUUAGUGUAUUGUGACUCGUGAUUAGUAUUAAUCAAAUAAAUAAGAGUAUCAAAUAGAUACGGAAGGACAUGGAUCCUCUCUAGAUCCAAUUGUCCUAAUUCUAAGAAUCAAUGACUCCGGACCAUUGAAAUUUGAUCCAACGGUUAAAGUUAUUAUAACUUUUAGAAUGUGUCCCUAUUUAUAAUCGUUGAAUUAAAUUUCAAUGGUUUAGAUUUAUUGAGCCCUAGAAUUAAGAUAAUUGGAUCCGGAGAUGAUCCAUGUGCGAUACGGAACGCUCCAAAGGGUGGGCAAUAAUGUUGACAUGGAUGGCACAAAAUGGUGGUGACUAGAAUGCUGUGCGAUAUGGGAAUUAUUGGAGGAGACGUUUGGCUCAGUUUUUACAAGAUAAGUUCUGUGACGUGUUUAGUGCAAAUUUGACAUGACUGAUUUGAUAUUGCAUACGGUUGUGCUUUCAGACUUGAUAUAUCUUUAGCGAUCUAAUUGCUUUGUUAAGCUCUAAGAUUGGAGGAGAACGUUUGAAAAUCUCAAUCGAAUCCUUUUGGUCUGUGAUGUUUAUAUUAGAAAUUUUAAUCAAAUUAAUUUAUGGAGAGUCAUUAUUUGACAAGAAAUAUUUGCAUCUCUUAUCUCCUUUUUUUUCCUUUUUGUCCGGACAUUUGUAGCCAUUUGUACAUAUCAUCUCAAUCUUUUAUUGUGUACCUUUUCUUCGUUGUGUUUAGAUAUUAUUCAUGCAAUCAUGAUGAACAAACAGUUUCCCACCAAAUACGAAAAUACUUCAUAAAUCCUCCAGUUUCCCACCAACAAUGAGGGUGUAAUGCACCUUGACAAAAAAAUGCAUCAAACGAUAACCUUAAUGCAUAAGCGAAUUGAAAUUCACCAAAAAAAAAAGAGAAAUUAGGUUCAUAUUCUUCCUACUCCCUUAAUUAAAAUCUUAUUCAUUUUCAAUUUUUGAUCAAGAUCCUUAGGUAUUAAUAACAUUAUUAAUUAUUUGAAUAAUAAAAUAUUUUUAUUUUUAAACAUAUUCAUUUAGUGUUAAAAAUGUUACAAUUAGUAUAUUUAUAUUUAUGGCUAAAUUUUUUAUCAUAUAUUUUUAUUUUUAGUUUGUACCAAUUUUUUUUUCAUUUUUAAUUUGUACCCAUAUAUUAGUUUCUUUUUGUGCCCAUAUUUUUUAAUGUUUUAUUUGUGUUUGUAUCCAUGUGUAUACUGUCACGUGACAUUGUAUAUUUAACCAAUAAUAUAAAAAUUAAAUAUAGUAUAUUUAUGUUUUAUGCCUAAACUUUGUAUCAUAUAUUUAUAUUUUAGUUUGUACCCACUUUUAAUUUGCAACAUUUUUUUUAAUUUGUAGUAUUUUCUUUUUAGUUUUAUUUUGUACCAAUGUAUUAAUUUCUUUUAGCGCCUAUAUUUUUUAAAAAUUCAUUUGUACUCAUAAUUUUUUUAAUAUUUUAUAUGUACCCUAAUUUAUUUAUAAUGUACCCAUUCUUCUUUAUUAAUGUAUCACUUAGUUAUAUGUGAAAUAUACCAAUUUUUUUAACACUAUGGAUACAUUCUUUUGCCAUUUCUUAUUUCUUAUUUUUACAUAGUUUUUAUCCAUUUAUUCAAUCAAAAUGCUUAACUCCGCCUGUGUAAAUUUAUUUUACAUUGCCGGUCCCAAGCCCGGAUAAAGAAGGAGGGGGAAGGCGUCAAGUAGUCGACAGCCGGCACUCCUAGUUUACGUCGAAUCCUUAUGAAAAUGAAUCCAGAACGAAAUCGCGCUAAAGUUAGGGCGUCACCCGUAAGUGGCGCACUGUGUGGCCCGAGCACAGUGAUAAGUGAGUAAGGGUCGUUGUAUCUCCAUCGGCACCCGGAUGCAGUGUUAAAUGAGCAAGGGGGCCAUAGAAACUUCUUUUCGAACGACUUCACUCAAAGUUGUUUGGGAGCAUAUGCUCCUAUCAACUUUACACAGGACACACAAAAAAAGUAUUUUGAUCCUAUUAGACGGGGGAGGUUGAAGAAGCUAGGACAGAAGGGUAGAGUUCAAGAUAGUAGAAUGCAUUUAGGAACCCUAACGGGAAAAUCUAUGGAAGUAGUGGAAGUUAUGGUGAGGAGAAGGAUAAAUAUUAUGUGCCUACAAGAAACUAAGUGGGUUGGUCUUAAGGCAAAGGAUCUAGAAAACUCAAGGUUUAAACUCUGGUAUUCGGGCACAAAUAGAACGAGAAACGGUGUUGGCAUCAUCGUGGACAAGACCUUGACACAAGAUGUUGUAGAUGUCAAGAGGGUAGGAGAUAGAAUCAUGGCAAUCAAGAUUAUAAUAGGACAAGAACUCAUCAAUGUGAUUAGUGCGUACACACCUCAAGUAGGGUUGGAUACGAGUUCGAAGGAGAAAUUUUGGGAAGACCUUGGAGACUUGGUGCAAGGAAUUGCUCAGACGGAGAAGUUAUUUAUAGGAGGAGAUUUAAAUGGACACAUGGGCAAGGAGACAGACAACUAUGGAGGUUUUCAUGGUGGCCAUGGUUUUGGGGAGAGAAACGAGGAUGGGGAAGCUAUCUUGGAUUUUGCGAUGGCAUAUGAUCUAUUCUUAGCCAACACCUUCUUUAAGAAGAAAGAAGAACAUGUGAUCACCUACAAGAGUGGGUCGUCAAAAACACAAAUAGAUUUUCUUCUAAUGAGGAAAGGGAAUCGUAUAACUUGUAAGGAUUGCAAAGCUAUACAGGGAGAGAGUUUGGCUAAUCAACAUUGCUUGUUGGUGAUGGAUGUACAUAUCAAAAGAGUGAGAAAAAAGAACAAGAUUUGGAAGUGCCCAAGGACUAGAUGGUGGAAUCUAAAAGGUGAAAAACAAGCCAUUUUCAAAGAGAAAGUAAUCACCCAGUGUGUGUGGGAUAGAGAGGGGGAAGCUAGCCAAAGGUGGGAUUCCAUGGCUAGUUGUAUCCGAAAAAUAGCAAAAGAGGUAUUAGGAGAGUCCAAGGGCUUUGCUCCACACCAAAAGAAAUCUUGGUGGUGGAAUGAGGAGGUACAAACAAAGGUGAAGGCUAAGAAGGAAUGUUGUAAAGCCUAAUACAAGGAUAGGACCGAUGAAAAUGGUGAAAGGUAUAGAAGAGCGAAGCAAGAGGCGAAAAAAGCUUUGAGAGAAGCUAAGUUAAUGGCUUAUGACGAUAUGUAUAAACGACUAGAUACCAAAGAAUGAGAGUUGGAUAUCUAUAAACUAGCUAGAGCAAGGGAAAAGAAGACAAUGGACCUAAACCAAGUGAGGUGCAUCAAAAAUGAGGAUGGAAAGGUUCUUCCUACAGAGAACGCGGUCAAAGACAGAUGGAGAGGUUAUUUUCAUAAUCUUUUCAAUGAAAGACAUGAAAAGAGUACUUUUUUAGGGGAGUUGAGUAACUCAGAAGAGUGUAGAAACUACUCAUUUUAUCGUCGAAUCAGGAAGGAAGAAGUGGUUGUAGCUUUGAAGAAGAUGAAGCAUAGAAAAGCAGUGGGCCCAGAUGAUAUAUCGAUCGAAGUGUGGAAAGUCUUAGGAGAGACAGGUAUAGCAUGGCUCACUGACCUUUUCAAUAGGAUUUUGAAAAUGAAGAAGAUGCCAAAUGAGUGGCGAAAGAGCACUUUGGUGCCUAUCUACAAGAAUAAGGGUGACGUACAAAAUUGCAUGAACUAUAGGGGUAUUAAGCUAAUGAGUCAUACAAUGAAGCUCUGGGAGAGAGUCAUUGAGUAUAGAUUGAGGCAAGAGACACGGGUUUCGGACAACCAAUUCAGGUUCAUGCCAAAACGCUCAACCAUGGAGGCAAUCUAUCUCUUACGAAAAUUGAUGGAAAGAUAUAGAGAGGGGAAAAAGGAUUUAUACAUGGUCUUUAAAAAUUUGGAAAAAGCUUAUGAUAGGGUCCCUAGAGACAUUCUCUGGAGGAUUUUGGAGAAGAAAUGAGUACGAGUAGCAUAUAUCCAAGCUAUAAAGGAUAUGUAUUAAGGAGUAAAAACUGCCGUAAGAACUCAUGAAGGACAAACCGAAAGCUUCCCCAUAACUGUAGGAUUACAUCAAGGCUCAUUCUUAAGUCCUUACCUUUUUGCGUUGGUAAUGGAUGAGUUAACAGGACAUAUUCAAGAUGAUAUUCCUUUCUGUAUGCUUUUCGCAGACGAUAUAGUAUUGAUAGAUGAAACUCAUGAAGGGGUAAAUGUGAAGCUUAACCUUUGGAGAUAAGUGUUGGAAUCUAAAGGUCUUCGCCUAAGCCAAUCGAAGACAGAAUAUAUGGAGUGCAAGUUCAGUGCAAAUGGAGGCCAAAAUGAGUUAGGGGUGAGGAUCGGAGAUUAGAAAAUACCAAAGAGUGACUGCUUUCUCUACCUAGGAUCUAUCUUGCAAAAGAACGAAUAAUUAGAUGAAGAUCUCAACCAUAGAAUACAAGUUGGAUAAAUGAAGUGGAAUAGUGCAUCCGGCGUGUUGUGUGACUGUUGUAUGCCACUGAAGCUCAAGGAAAAAUUUUAUAGGACGGCAAUAAGGCCGGCGAUGCUGUAUGGAACAGAAUGUUGGGCGGUGAAGCAUCAACACGUACACAAAAUAGGUGUAGCGGAGAUGAGGAUGCUUCGUUGGAUGUGUGGGCACACGAGAAAGGAUAAGAUUAGGAAUGAGGAUAUCCGAGGUAAAGUAUGAGUAGCCGAAAUUGUAGGAAAGCUGAGAGAAAAUCGGUUACGGUGGUUUGGACAUGUGCAAAAAAAGGCCUACUAACGCUCCGGUUAGAAGAUGCGACUACGAGAUAGAGGUUCAAGGCCGAAGGGGUAGAGGAAGACCCGGGAAAACUUUGGAAGAGACUCUAAGAAAAGACUUAGAGUAUUUGGAUCUAACGGAAGAUAUAACAUAGGACCGAGCACAAUGGCGUUCUAAGAUUCAUAUAGCUGACCCCACUCAGUGACUUGGAUUUUUCAAGUCUCCAACGGAGAAAUUUUCCUCACUCGAGAAAUUAAGGGAACACUACCUCAACCUACAUGCUUCACUCACAAAGCUUCAACAUACAAGCUUCAACAAAAGAAAAAUUCAAAAAACUUAGUGAAGAAACUUUGGUGUAUUUAACACAAUACGUUGAAAUGAAGCAAAGCUUAUUUAUUGAUAUCUCCGAUAAGUUACAAAUAUGUACAUAUACAUGAGUCAAAAUAAACAAACAAGAGGGGGCCUUCACAAAGGUUGCUUAGGAGAAGUCUCAGCAGUCGGUAGAGCUCCAGAAAGAGAAGGCACUGGAGAGUGAUCACUCGGAGCCUCAGUACUGGAUAGAACCCUAGAAGGAAGAGGCAUCGGAGGCUGAUCAUUUAGAGUUUCAUUACGCGAUAUAGCCCCAGAAGACAAGGCAAUAAAUGCCUUUGGAACAAACCCACAAACCUCUGAUGAUCAAGUAAAAUCUGACCAUCAGAUUCCUUCAUCUGGUCAAGCUUCAUCUUCAUGUUUGUAGCAUAGUCAUGUGCGAGCCUGUGCAACUGUUUAUUCUCAUGCUUGAGCCCUCUAAUCUCCUGCUUGAGACUCAUCACUUCAGCCACCAAUGAUUCAACUUGGCGGGUUCGAGCAAAUAGGCGUUAGGCCAUAUUCGACACAGAACCUGCACACUGAACACUGAGAGCCAGAGAAUCCUUAACAGCCAACUCAUCAGACCGUUUGGAAAGAAGUCUGUUAUCUUUGGGAGUGAGAAUGUUCCUGGCCACCACCGCAGCGGUCAUAUCAUUCUUCAUCACGGAAUCCCUAACGGUAAGAGAACCAGUAGGGGACAAGAAGGAUGGGCGCCAUAUGUUGUCUGGAGAAGGCGUGGCUACCUCUUCACCAAGGUUCAAGUCAAAACGACGGUCGGAAGAGCCAGACAUUUUCAAAUGUGUUGAAGAGAGAAGAGGUUGGACAAAUCAAGAUCUUAGAAGUGCAAGAAGGGAGCUUCUACUGGUGGAGAUUCAAGUGUGAUUUGGAACUUAAUGCUAGCCUCUAUAAAAAUCUGCACUCGACGGAGCUUCAGAAAUCGAAGAGCCGUCUGCUCAGAAAUCGAAUAGGCAUUUGCUUUCUCAAAAGAUGGGCUGCUCAGAGACCACGAGGGCCGAUCUCAGAGAUCGAAGAGGCAUUUGCUUUCUCAAAAGUUGGGCUGCUCAAAGACCACGAGGGUCGAUCUCAAAAAUCGAAUAGGCGCUUGCUUUCUCAGCCUUGUCAGCACCUGUCACAUGCACACUCAGCUUUGCGGAAAUUACGGGCAAUCUGUCGAAGAUUUCUGGUGAAGUAGAAAACACGUGAAUCUUACUGUUCAAUCAUCCACUUUCCACACGCAACAUCAGAUCAUGGGUACCACCGAUAACUUUGCCAAAGAUCUCUGACAAAGUUUAGACACGUGAAGCUUGCAGCUCCCACUACAUCGCUAUGACCAAGAUGGGUAACGAAUAGCAAAGAAACAACACUAACAAAGUUUAGACACAUAAAUUUUGAAGGUUUAGCUACCAUAUUAUUACCCACAAGGGUAAAGGAACAGCACCACUGCUGGAUAAUUGGAAAUUCCCUGUGUGUCAACCUCUGUGCUCCGUGGCAAGGUAGACUAGCAAAAAUGCCCACCCUUUACUCACAUUCGAGAAAACACUCCCAACAAGAUUGCUUGCUCCAAAAUCGAAGAGGCACCGCCCUCUGAAUCUCGAGAGCCAGACUCCCAACAUGAUUACUUUCUCAAAAAUCGAAGAAGCACCGUUCUCCGAAUCUCGAAAGCCAGAUCCCCGAUAGGAUCGCUUGUUCGAAAAUCGAAGAGGCAUCGUUUUCUCAACUUCAAGAGCCAGAUCUCCUUGGAUAAAGCUUGUCUGUAAUCUUCACACGCAACAUCAGCUUUCCAGAUACCACAGACCACUUUUUCAAAGUGCUCUAACAGAGUUAAAACACGUGAAGAUGACAGCUCCCACUACAGUGCUAUGACCAAGAAGGGUAAAGGAAUAACAUUACUACUUGUUGUUAAGGAGACUCCUAUAUAUGUCGACCUCCAUCCUCAACGGACAGGCAGACCUGCAAAAAUGCUCAACCCCUCCUCAUAUCUGAGAGGGCACCCCCAACGAAGCAUACUCAGCUUUCCCCCCCCCCCCCCCGAUAAUACCUCUGCAAACAAGCUACACCAGAGCAAGAAUAUCUCAUAUCAUCAGGGUUAAAAGCAAGAGUAUCUCAUAUCAUGCUUUUUUCCUGUCUUUUCCUUUAGCCUUGUUCUUACCUGCAAGACAAAGAGAAAAAGAGCAAUCAAUCAACACUUGGAAUCAAGCUUCCAGUCAGGAACUGACUGCCUGGAACCCCUUACCACAUCUGCCUGAAGAACAGAUAGGGCAAAUGAGAAGGAUACAAGGAAGCAUGUGGAGACAAACGUAAUAGAACACGUGCCGAUACUUCCAGUACUUUGUCAACAGCAAAAGUAUCCCAUAUCAGCAGGAUCGAACGUACUCUAGAUUUGAUGAACUUGUUUUGACCCUCAAAUUCUUCAGUCGGCCUUAUACUUUGGAGGUAACUAGAAAACCCUCUAGCCCAGUUCAAGAAUAAGCCUGUGGAAAGUUACUUCUUCAAAAGAAAAAGUAUCUUAUAUCAUUUUCUUCUCUUUAUCCUUCAUGCUGCCUGCAAAAUAUAGAAUGAGAACAAUCAGCCGGAACUCGAAAUCAAACUUUUGAUCUGGGACUAAUUGCUUGGAGCUCUGAUUGCUUACCUUGUCUAUCACCUCUUUCAGCAGAUGCCCUAGCUCGGCGACUUGGGGGACUCAUACUACAUGGUUUGUAUCGCGCUUGACCAAGCCUGAAACUACAAGUAAGCUUCAAGUGAAAUUGAUACAUUACCUUGUACAUCUCCACCAGUUAAAGAUACCACCCCUGGACGGAGGAAGAGUACUUCCAAAGAAGAUGCCACAUCUACCUAUGAGACAGAUAAGGCAAGUGAAGACGAUACCAUACUUCGGUACUUAGAAGUUUCGUGAUUACUCAGCGGCUUGGAUCUUGCAAGUCCCCAACCAAGGAGCUUCCCCUUCAACCAGGAGGCCAAUCACAGAGCGACACGUGUCGACAUCAGAAGCCAAUCAUAGCGCAACACGUGUCAACAUUGGAAGUCAAUCACAACACGACACGUGUCAAUGUCAGAACAAGGCUAGAAACUCUCUUCUAUAAAAUGAGAUCAUUAUCCCAAAAUAUUUCCUAAUGCCAUUUGUACUAAAUCAUUCACUUAUACCCAUUAAAGGAGAGCUUGAACCUAUGUACUUGUGUAAACCCUUCACAAUUAAUGAGAACUCCUCUACUCCGUGGACGUAGCCAAUCUGGGUGAACCACGAACAUCUUGUGUUUGCUCUCCUGUCUCUAUCAUUUUACAUACUUAUCCACACUAAUGACCGGAGCAAUCUAGCGAAGGUCACAAACUUAAUACUUUCUGUUGUACCAAAGUCCUCACUGAUUUUGUGCAUCAACAAUCCUUAAGUCCUUACCUUUUUACAUUGGUAAUGGAUGAGUUAACAGGACAUAUUCAAGAUGUUAUUCCUUGGUGUAUGAUUUUCGCAGACGAUAUAGGGUUGAUAGAUAAAACUCAGGAAGGGGUAAAUGCGAAGCUUAACCUUUGGAGAGAAGUGUUGGAAUCUAAAGGUCUUCGCCUAAGCCAAUCAAAGACAGAAUAUAUGGAAUACAAGCGGGAUGGAUGAAGUGGAAGAGUGCAUCUGGCAUGUUGUGUGACCGUCGUAUGCCACUGAAGCUCAAGGGAAAAUUUUAUAGGACGGCAAUAAAGUCGACGAUGUUGUAUGGCAUAGAAUGUUGGGCGGUGAAGCAUCAACACGUACACAAAAUAGGUGUAGCGAAGAUGAGGAUGCUUCGUUGGAGGUGUGGGCUCACGAGAAAGGAUAUGAUUAAGAAUGAGUGGGUUGGACAUGUGCAAAGAAGGCCUACUGACUCUCCAGUUCGAAGAUGUGACUACGGGACAGAGGUUCAGGGCCGAAGGGGUAGAGAAAGACCUAGGAAAACUUUGGAAGAGACCCUAAGAAAAGACUUAGAGUACUUGGAUCUAACGGAGGACAUGACACAAAACCAAGCGUAAUGACGUUCUAGGAUUCACAUAGCCGACCCCACUUAGUGGGAAAAGGCUUUGUUAUUGUUGUUGUUGUAUUCAAUCAAAAUGCUUGAAUUUUUUUUAUUGUAACUGUUUCUAAUAGUAUUAUAAUGAGGGAUUUUAAAUUUAUAGGAUUAUAAAUCUCAUAAAAUAUCAAACAGUUAAUGUCAAAACUAUAAAAAUAGAAAUUUUAAUUGUAAUAUAAUGAAGUGUACAAAGUCAAGGGACUUUGAUCUAACUUUGAAUACCAUUAAGGUUUUAGUCAAAGAAUGUUAAGGAUUAGGGACCGCAUUCAAAGUAUCUCAAAAAAAUACUUCAUAUAUUGAUUGAAUAAUAAGAAAGAUAACUAAACCCUAUCACCCUAAUGGUUGCUCAUAUAAUGUCCCUUGGCCCUAGACUUUUUAAGAGUACAAAUAGGAAACAAAUUAAGAAAAUAACAAUAUACCAAAAUAUAUAUUAUAAAAUCUUAAAAUGUUGAUAAAAUGUAGUAAAAGACGAAAUUUGGCCUAAAAUGCCCAUAUGUCACAACAAAGCGGUUUGUUGGACUCAUGUUGUCAUUUUCUUCGAAAUGGCGAGUCAUGGGUCCAAAUUGAACACUUGGACACAAGUUUGCAAAACUUGAAUUUUACCACCAAACUUGCACCUUUCAAGUUGAUUUUCGAUUCACUCGUAUCAAUCACCUACACAAAACUUCUAUUGUAGAUGUAAUUUGAGAUCCACAUGCAUACAUUAUAACAACUAUUAAUCUCAUGGAGACAACGUAUCAUAACACAUCUCUUAUUGUACAUGAUUAUAAAAUACAUCACCGUAUAUGGUAAACCAUUUAUAGAAAUCUGAUCAGAUUGUAUUUGGCCAGCCACAACUCAGUUUUAGCGUUUCCUUCCUUGAUUCUCCUUUUAUAUGCAUUACUUUUUAUUUUUCAACAUUGUCAUUGGAUGGUUAUAGUCCAAUAUGGGGCAUGACUUGUGUUACAAAUGGCUGGCCAUAAUUCCAUGCUUUUGGGAUGAAGAUGUUGAAUAUAUCGCUGCCAACUUAUCUCUGCCAGCUCAUCAAAACAAUUGUAAAGGAUUGGAUGAUGUAAUUUUUGAAAGAGUUAGUUAGUCCUCUAGUUAGCUAUAUAUAGCUAUGGUAAACAGAUAGUAAAGUUAGUUCAUUGAGUUCAAUACAAAACCUUCAUUCAUUGUUUCUCAUAUUUCUCUUCUCUCUGUAAAACUUCAUUUCUUGGUUUUACAAUUGUUCAUCUUUGCUUCUUCUCCAAUGUAGUUAACAUGGUAUUAGAGCCACUAGGCUCGCACCAUGGAUUUUGGUGGUUCCGUUUUUCAUUAAAUUUCAUCGUUUUUCUAGUUUUAUUUUCUCUUCAAAUUUUCUUCUGGUGGUUCCGUUUUUCAUUAGAUUUUCAUCAUUUUUCUAGUUUUAUUUUCUCUUCAAAUUUUCUUUAGAAAUUUCCAUUACUUUUUCGGUGGUUCCGCAAUUGUUCUUGGGUUGAUUUUUCGGCGAUUGUUGGGUUAAUUUUCCUUUGCCAACUACAUUCUACAAUAUCGAAUUUGGGGUUCUGCUUGGUGUUUGUGAAAAUGCCUGAAUGAAACUAAAUGCCACAAGGAGAUCGGAGAUCUGGAGAUUUGGUUCUUUCUUCUUGGUGGUCUGCUCAAAUCAUUGUCUGGAUUCUUUGGUGGGAAGCCAUGGUUGCUGCUGGUCAGUAGAUUGAUUGGUUUGCUUCCUCAUCGUUAUUUGGGUCAAGAUUGAAGUUCUUAUCAGGUUCUUGAUUUCUGGUUUUCACAGUGCACAUAAUCUGUUGCUUAUCACCUUUCUUGCGAAUCUUUUCUUAGAUAUUAGUGUGAUAUUUGGGAUAUUUGGACUCAAGAUUGGUCAUUACUUCAAGAUCAGUGUUUGUGAUAUUUGGGAUAUUUCAUUUGGUGCACGAUGUCUUGGAGAUCAAUUCCGGCCGGGUUAAUUUGCCGAGUUAUGCUGAUGAGUGUUUGUGAAUCUCAGUCCCGUAAUAUUGAUGUCUUGAAGAUUGAUUUGGUAAGUGUUUAUGAAUCUUUUGAUGAUUGUUGCCAAGUUGCUAAUGAACGGAUAUUUGAUUUUGUUCAUCUUUCCUGUGAAUGUUUUUAUGAGUGUUUUAUUUGGGUAGAUAGAUGUGUUAGGACUAAGUCUCCAUUGCAACAAUUGACCUUGCAGAGUGACGUGCCUGAUCAGAGGGGUUUGUUAGGAUACUAAUUCUUGUGAAAGGUUCAGACUUUGGGAAGAAGACGAUGAUGCAUGAGAAUAUGUGGGUGUGCAUUCUUGCAUUUUGGCAUAGCCAAGUUUAUGGUGUUAACUGAGGAGUUGUGCAGUAUAUUUCUUAUCACAGCCUAUAAUGUCGAGUCUAACCAACUCAGUUGUUAGCAUGAAUCUACAGUAAGUCCGAUUAUACAAUGACGUUUGAAGAAGUUGUAAACGGUAAAUCCCAUGAAGAGUAAUUCCGUGAUGUGAGUAGGUAAAUCCCACGAAAGGUAAUCCUACAUAGAUGUUGAUUUUCUGUUGUUGAAAUUGUGAAGGCUGAUGCCACUGUUAAGAGUAGUUGUUUUUGUUUUUUGGUAAAAUCCACAAGGGGCAAUCCCAUGGUACUAUAGUUAAGGCCGAUGCCACACUAUAGUUUGUUAAUUUUCUGUUUUAAAGGCUGAUGCCAAUGUUAAAUGAAGUUAAUGACAGUAAAUCCCACGAAGGGUAAUCUGCAAGUAAUUGUUAUAACCGGUAUGAAGGUGUGUUACAACUUUAUAAAAGGCUAUUCUUUGAUUCUGUAUUCUAUUGGAAACAGAGGGUUCUGCAUACAAAAUGGUUCCAUAAUCUUGCUGAGGGAUAAGCAAAGAAAAUAGUAGCUACAAAGUAUGGAUUUAAGUUCUGAAUACCUGUCUGUUUAGUGAGCAAGUAGUAUUUAUGCAAGUAGCAUGUUGAGUAUGGAUACCUAUCAGUUUGAGGAAGGUGCAGAUCAUGUAGUUGAAUGUGAUUUGACUGUUACAGUAACCCAUGAGAGAGUUGAGAAAAAAAAUGAAAUUUGGAAUUUGAUAUUGCGGUUGAGAAUUUGAGAGGUGCAAUGGUGCCACAUAAAGACUGUCGAAAUUAUACCACUCUCCACUCACUUUCCGGAUGCAAAACCAAUGGUCCUGCAAGUGACAACUAAAUGCAUUUUCAAGCUCAAGAUCAAUCUACAGUGCGUCCAUUUGUCCAUAUUUCAGUGUUUGCUAUUUGAGACACCCUUAAACACCAAGAACAGAGGAUUAAUUGAUGAUGGGAGCAGGGCUAGGAGUACAUGGACAAGAAGAACUUCAUAGUUCUGCAUUUGUCAAAGCAUUCAUUCCAUCUCAAACUGGGAAACCUAGUUGAGAUUGAGGGGGGAUGUUAAAUAUAUCACUGCCAACUCAUCUCUGCCAGCUCAUCAAAACAAUUGUAAAGGAUUAGAUGAUGUAAUAGUUGAAAGAGUUGUUAGUCCUCUAGUCAGCUAUAUAUAACUAUGAUAAACAGAUCGUAAAGUUAGUUCAUUGAGUUCAAUACAAAACAUUCAUUCAUUCUUUCUCACAUUUCUCUUCUCUCUGUAAAACUUCAUUUCUUGGUUUUACAAUUGUUCAUCUUUGCUUCUUCUCCAAUGUAGUUAACAGGUACAAAUGCAAUGCGUAAUGCCCAACUCCAUAUCCUCCUGAAAACCUACAUACCUGCAUCUGCAUGGCUGGCCCUAAUUUCCUUGUACAUUUCAACAUGCAUGAAUGUGAAUAUGCAGAGAGAGGGCCUACUGCGUCUUUUAACACAAAACCAUGUUACCAUUGUCCCGUUGAAACGGGUUCAUUUUUCCCAUGUGAGUUUGUCUAACAUAAUUAUAAGCACUACUCCUGAAAUAUCACGAUCAAAUUAUACAACACCCUUGCUAGCUAAUAUAUGUUGAUCUUUCAAUCAAAUGCCACGUUCGAAUCACAUGUCAUAAUGUUCCUUAUCUUGUAGACACGCAGAAGAAAAUCCUUGACCAAGUAUAUGCUAGUUCCUGAACCAAAGUUAUUAGAAACAACCCGCAUAUCGGAUAUAUGUGGUUCUAAACAAUUGAUACUAACUCACACAAUUCGCUCAUAUAUAAUUUUUGCAACAAAACUGCUACAGUUAGUCAUGCAAGUGCAUAUAAAUUACGGCUGCUAAUACACGUGAGAGUGCAAUAUGCAACAACUUGACGUUGUUUUGCUUCCUAUGAACUGAUCAUCUUUCUUAAGAAAAUAAGUGAACAAGGUUCCAAUGUUGAGACAAAAACUCUCAAUAAUCCAACUCUUGGGCCCAAAGGCUUCAUCUUAAGUUUUAUUUUGUUUUAUUUUUACUAAUUUCCAUCUUAAAAAUCACACUUAUUUGUCACUUCUAAGUUUGUUAGCUUAAUUCUUUUAAUUACAACUUUUAUGCAAUUGAUAGAAAGUAUAAUGAUAUUACUCCAACGUUCAAAAACCGUAGUGGCAUGGAGACUCGAGAGACCCACUGAAUUUGAUAAAAGCACAACACCCUAAAGAUGCUGAAUGUCACUGUGUCCGAGGAAAGCCUAACAAAAAUAACUUUACUAUUUUGAUGUGCCAUGUGUGAUGGAGCCCAUAGCAAUUUGCCGGGUCCACUAAAAUGUAGUUCCCUUCAUGCUCAAACUCUUUGAGGCCCAUAGCACACAUGAUGAUGCACCUAUCAUGUUGAAGCAGAUUUUCUAUCCUGCGCACCAGAUUGGGUGCAUAGGUUGUGCAUGACUCGAGUCAAGUUAACGACAUUAUAACGAUACUGUAACAACAUAACAACAAUAAUCUGAUGUUAUAAUGACAUUGCAAGUUGAUAAAUUGUUCAAUAUGAAAGUGCACAAAUUCGGAUGUGUUUCGUUGCGACGUUGCCCAUAUCCAUGCAGGAAUAACUACCAAUGUGAUCUUUUGUCCACAAAUCCUUGAAGUACAUGAGACUCUCAAACAGAAAAUUUUUAUACAACUGUGUGGUUCGAUAAUCUAAGCGUCAUUUUGGUUUUAACAUAUUUGUCUCGGGAAAAAUGUCACUUUUAAGGAUGAAACAAUUAAGGCUAUUUCCAAUUUAAAAGCCUAAAGUUAAAAGUUAUAAUGUAGGGUUUUUAUCGCAAAUAGUUUUUUAAAUUAACCCACUCCAUCAAGAUAAUUCCUAAAAUUAAAAAUCGAUCAAUGUAAUUCCUGAAAAUAGGUAUCGCAAAUUAAUGUGGUCAUUCCGUCAUAAUUCCGUCAAAUAUUCCAUUAUGUGCUGAUGUGGUGCAUAACUGGGCCCCACAUGUAAUAUCCCACAUCGACCAACAGAGAGGGGUGAUUGCCUUAUAUAUACAUGCCCACCUCCUAUAGCACGAGGCCUUUUAGGAAUUCAUUGGCUUCAGAUUCCAUCGGAACUCCGAAGUUAAGCGAGAAUGGUAUCAGAGCCACUCUGCCGUUCGAUGCGAAUGUGUCGACGAGGAUGUCGGGCCCCUAAGGGGGGUGGAUUGUAAUAUCCUACAUCGACCAACGGAGAGGGGGUGAUGUACCUUAUAUGUACAUGCCUACCUCCGAUAACACGAGGCCUUUUGAGAACUCACUAGCUUCGGAUUCCAUCGGAACUCUAAAGUUAAGCGAGUUCGGCGAGAGCAAUCCUAGGAUGGGUGAUCCACUGGGAAGUUCUCGUGUGAGUUCCUAGGCCGGAGCCCAAAACGGACAAUCUCAUAUUACGGCGGAAUCGAGAUUGGGAUGUGACACCACAAAUCUAAUUAAAUAUUAUUAUAUGAAUUAAAAAUAUUUAAAUAUUUAAUUUUUAUUUUUAUAUAAUUAAAAACAUUUAAAAGAAAAAAAGAAAAAAGAAGAAGAAGAAGAUGAUUGUUCAUCAUCUUCUUCCCCUCCCACCCUCCCACUACCUCCCCUGUCGCACAUCUCUGUACUUUUUUUGUUAAAAAAUUAAAUAUUUCCAUCCCAUCACCACCCGUGGCUGCAGCGCUUGAAAUAAACACGAAGAUGCUUGAAAACUGCAAUCUACGCCGCCAAUUUGAACCCCCGGUGGAAAUAUCGAGACGAAAUUGGACAUGCGUCUGGGUUGGUGUUAUGGGUGCCAACCCACUAGAUAGUGCGCUCAGGUCGUGCACGUCAAUUAAACACAAAAUCCCAUAUGAAAUAUCAAAAAAACCAAGGAUGGUGCCUGAGACUGGGAUGGUGCCUAAGCCGAGCUUGAAGAACCCAGAAAAAACAAAAUGAAAAACACAAACAAGCUGAAAAAUGAGGAAAUUUCAAGAAUUUAAGAGUAGGAAAUUUCAAGAACUUAAAAACUUCAAAAAUUAAAUGUUUCUCCUCACCUUUGGCGGGGGUUGUAGUGUUGAGUGGGAGGGGAAGAAGACGAAGAACAAUCACAUCUUCUUCUUCUUUUUUCUUUUUGUUUUUAAAUGUUUUUAAUUAUAUAAAAUAAAAAGUAUUUUUAAAAUUUAAAUAUUUUUAAUUCAUGUAAUAAUAUUUCAAUAAAUUUGUGGGACCUAGUUAUGCGCCACAUCAGCACAUAACAGAAUAUUUGACGAAAUUGGGACAGAAAGACCAUAUUGAUUUGCGAUACUCAUUUUCAGGGAUUAUAUUGAUCGAUUUUUAAUUUCAGUGACCAUCUUGAUAGAGUAAGUCAAUUUCAAAAACUAUUUGGGAUAAAAUUCUUAUAAUGUAUAUUUGGCCUCUAAAUAUGACGGCGAAAGUUUAAAUAUCUGCAAUAUGGGGCAAGUUUGACCUUUUAGGCCAAGCCCUCUGGCCGUUCAAGAUAUUAAUAUUUUAAUGAACAGUACAGGAUCAUAUUUGCCUCCGUCUCCAACCAAGGGCCAAAGGGUCAGAGAGUUCGUUUUAGCCCUGUCAUGAAAAACCGUCUCCGACCGAGGGUCAUAGGGCCAAACAUAAUUUAUUAUUUAAAUUUAAAAACUACAGCAACUUAAAUUUAAAAACAACAACUUAAAUUUAAAAACAACAACUUAAAUUUAAAAACUACAACUUAUAUUUAAAAACUACAACUAAAAUAUAAAAAUGACAAAUUAAAUUUAAAAACUACAAAUUAAAUUUGAAAACAACAUUAACUUAAAUUUAAAAACUACAACAACUUAAAUUUAAUAUCCAUAAUCAACAUCGUCUUCAUCAUCCGUCAUCGUAGGAGUAUAGUCAGAGAUAAACAACUGCCGUCGGCUCAUAAUUUCUGAAUGGUUUAGGUAUUUAUAAGAAAAAAAAUAGAUUUUUGAGAAUUUAAAAAAAAAGGCCCAAAAACCCUAAAAAUAAAUAAAUUUUGAAUCCAACGGUAACUGGCACCAGCUAGCUGUUGGAUUCAAAAUUCUUUUUAAGAAUUUAUGUCGGUUAUAAUCGACAAGAUUAAUCAAUUUUCUGGCCAGCCAACCAUCCCUCUAGCCCUUUCAGAUUUUGUGGGGCCCUCUCAGAUUCCACUAGCCCUCUGGCCUAGUCUUCGGUUGGAGACGGUUUGCGGACUAUUUUCGGCCCUCUGACCCUCUAGACCCUUCGGUUGAAAAUGACCUUACUUUUAACUCAUACACAUUUGGAAGUGAUUCAGUGAAAUAUACAGUUAAAUAUUAAUUCGGUACCUUCUAAAGGUGAGGUCUCGCCUUUUGACUCUAGAAUUAUAUUCAGCGUCAAAUAUGACUUUACAUUUUACAUAACACCCAAGUCAUAUGUGACGGAAAUUUUUUUGGUGCAUUGAAGAUGGUUUGAAUCAAAUUUAAAGCCAAAUAUAACUUCUGAUUCAAACUUUUUCGGUCCAAUGGAUUAGGCAAAUGGCUGGAAAACAACAAUUACGAAAUUUUUACAUAUCGCACUUGCUCAGUGUGCUCUCCUGGCAUUGAGUGCCGCGUCCAGUUCACUAUGUUAUUAGACCUUAGACAUAUAAUAGUUUCAAAUAUAAUCUCUUUAGAAAGAAGAUCUUUUGUCUUAUGGUAACCUGCUCUAAUUCCCUUACGAAACUUUCGUUAUUGGAUUAGCUAGCCAUAAACUUUACAUUUUUCUAGCGACUCACAUGGCAUCAUCAACUGACACAAAUCUUGGAUAAGAAUCUACAAUGCACUAGAACACCCUUGUUGAUUAUCCUUUAUAUUAUGUCCUUGACUAAACCUAAUUGUACAAAUUUAAGUUAAAUGUUGCUUGAUAUCUUGGAGGAGUGAAAGUGUUGAGGUGAAAAUAAAAUAUGGGUUGCCUCGCCGACUGGCGAAGCCAUAGAGGUGCAAGAAGGUGCGAUGCGGCACCUCCGAUCGUCAGAAGUCGACCCUAAAAGCGAGAAUUUGCCCCUCUGCUUCUUCUGAACUUGCACGGCAAUGCCCUGAAACGUGUAGGACAAAGGAAGUGAACUCGGCGAAGGUGGCAGUGGCGGGAGGAGGAGUAAAGAAAAAAAAGUAAAAGCCAUGGACCACACAACGUCAUUUAGGUGUUUUGUUCCAGCCAUUAAUUGAUACAUAAGCGUUUCACCACUCAAUUUCGUUUUUCAAUUUGUACCUCUCUUCCUUUCUUUUUCUUAUUUUUUCCGUCCUCAUUCAUGAGUUACCUUUUCUUUUCCACAAAGUUGUUUCUUCUUCCUUUUCUUCUUUAGUUACGAUUUCCAUAAGUAUUCGUCGUUUUCUUCCUAGAACUUGUAACCCGCGGCCGAUUUACAUUUUUCAUAAUUGCAUAACUCCCAUUCUGCCAAAUCCUUUUUCUUGUCCAGGGGGAACAAUCUAUAUUUUGGCCUUUGUUUUUUGUUGCAAUAUUUGGAAUGCUGUUUGCUUUUUUUUUUUUCACCAAGUAGUUAUAAGUUUUUCUAUGUAUUUGUUAAAUGGAUUUGUUUGUUGACUGUGUUUGCUAAUAUUGAGUGUUUGCAGUGGAUCCAUAGGUUUGACUUGGAAACUGGAAAUUGUUCCUCCUCUACAGACCUCUAUACACAAAUACUGGAUGGAAAUUACGGUGCAAAGCUGGUUAUUCGUCGUCCUCAGUUAUAUUCAAAAUUUUCGUUUUUGGUUGGACCUUGAUGUAUGAUAAUUUUUAUGAAAUAAGGGUAACCAAACAAUCAUGGAACUCAAAUUUUACCAGGGAAAAGUAUGCAUAAUCAUUAUUUUUUUAGAGUUUUUAUCACAAAUAAUCCUUAAAAUUGACCCUUAUUAUCUGGAUGGUCCUUGAAAUUGAAAAUCAAUUAAUGUAGUCCCUGAAAAUAGGUGUCGCAAAUCAAUGUGGUCAUUCCGUCAUAAUUCUCUAAGUGCUGAUGUGACACAUAAAUGGUCCCCUAAAUCUUUUUCUCACAAAUAAUCCUUAAAAUUAACCCACGGCAUUAUCAAAAUGGUCCCUGAAAUUAACCCGUGACAUCAAAAUGGUCCUUAAAAUUAAAGGAAAACUAAUGAAAAAAACUUGAAAACUUUGAGUUUUAACGAUAAGGACAAAAUAAAGGUAAAGUGAAUAGUACCAGGAUUGACUUUUUAGUGUACAAAUGUAGUUUUUCGUUAAAGUGAACAAUACCAGGAGUUUUUCGUUAAAGUUCUCUAAAAUUAAAAAUUGAUCAAUGUAGUUCGGCAAGUAAGUGUCUCAAAUUAAUGUAAUCAUUCCGUCACAAUUCUGUAAAAAAUUCUACUAUGUGCUAAUGUGACACAUAAAUGGGUCACACAAAUCUAAUUAAAUUAAACAAAAUUACAAAUAGAGCUUAACAAUUUAAUAGUUAAUAAAAAAUUUGUCAACCCAAAAACCUAGUCCUGCAAUCACCUCCAUUCACAGUUCACAUUUCUCUACCUCUUUUGCUCUCUAUUAUCUUAAAAAAUCUCAAUAUACCCAUUUUUACACACUUCGACACCUUUCACCGAAUUGAACCUAAAUAAAGGUGACGGCUUGGCCCAUUGACAACGACUACUGAGACAUCACCGUUAGCAUUUAGGUAAUCAACAUCCUCACAACAUUAAUCUUGAAGGGCUUGUUAGAGCUUCCCUGAUGGUCUGGUGAUGCAAAGAACGACGAGGUCUACCUUGAGAUAAUGAGGUUACAACCGACGUGUGUCCAUUUUUAGUUGAAAAUUAUUUCCACAACUCCUCUUAGGCCUUGGUUAAGUCUUGUGCCUUUAAGAAUUUAUAGAAUGGAUCUCUCUUCGAAGUAUGCCCUACUAUAAGAAAAAAAAAUUCCAAUGUGCAAAAAGGUACUUGGACAACUUUUUUAAUUAAUUAUUAAACUCAUAUCAGCACAUAAUAAAAAAAUUCAGAGAAUUGUGGCGGAAUGAUGAUAUUGAUUUGCGACACCUAUUUUCAAAUACUAACAUUGAUUGAUUUUCAAUUUUAGGAACCAUAUUGAUGGUGUGGGUCAAUUUAAGGGACCAUCUUGAUAGUGUGGGUUAAUUUUAGGGACCAUUUGUAAUAAAAACCCGUAAAUCUUAUUGGACCAAUUUAUGUGUCACAUCAGCAUAUACGAAAUUUUCAUUGAUUUACGACAUAUAUUUUCAUGGAUUACAUUGAUUGAUUUUUAGUUUAAGGAAUCAUCUUGAUGAUGAGGGUCAAUCUCAAAAACCAUUUGUGAUAAAAACCUUUUCUUUAUAUCCAAAAUUCUUUUUGCGACCGCAUUCCCCGUCGCUAUCAACUUAAUGAAAAUGCAAAAAGCCUACCCCAUUUUUUACGACGUCUUCUACUGUCACCAACUCGACAGCUGCCUACCGUUGCAAAAGACCAUUAGCGUCGCUACCUUUCCAUCCCCAUCGCCCGGCCACUACAAAUGCGUUUAACGAUGGCUAAUAGAUUUUGUAACGGCAUGGCCGACACAAAAGUAUUUUUCCCCAGCGGUCAUUGGAGAUAGCCUACCACCAAAGGAGCAAAAACCUUUAUCAGCGCUGUCAAUAUUUACUUUCAUCUAGCUAUAUAAUAGUUGAGGGCAUCUUUUGGGUUGUAGGAAAACAGAGCCCUAUAUAGAAGACAAUGGAUUUGGAUCCUCACCGGAUCCCCUCCCUGGAGAUCCUAGGGAUCAACAAACAAGGACCGUUGAUAAAAAAUCGUGCGGCCAUAAUUUUUUCUUUUUUUUUUCACGUAAAACAAGGCUACUUUACUUUUAAAAAUAUAAAAAAAUAUUUAAUUAGGACCACACGAUUUUUGAUCAACUAUCUGUGUUCGUUAAUCCUUAGGAUCCCCAGGGAGGGGAUCCGGCGGGGAUCCAAAUCCAAAGACAACCAUUACCACUCAAUGUAAUGGGUUGUAAAUUUGUAAGCUCCCAUGCUAACGUUUUUUUUUUUAAAUACUUAUGUUUAUAAACAUUUUUAAUAAAAACGCUUCUAUUAUAAACACAUUUAAGUUUUUUUUUUUUAAAUGCAAGUGCUUCAUGGUCAGGUGCUUUUUUGAACCUAUAAUCACUUUUAACUUUUCCUGCCAAACAUUAGCUUUUGGUGAUCUAAAAGCACAUUUAGUUACUUUAAAAUCACUUUCAAAGGGGCUCUUAACAGUCUCAUAAGUUGGAUUUUAUUUAGGCUUUUCAUUACAAAUGAUUUUUUAAAUUAACCCAUCAUUAUUUUGGUCUAUAAUAUUGUCUUUAAAAUUGAUUAUUAUUAUAAAUCAGUGUCGUCAUCUAUCCGUCAUAUUAGAAUUAACGAAAUGUUUAUGUUUUUACAAUGUACUUGGUAGUAUUUUGGAGGAUCCGUUGAAGUAAAUGGAUUCAUUUGCGUGUUUAUUGAUUUUAUAUCCUUUUUCUUCACUGGAUUCGUAGUACCAUAAUAUGUGUAAUUCAAGUAACUUAAUCAGUUGAAAUUAUGGGUGCACUUUCCUUCUCUAACUCAAAAAGUAACUUAUGUAGGCGACCAGUAAUCCAUUGCAUAGAGGGGUCUUCUCUUUAUUAGCGAUCGAUGCAUGUAGACCAUGUGAGAUAGAGAUAGAAUCAAGCAUGGCUUUAUAGAUUGUAGAUCCAUUACGAGUGCAUGGUUUUUGAACAAUAAAUAAAUAAAUGUAUAUGAUCUCAAGAACUUGCAUGCAACGGGAUGUAUGUUUUUUUUCUUUAUUAAUUUCUCUCUUCUUAUGAUAAGUUAGUGUAACCAUGGCACCGCUCAAAUGUUAUCCUAAUCUAUGUGUUACAACAUGCAUAGUUACAUAGUUGGACGACAUAAUUAAUAUAUAUUAAUGGAUUAGAAGCAACAUAUGACAUUAUAACUGAACAAUCAAACCACAAAUCAUUUGAAAGAAAGGGUUAUACACUCGAUAUAGAAGGGAGGCUUAUCUACGCCUAGUACGACAUAGUAUCGGUAUCCUAAUUAAAUAACACACUGUCAUAUAGAAAAGUUUAAACAUAUAUAAUAAUGGCAUUUUUCGUUUAGGAUACUGACAAAAAUCAUAUGUAAGUCCCUCCCUAUAGCCUAUGGGCAAGUUUUUUUUGCCUUUUCCUACUAAGAUCUUACAAAAGAUAGAGCAAAAACACUGAGUAAGCAAGCUAUCUUUGAGGAAAAGCCAAUAGUGAAUUGUCACAGCUCGAACAUAAUGCUAAGAAAAUUAAAAAAUUUAAACCAAAUUUGUAAACUAAAUAAUGUAGUUGUAGAUGAUUGAAUUAUUAAUUAAGUCUCAAUUAAUAUGUUUGUUUCUUAUUGAUGACACAUCAUUUGGUUUGCAAAUUGGUUUAAAAAAAUUGGUCUCCUUAGCAUUAUCCUAAUAGUUAACCCAUCAGUUGUAACUCAUGUAAUUGUCUUGUCACGAGAAAAUAUCUGUCUAAAAGUCCCAAAACAUGGAACAGCUAGUGUAAGUAUAAAACGCCCCACCAUACCAGCGUGGUUGGAGAGUUUAAUGUAACCUCCACUCUUUUCAUUCACCUUUUCCUCGUUACACACCUCAAUAUUUAAUCAACCAAACCCUACGCUCCUCCCUCCUAUAAAUUCUUCCUCCCCUCAAUUAAAAUUCCAAUCCAUUUUCUCUCAUUUUUCUCUCAAGAUUUUCAGAGAUGGCCCAGCUGCUUGAUCUGAAAGAUGAUCUAGACAUUGUGAUCCCAACAAUCAGAAACCUUGAUUUCUUGGAGAUGUGGAGGCCUUUCUUUCAACCAUACCACCUCAUCAUUGUCCAAGAUGGUCCCUAACGGCUUCAACUACGAGCUCUACAACCGCAAUGAUGUGAACAAGGUCCUAGGUCCCAAGGCCAGCUGCAUUUCUUUCAAGGACUCCGCUUGUCGCUGCUUCGGUUUCUUGGUUUCAAGAAAAAGUACAUCUUCACCAUCGAUGACGAUUGCUUUGUAAGUUUUGUGCUCCUUAACAAUGUUCCUUUCCACGUUUAUCAAAUGAUGUGUUUGUAUAAAUGUGACGAAUAAUUAUUGCAUUAACUUUUUUAUUGGUUGAGAAAAAAUGAAGGUGGCGAAGGGGCCUAGUGGGAAGGAGAUAAAUGCUUUGUCACAGCACAUUAGGAACCUGCUGACACCAUCAACCCCAUUGUUCUUCAACACACUCUACGAUCCGUUUGCAAACAGGGCGGACUUUGUCCACGUUUACCACAACCAAUCCAUUUCCGUAGUCAAUCUUCUAGGUUUAAGUAAUGAUAUUUAGAUUUAAGACAAAUAAAAUUGACUACAUUGUUGACGUAUUUUUUAAUACGAAAGAAUCUAACAUACAAUAAUAGAACUCAUUUUUAUUAAAAAAAAAUGUAUCAACAAUGCAAUUAGUUUCGUGUCUAAAUAGCAUUACUGUUUAGAUUUUGGCUUUGGUUUAAAAUGAUUGAGGAUUGAGUUUUUUUGGCUCAUGUAGGUAUGUGGAUGCUGUGAUGACAAUCCCCAGAGGCACCCUUUUUCCAAUGUGUGGGAUGAACCUGGCGUUCAAUAGGGAGCUGAUAGGUCCAGCAAUGUAUUUUGGGCUCAUGGGUGAUGGCCAACCCCUUGGUAGAUAUGAUGACAUGUGGGCUGGCUGGUGUGCCAAGGUAAAUUAGUUCCCAAAUUCCCAUCCCAUUUUACUCCAUUUAUGACGUGUUUAUUUAUAUAAAAUGAUUAUUAAAAUUAUUCUAAUUCUAGAAUUCCUAGGUGUCAUAAUUUUUCAUUUUCUGAAUUCUUUGUGUUUAUCAAUACUUACGAAAUAAGAAACUGGUUUUAUAUUAAAAUUUGUAAUCAAAUACUUGAAAAAUCAGGAAUCAUAUUAACUAGGAGAUUAGUUUAUCUCAUGCUUAUUUUUUCUUUCUCUUCCCCAAUUCAUGACGUUGAUUGGGGUUGUUUGUGAGCCAUUGAUACAUUUAAGUCUCACAAUACUUCAACGACUAAUGCUAACAUAAUUCUUGCUUUCAAUUAGCCAAUUUGGAUGUUUUUAUGUGACAUACAUACACUUGCAUAUAAGACCCUGAACAAUGAUAUGUGUGUUCUCUCUUCAGGUGAUAUGUGACCAUUUGGGUCUAGGAGUUAAGACAGGACUGCCAUACAUAUGGCAUAGCAAGGCAAGCAACCCAUUUGUGAACUUGAAGAAAGAGUACAAAGGGAUAUACUGGCAAGAAGAUAUGAUUCUAUUUUUCCAACAAAUUGUGCUCCCAAAAGAGUGCAAAACUGUCCAAGAUUGCUACAUUGAGCUUGCCAACAAGGUGAAGGAAGAGCUUGGUCCUCUUGAUCCCUACUUUGAGCAGCUUGGGGAUGCCAUGGUUACUUGGACUGAAGCCUGGGAUGAGCUCAACCCACCGCCUGAAACAGCGAACUAAUUUGGCUCAAUCAAAUGGUUUUAUAUGAAAAAUCAUUCAAAUUGCUAAAAUUUACUAUUGAGUUGUUAUGAGCUUUUACUGUAUUAGUAGGAUAGUGAUUAUCACAUUUCCCGUUUUACUAUACUAAAUUGUUCCUAUAAACUUGUUUGAGUUGAAAUAGUAGAUUUUUACGUAAUGUUAUAAAUUUUCAUAACUGUUUAAGAGUAGUGACUUUUAUAAUUCAAAUUUCUUCUUCUCUACUCAAUCCGUUAUUUCUAUUUAUUGAUUCUCUAAGAGGAGUGCAAAAAUCCCGUUUUAAAAAACUACUUUUUGACAGGUGGGCUGGUGAUGGUUCUUUAGAUUGGUCUGAGUUUCUCCUACUUCUCAUUUUCACCACGGAAAUUUUCUUUUCUUACUAUACUCCUUGGUUAAGAACAAAGCUUUUGAAUUGCCCAAAAUGCUCAUGCAACAUGGAUUUUUAGCUUUCCAUCUCACGUGAAAACAAUGCAAAAUAUUGCGUGUAACAGUAACACCACUUUUAGUAUGACAUAAAAGGAGACGUGCCGACACAAGUUUCCUUCACGGUUAGUGACAAUGUACGUUGGCCACUGGCCACUGAGCCGCCCACAGUGUUCUACAUGUUUCCCGUUUUUGUCAGAAUAAAUACAUGUACACUAUACUUUUAGUCAUAAAUUUUUCCUCUCAGAUGGAUCAAAAUAACCAAAUAUUCUUCCUCGGUUCAUCAACAACCUCACCAGCUUUUCUUACUUGUUCAGCGAACCAGUCAAGCUUUCCUCAUUUUCGCAGUGACAGAAGUGAAGGCCUGAUGAAGUCAGGAGGAAAAGAAGGUGACAAAGAGAGCAAGAAGCACAAAUAUGCAUUUCAAACAAGGAGCCAGGUUGAUAUACUUGAUGACGGGUACCGGUGGCGAAAAUACGGGCAAAAAUUUGUUAAAAACAAUAAAUUUCCUAGGUUAUUGUCUCUGUAUCUCCUGGCUAUCAUCAAAUAGUUUUCGAAUUUUGAAUUUUUGGUAUUGAUUUUUUAAGGAAACUGGUAUUAAACGCAAGUGUAUAAGUUUUUGUGAUAUCUUGGUUCUUUAUAUUUGCUCUAGCAUGGAAUAUAUUGGUUAUUAGAUUUGUAGAUUUUAUACCUAGAACGGUAAAAAAACGCUCUAGUUUUUACUUUUUUUCGUUUAGGAAAAUGCUCUAGUUCAAUGGUUUACCUAAUGCUUGAAAAUGCCUUAAAUUUCUACAAUGCAUGUGUUCUUGUGCCUGCUCAAUCUAUUAAACUGGAUUUGUUCGACUAUUUAUGCAGAAGUUACUAUAGGUGUACACAUCGAGGAUGCAUCGUCAAGAAACAAGUCCAACGCCAUUCGAAAGACGAGGGGAUUGUGGUAACGACAUACGAUGGAAUCCAUACGCAUCGGGUUGAUGAGAAUUCUGCUGGAAAUUUUUAGGAGCUACUAAGGCAUAUAUAAGCAUGUAAUGUGCCUAAUGCUUAAAGCUGUUGGCGAUAUUUCCACCAUGUCACAUACAGUUUGUAGGGUCUUCAUAUGAAGAUUGUUUUUUAUAUCUGUUCGAUAUGAUAAAUUUGCUUACUCUGCUUUAGAAAAUUACCACUUUUUGGAUUGUAAAUAUCCGUAUCACUACAAGGGUUCUCUGUUCUUCAAAAAACAGACAACGUAAAUUCACUCAUAAUAAUAAGUAACGAAAAAAAGGGCUCAUCAACUUUCUUGGAGAAGAGUAUCAAACAAAAAAGCGAAGACGAACCAAGAUGAUUGAGAGAGCAAACGGGGGUUAGACUAGUUGGCCAGAGUAUUUUGCGCACCCCAUGCACAUGAGUUCAAAUCUCCCUCCCCGUAAAUCAUAGUGGUUUAGAACUUUUGCUUGUCUUAGAAACCAGGAUGAUCGAGAAACACAACAUCAUGUUGGGACUAAGAUCACCUCGUUUUCAUUUCCAUAUCCAGCAAAGCCUCUGAUAAAGCAAAUUCCAAACACAAUCGAAGCAACAGCAACCACACGCAUCGCCAUAACAAUGCACCUUCCUCCAUUAUAACCACCUUCAUUGCUAUCAACCUUUUUCACGCCUUCUGUCUUCACAUUCUCAUCAGCCAAAAAAGAAAAAGAACCCGAAGAUUGCGCACUCCACUGAAAACAAACGCCAAUCUCUUUGCUCUUACCAGAAUCAUCAUCACCAUCAGAACCAUCAUCAAAAGACAAUGAUCUCACCUCUCGAGCCAAACCAUUUUUCCAACCACCCGACCAUGUCCCCUCCUCUUUUCCUCCAUACCCCUUCUCGGUUUCGCAAUCCUCCGCCUCGAAAAGCCUCCUUCCCUUCAGCCUGCCGCUCUCAAUGGCAGCCCUCCUCUCUCUCCGUAUCUCCUCCACCGCCAAGUCAUUACUCCUCACCUUCCACUCUCCUCCCUCUGAUGGAGAAACCCUAUGCUGAAGUGAACACAUGAGAUGCCUUGGGGAAGAAUCAAGCAGUUGGUCAAGAUUUUUCGCCAUUGAAAAACCUGAUGAGUAAUUUGUUGAAUAUCUCCUCUUGGUUUUCGGGUUUGAGUUUUUGUAAGAGUCCCAGUCUUGCUGCAGACUCAUGAACUGCUUCUGCAGUUUUGCAACCACGCUCUCUUCUUUUUCUUCUGCUUGGUGAGCUUUCAUGGUGGGGUCCUCCUUCAUGUUGGGUGGGGUCCUCCUUAGAGAGAAUUUGGUGGGUUAAUUUUGAUUUUAAAAGUCAGUCAAAUAUGACUUUAACUUGGAUAAGAACCAUCCACGUUCUAAUAUGACUUUACCGUCUGUUAAUCUGGACCAUUCAGUCACUAAUCAGAUUUUACAGCUUCCCUCCCUUUUCUGGUCUUGGGAUCCGAUUCUUUCUAUUUUCUUUUAUGCUUUUAAUUACUUUUACUUUUUAAUCAAGAAAGAAAGAAUCCUUUUUUAAUAGUGCUUUUUCCUUUCCAAUUGUAACUCAAUUUUGAGUGCAUUUUUAAUAGUGCUUUUUCCUUUCCAAUUAGAACUUUUCUCACCCCGCACAUUUUUUUUUUUGCAUGAGUGACCGUUCACUCAUGGGAAAAAAAUGUGCAAAAAAUUGGACCAUGAUCCUUAUUUCUCUUCAUAUCAAUCAUAUGAUCUUAAUGAUCGUAAAGAAAAUGAAAAGAAAGAAAUACUUCCAACAGAGCAGAUUGCGCCUUUUCUUCUAACUUUACCAGACAAAAUUGAUUGCUCCUUACCCACAACCCAUAUGACCUGAUGACUGAUGACCACAAACAAUGUGAUCACGACCAGUUUUUAUGGUCACAGCUCCAGGUCCCUACCCUCAUUCUAUAUAGCUCCACUCGACAAUUUUCAAUUUUCCCCUCAAAAGGUACAACACGAAAAAAAGCUACGCUCCGUCGAGCCGAAGAUUUAGCUAAUCAAAUAAACAAAGAAGCAAAUGCAUACAUCUGAAUCUGUCAACACAAAUAGCCAUAUCUCGGAUUUAACCGUCUUCGAUGCACUUACGAAUCAAGUCAAGCUGACGAACAAAUGUAAAAUCAGAAUUAGAAUCAUAAAUGUAGCGGUAGAAUUUGUUUGCAGCUACGCUGUAAGCAAGAUUAGGAUCCAUGAAAAGGGGUCAUCUCUUCUAAAAUUCUAUCACGAACAAGCAUAGUUGCGAUUAGGUAGUCUCGUACUUCCCAAAUUCUUCGAAAUAUCAAAGCUUUUUCCUCUGCAAGGCUGCUCGGCUUCAAGGGUUCCCUGAUAUGUCCUCGAUUACGCCCUUUCCAUCCAUAGCAUCGAAGAAGAAGAAAUUCUUGACAGGGUCUCCUUUCUCUGAUAUUGUCUUAAUAACCUCCUGAGAAGUUAAUGAACAAGAUGUCAAUAUAUGGUAACCAACACUUCCGCUAUAAUUUUUUAUGUGAAAGAAAAUGGAUAGGCGGAGCACCUGCCCAAGAAUCCCUCCAAUGAUGGGGCAAACUGGAGGAAACUCUCUUGUAUCCGUCACCAAUCUUUCCAGGAGCGCAUUUGGAAUAUGAGAUUCAUUCACUGACUGCAAUAUUGUCACAAAAGCAAGCAUAAGAAAAUGCACAACAAACGAACAAUAAAAAAUUCUGAGUACCCAUACCUGUGCUUCACAGAGUUCUUUUUUCAACUUCAGAACAGAAGGAAGAUCUGCAAUUGAUAACUCUCCAGGUUUACGUUGCUCGGCUUCUUCAAACCUUUCUAUUACUGCAAGAAAGGUGAGGUUAGUCUUGCUCAGUCUACUAUAAUUAUAACCGGAUGGUUUCACACGAGAUUUAUAAUGGAUUAAGGGCAAAAAUCUUCUUAAUGGGAAAAUUCAAAGUCAUUUAACAGUAACCAAUUCAUACAAGGUGUAGUAGAAGUAGAACAGCAGCAUCAGAGUAAGACUAAUAAGAAAGCAGUAAAUAAGAUGCAUCCUAUGACUGAGGCAUUCCGGUGGUAUUAAAAUGAUAUUUGCAUCACUCAUCUCUUUACCAUUACCAUUUUCGUAAUUGUAAAUCUUUUUAAAUGUAAGAAUUUCACUUCUCAUAUAGCAAGUUAUAGCUUUGACACUUUCAUGGAAGUACUCUCCAUGGCUCCAUCCCUAUUCCCUCAGUAAAACCAGGAGUUUUCUCACCUUCCUCUUUUACUAUAUUGCUAUAUUUCUUUUACACAACUUCUAUCAGAACAAGUAAAAAAAUUAAACAACAAUAAUUAAACACACCUCGCAUAGCAAAGUAUAGCUUUGAGAAUCUCCUGGGAAAUGAUUUCCAAGGUACUGAAAUUGAUUCCUGUAAUGUAAGAUCCAUAAGAUACUUGAUGAUUAGUACGCUAGAAAUAUUUAUGAUCAACACUACAACACAAUUUGCAUAAAAACAGAUGGCAAUCCUAUAUACAUGUUGUAUGAACAAGGGUUAAUACCACUGAAGAAUAUUAAUCUUGUGGUCUUAAUUUGAUCAGUCAACUAAGGUCCUAUAUUUAAUUAGCAUGAGCAUGAUAUGAAAUCUAAAAUAACAUUAUAAGAAAGAACAAUGACCAACUAAUCAUACCUCAAAGCUUGGAUACUGUAGUUCACAUUCGAUUGUUUCCUCAUUUUUUUUCUGUCAAGAAAAAACAAGAUAAAUUUACUUAUUAGAGAAUAUACACUGACAAUGCUAUACUUCUCCAUGUACAUGUAAUCUAAAAUUUCAUAGCCCUUGGAAACUUUGUUGAAGUUCUAGCAAUGAUGCUAUCAACUCACUCGACAUAAAAUGAACGACGAAACUGGGCAACUAAAAAUAAUGACAUUAGAAAAGUCUGAGAAAGCAAAUAAGAUGAUCACCUUCGAAUAUUUAUGGUGUUGCAGAUCAACAAAUAUUUCACCACAGGAGUCUCUACAAUCAACAGUAUAAAAUGCUACACGCUUUGAAGACUUUCGGCAUUUUUCAUUGAUCAAUUUCUGCAAUAGAAGAAUUGAGAUGGAAAAUAAGAAUAUGAAUUCAUUAAAAAUGGAUGUUUCAAGAAGGUAAAUGUUAAACAUCAAGAGGAUGGGUAUGCGUAGUACUUUAGUUGUGAAGGAGCAACAGCUGACAACGAUGACGUCAAAUUUGCUAUAGAACUCUACCCCAAAGCUUGUUAAGUCACCUGUGAGAUCAAGAUGAAGUAUAUAUUCUCAAUUUCUCUUCUCGCUGCUUGGACGAGGCAUUAGAAAGCAUUAUUUUUCUUGUCUGUCUUAAGUGGCAUAAAACGGCAUAGCCAUGCACUCAAAAAUGAUGUUCAGCUACACUAUCAUUCACUUGAUAGUGACAAUAACGAUACAAUUAUAUUGGAAACCGGAGGCAUUAGAGGGCAGACCUUUUUCUACAGAAACGCGAACCAUCGGAUUAAAAUCUUUCAGAGAAUCACGGCAAAGUUCAGUCAAAGUUUUCCCAGCAUACACACUUUCAUCAGAAGGUAUCAGAAAGUUGGCAGACAGCGCGUCUUCUGUCACUACCCGAUCAUCCACCAGUGUCAAACUACCAACUCCGGCUAGUACAAUGUUCUUACAAAACUACCCAAAAAAAAGGUCACAAAAAAUAAUAACAUGAAUGCAGCUUAAUAUUCUAACACAUUCUAUCACCACCCCAAAAACAAAAUCAUAUAUGAAGGUGUUGAAUUUACCUCUGCAACAGUUCCAGUUAUUCCACAGACUAAUACAUGAGCUUUGCUAAGUCUAAAACAAACAAAAAAACAAAAAAAAAAACAAAAAAAUGAAUAAAAAAAUAGCUCAAAAUUCCAAAUAUUUCUUUAACUAAUUCAUAACAAUUGUUCAUGAAAUAUAUUAAAAUUGCUUACCUUCUUUGGGCACCGGCACCCCAAACCCUAAUCUGGCGAUCGUACAGAGCAGUCUCCUGCUCAGUCAACUCCUCGCCGUCCAUUCCCAACCGCAACCUGAAACUUUUGGAAAAUUAAAGUUAAUUAAAAUUAAUUUCACAUUUCUAACUCAAAAAAGUUGAGAGGUACACUGAAUAACCCUAAAAAUUCAGUUACUUGCAAAAUAAUUAGUCGGUGGGAGGAGAAGAAACCCUAGAAAAGCUGAGAAUUUGAAUUGCUGAGAAAACUGACAGACAGUGACGACGAGGGGCUUCCGAAUUGGAAUUUCAGAGUUUUUUCUUUUCUUUUUUUUUACCCAACUUGUAUUGGGCCUUUUGUUGGGUUGUCAUGAAUUACCCAUUAGAUUUGGUUCGUACAAACCGUUCCCAGAGGCCCACGAAUUGGAGAGAAUGUCAUGUCUGUAUCUCCCAUCACGUAUCUAUAUGCAACUUUGCACAGAUUCUUGGCAAAGGCAAUAGAUUUCUUUCAUGUCAAUGUGGAAACAGAUACUUGAGUAGGGUCGCUUGACCAAGUGGAUAAUUAGGUAUCAUCACAAAAGAAUAUAUAUAGGUAUUAUCCGAGUUCACGUAAGUACAAUUUCUAACGCGUACAACCAAUUUUUUGUGUUAAGAUACCAUACUGUAAUUUUUCUAGCAUCAUUUAACUUAUAUGAUAAGAGAUGCAGACAUGAGUACAUGCACAUAUUAUGCACAAGAUUUUCUCUAAAAAUCAAUAAUGUUUGAUCACAUGCAUCCAUUUAUUGUCCCAUCGAUUUUUCCUUAGGAAAAUGACGAUAACACACAAAUAUAUGUUUAACCUGCAAUGCUAAUAAUUGCGCAUACGUUACAAUUUGAGUGGAUUCGUAACGCAUCAUGUUAGUCUGUUACGUAAUGUGCAACAUAAGUUGCGGACGACAUGCCUAUUAAACAUGGAAAUUAGUAGUAACUCCCUUGAAACAAUAUGAUUCGUCUUUGCUUCCUCCACACUGCACAAUAGCUCCUUUAGUCCAGCUCCUGCAGCAAAAUUACCGUUGGGGUAAAUCAAAUUGAAACCUGCUGUGAAUUUGUGAAUAUACAGUACUCACUUGCUUCCUCCAAAAUGCAUGACAGUGCUUUUAGUCCCACUCCAGCAGUAAAUUGUUCAGGUAAAAAGCAGAUUAAUCAUAUUCAAAACCACCGUGGAUCUGCUUGAUUGUAGCCAUAGGUAAAGUGCAAUUCCCAACUAGCCUCCUUCGGGUCUAGAAAGGGUGGAUAACCCUGAUUCGCCAUUAGUUGUGCCCAUUUUUCUAGAAAGAAAACCACUACGAAUAGUUAUAGUUGUGAUCGUAGUGAAUCAUAACUCAUAAACAUUUGACCCUGUUGGGGAAAACUACUUAAUAAAAGUUACCUGCAUGUUGGUUAAAAACUUGCUUUGGGUUUCUUGUCAUGGCGAGUAGCCUAAUUAUAGCUACCUUGAUCGUCCAAGCACAAAAUCCAGUGAACAAUAUGGAGAAAUAUGAUCUCAUAUAUUUAGUGAUAAGAAUUUCUAAAUGUGCAUAGACCAUGCAUGUAUGGGGGCAAAAAUAAGAUCAGCCAAUGUUUAUAUUCAUUCAGGCGUUAUGCAUUGAACUUUGAGUCCAAGAAUUUGAAUAGUUUGUGUACCUCCCAAUAUAUUAAAGACUCAAGCUUUGUUCUCAAUACAAUCUUAAGUGAUUGGUUUGAAAUGUAUAUUCGUCACAGUCGCACACACAUAAUUGAUUGUUUUACUUUUUUCAUACAAACGAACGAUAUUAUUUAGAAAAGGAAAGGAAAAUUUACGGAUACAGUAAUAAACGCUAUUUGCUACUAUAAUUACAAAUUUCUUGCGUGUACAUGCAUGGUUGUUAAUUGUGGAUUUGGAUCCUCUCCUGAGCUAAUGGAGAGGAUCCUUCUGACCCAUCAUCUUGGGCCGUUGGAUAAAAGGAUUUUUAUCCAACGGCUACAAACAGGGAGAUCCUUUUAAAAUUAUAAUAAUUAUAGUCGUUAGAUAAAAAUCCAAUAAUUCAUGAUUAUGAGUCAGGAGGAUCCUCUCCAUUAGCUCAAGAGAGGAUCCAAAUCCGUUAAUUGUGAUAUCUUGCAUAGUACAACGAGAAAAGUCAUUGUCAAAGUAGGGUAUAGAGACAUGGGCAUGAACGUGGCUCGGUCAUUGAACAAUCACCAACCAUGAUAAUUGCAAAAGAAUAUUAACUAGGUUUAGAAUGUAUGAAAGAUAAGUGAAGAAAAACGAUUGCAAUUAAAAAUAACGUCUAUUUUGAUGGGCGUUAAAGUGGUUAAUACAUAGUUAUUUUUUCGUGAUCCAUGACCAAAUGAAUAGAAGUUCACUUUUAAAGGACUCAAGAUAGGUAAAGAGUCCAAAAACACGCAAACGACGAGCAUAGAAGGAACGCCCAUAAGCAAUAUUACGGUCGGCAUCGUAUUAAGUACGCGUUACCGAGCACUUACUUGUUGACACAAAGCACAACCACCGCUCUUAACCGCCGCCGACCACUAUUCCUUGACACAAAACAGAUGAAUGUAGCUCAAAAAAACCAAGUGUCACCUAGAGAUACAAGCAAUAAGCAAAAGUGGGACCCCAGGCCUUCCACGAAUUUAGAACAAAGACAUAGCAACUUGACCUAGGGGAGUUCGUCAACUCAUUUGAUUUGCCGACCUCUAUAUAAAGGAAGAGGAGAAGCCUGGGAAAGUUAACUACUGAAAGGAUCUCCAACCGAUUGGGUUAAAGGGUCAUACGACUAAAAUAGCUUAAAAUGAUACGAAAACCGUAUCCAACUGAGGACUAGGCCAAAGGGUUCGUGGGCCCCACCGGGCCAAAAUUGUGCAAUCAGGCCAACCGGCUAGCCCAAACCAGCCAGCCUCGGACCGGUCCAAAAUUCAAACCCACGGCUACCUGGCGUCAACAUGAUGCUAGCUAGCUGACGUCAUGCUAACGCCAAGUGACUUUUUUUUUUUGGACAAAAUUUUAAAAAUAAAAAAAUAAAAAAUAAACAACACUAAACAACAUUAAACAAUAUUAAAUAACAUUAAACGACAUUAAACGACACUAAACAACACUAAACAACAUUAAACAACAUUAAAUAACACUAAACAACACUAUAACUACCUAAGCCAUUAAACAACAUUAAAUAACACUAAACAACAUUAAACAAUAUUAAAUAACAUUAAACUUAAACAACAUUAAAUAACACAAUCUCCACCCUAGUACUACUUGGGGGAGUUAUUCACUUUAGCGACACGUGUCACUCGAAAUCCUAUCCGAAAAAUUAUUGAGGUAGUUUAAUUUAAGUAAGCAUGUAAUACCCUGAAAAAUUAAAAUAUAUGAAUAUGUGGAGUAAAUUGAGAACAAAUAGAUUUAUGCUUAUGAAAAUUUGAUUAGAGAAAUUUUAGAAGUUUGUUUUGGGAUUUAUUAUAAUUUACGUCGAAAAUUUUAUAGAUUAGUGGAAAAGACGAAAAUGCACUAGUUGUAAGAUCCUACAUCGCCCAUGGGAGUGGAUCAUGUAAGCUUUAUAUGUAUAUUCUCAUCUCUACCUAGCACGAGGCCUUUCGGGAGCUCACUGUCUUCAAGUUUCAUCGGAACUCUGAAGUUAAGCGAGUUCGCGCGAAAGCAAUCCCAUGAUGGGUAACCCACUGGGAAGUUCUCGUGUGAGUUCCCAGAAACAAAAUCAUGAGGGCAUAGUCGAGGCCCAAACGAACAAUAUCGUGCUACGGCGGAGUUAAGCCCGGGAUGUGGUGAGGGCCCGAGCCGGGAUGUGACGAUUUGGUAUUAGAGCCAAUUCCUCGCUGGAAGUGUGCCGACGUCGGGCCCUAAGAGGGUGGAUUGUUAGAUCCCACAUCGCCCAGGGGAGUGAAUCAUGUAAGCCUUAUAUGUAUAUUCUCAUCUCUACCUAGCACGAGGCCUUUUGGGAGCUCACUAGCUUCGGGUUUCAUCGAAACUCCGAAGUUAAGCAAGUUCGCGCAAGAGCAAUCCCAUGAUGGGUGACCCACUAGGAAGUUCUCGUGUGAGUUCCCAGAAACAAAACCGUGAGGGUGUGGUCGGGGCCCAAAUCGGACAAUAUCGUGUUACGGCAGAGUCGAGCCUGGGAUGUGGUGGGGGCCCAGGCCGGGAUGUGACACUAGUUGACUAAAUGUAAUUUUACGAUGACGUAUUUUAUCCUCAUAUAUUUUAUCAUAUUUCUUGAUAUAAUUGGAUAGAGCUCGACCCUACGAAAGUGUGGGCAAAAACCGUUUGUGAAUCGAAGUUGAAACGAAGAAAUUAGAGGCUUUAAAAAAAUUUAAAAAAAAAGAGGAGUCUGGAAGCUGCUAGAUGGUAGUGUGAGAGAUGAGGAAAAGAAGAUAUGUGGGAGAGAAGAAGGGGAAGGGGGACUAAUCGAGUAAGGAGAAAAUGAGGGGAAAGAAGGGAGAAGUGGAAGAGAAAACCGAAUCCCCUACGACCCGCCAACCCGACCCGGCCGGAUUUCCCAAUUCCGGCCACCGUUGACGGCGGGACCGGUGGUAAAAUGAUCCAUUUAAAGUUUCAUAUUAAUCUUGAAUUGAGUUGAUAUUAUGUUAUACAUUAUGAAAAUGUUGAACGUUAAGAUGAUUGUUUAAUUGUGACAAGUAGUUGGGAAAGUUAUAUUAUACCUGUGAAAUUGAGAAAUGUUGAAUUGUGCGAAAAAGGCCCGUGGAUGUUGAUUUGGGCAAAAAGGCUUGUGGAUGUCGAUUUGGGCAUGAUGGCCUGUGGAAUGGGAGAAAUGUUUGUUUGGGUAAAAUGGCCCGUGGAUGUUUGAUUGGGCAAAGUGGCCCAUGAAUGUUGAUUUGGGCGAAAUGACCCGUGAAAUGUGGAGAAAUAAUUGAAUGGGCAUAAAGACCUAGUGUUUCCGGAAGAAAAGCUCCAUUUGUAGGCUGUGAGAAUGAGUUAUCAAUGUGAUGUGUAUCGACUAGGUAUAUUAUGAUAUUUUCCAGUUGCUAGUCACCUUUUGGGAUAAAAGAAAAAAAAAUGAUGAAAUCGUUGUUUUGCCAAUGAUAUUUAUGGCUGAAAAUUGUAAUAUUUACGAAAAUCAAGAUGAAAUUUAUCGAAUGGGGAAGAAAUUAUAAAUCAAAGUUAUGAAUUGUUCAUUAUAAUUGGAAUGGUGGAAAAAAAAAUCAUGGAGAUUUCUUCAUUUAUUGAAUUAUUGGUGGACAUGAAUAAUAGAAUGAGAAUUUGAGUCCGUAUAAUAUAAACGGAAACUGUGGAUUGGUUUUAAAUUCCUCAUAUUUAUACAGUGAUUAUGAUUAGAAGUGCCAAUGAUUUUCGUUGGAAUUUCUGACAUAUGGGUUGCUAAUUCUGUUGGUUUGACUUGAAAUUGUAAUAUUUACUUAGCCACUGAUGAUUAUGGCUUGAAAUUUUUAUAUUUAUUUGGCCGAUGAUGGCUACGAUGGAAUGUAUGAUAAUUGUUUUGCUAAAAAAAUAAUAAUAAUUAUGAUGUCUAGUGUCGCCAGUGAUUGUGGCUAGGAAUGUUGAGAAAGAAUCAAGGUAACGGCUAUGUGUAGCCAAUGAUGGUGAGUAGUUUUACUCAUGAUUGGGGUUCUUAUGCUAGCAUUUAUCUAGCCAAUGGUAGAUAUGGUUGGAUAAUUUGGUAUUUAUUUAGCCAACGAGGAUUGCGGUUUGAUGUUUGAUUUUUAUUUUGCCAAUGUGUAUGGCUAGAAUUUCUUAUAUUUAUUCUACCAAUUAAUGUGGCUGGAAAUCUGAGUAUAUGCUUGAAAAUCAUGAUAAUUAAUUCAUGGAAUUAUUUAUUUUGAGCUUGAAUAAAAUCGUAGAUUGAGGUUAUAAUUUUAUUCACUAUAAAUGAAACGGUGGGAUUAGUUCUAAAUCCCUUUUCGUUAUUCGAUGGUUGGAAAUCUCGGGGACGAGAUUUAUUUUAAUGGGGGUCGAAUGUAAUACCCUGAAAAUUUAAAAUAUAUGAAUAUGUGGAGUAAAUCGAGAACAAAUAGAUUUAUGCUUACGAAAAUUUAAUUAGAGAAAUUUUAGAAUUUAGUUUUCGGAAUUUAUUAUAAUUUACGUCGAAAAAUUUAUCGAUAAGUGGAAAAGACGAAAAUGCACUAGUUGACUAAAUGUAAUUUUACAAGGACGUAUUUUUUUUCCCUCCUAUAUUUUAUCGUAUUUCUUGAUAUAAUUGGAUAGAGCUCAACCCUAUGAAAGUGUGGGUGAAAACCGUUUGUGAAUCGGAGUUGAAACGAAGAAAUUAGAGGCUUGAAAUCAAAAAAAAAAAAAAAAAGGAGUUUGGAUGCUACCAGAUGGCAGCGUGAGAAAGGAGGAAAUUGAGAGACAUGGGAGAGAAGAAAGGGAAGGGGGGACCAAUCGGAUAAGGAGAAAAGGAGGGGAAAUGAGAGAGAAGUGGAAGAGAUAAUCGGAUCCCUUAUGACCCGCUAACCUAACCUAACCGGAUUUUCCAAUUCUAGCCACCGUUGACGACGGGACUAGUGGUAAAAUGAUCCUUACUUCGAACUCAAUCGUUCUCCUUCCCAUUUUCAUCCAAAAAAUAUUGAUGAAAUUUGGUGGAUUUCAAGAGAAACCAUAUGUAGGGGCGCGACGAGUUUGGCUUCGAUUCACCAAAAUCUGAAGUCAACACCGUCCAUCACCACCACCCGUAGUCUUCCCUCAAUGUCAGGAACAAAGCCCAAGCAAUAGUUGGAGUGUCGGAGUUUGUUUUGAGGUCGAAUCGAGAACACCUAUUUCUAGGGUUUCCGAUGGUCCAAGGCUGAUUUUCAGGUGUUUUCCAGGUGAAUUGGAUUUCGGCCCAAGUAUGAAAGUUGUUCCUCUCAUUGAACUCUACUUUCUUGUAAAAUUUGGUAAAUUUUAGAGUUAGUCGGAAAGUUAGGUUUUCGUUCGUCGAAAACGGGCGGGUGCGACGACACGUGGCCAGUGGCCCGACGCUGCCUUUUCAUGCAAAUUUUGAUAUUUUAAAUUCGUAGAUGGUACCCAUUUGAGGUGAUUCGAUUAUGAAAGUUAAUGUUGAAUAUUUCCAUUUCUAGAAUAUUUUCAGAAAUGGAUAAAAGAAUGAAUGGUGAAAUACGAAAGGCUUGAUCACGCAUAAAGGUUACAUAGGCAGUCGAAAGGCUUUAUCACACAUCAAGGGUACAUAGGCAGUCUAACAGGGGUUAGAUGUAGCCUUAAAUAAUUGAGAUUAAUCUUUUGUUGGGAAUUUGAUUGAAGAAGUGAAAUUUUGGUGAAUUAUUUGAAAAUUUAAUCUUAUGUUUUUUGUGAGUAAAUUCUAUUUAUAGAUUUUGUGAGUGUUUAAGAAAUUUAAAUAAAGAAUUAUGAUUAAUAGUAGUUAGUUAAACAAGAGUUUAAUUUGGGCCUAUCAUAGUAAUUAUCUACUGAAAUAAAAUUUUAGGGACAGGGCAUUACAAACCAUAGUAAUUCAAUUAAAAUAAUAAAUUAUGUUUGGCCUAUGACCCCUUGGCCCCCUCAGUUGGAGAUGAUUUUUUGUCACAGGGCUCUGUUUGGUCUAUGGUCCUUUGGCCCCCUCGAUUGGAGAUGGUAAGAAAUACGGUCUAACACUGUUCAUUAAAAUAUUAAUUUCUUGGAGGGGUAUAGUGCUAAGGGGAGCCCUCUGGCCCUCCUUCGAUUGGAGAUGGCAUAAGUUCCUGUAACAACCCUAAAACUACAUAGCAACAUUUCUCACUACUCUAGAGAUAUUGAUGAAGGCAUCAAAGUGGUUAGGCCGGUACCACACCGAACUCUCUGAUACUACUUGUGUUCAAUGUUCAAGUGAAGAGAACGGAGCUCUAGUCCUCGAUAAAUACCAGUUCAUAACCCUAAAACCCCUGGUAUUUAAGCCCUAAAAUCACCGUAAACCUUUUAAAAACCACCUUUGUUAACAUUGCCACAUUUUUAUGUUAGCAAUAGUAACUAAAAUGAUUUUCUUUCUUCUUCUAAAAUUAUAAACCUUUUGUUGCUUUAAACUAGUUUACCAUAAAGUUUAUAUACAGUUUCAAAAGAAGGCGAUUUGACGCAAGUUUAGACGUUGAAUCUUUAAAAGAGGGAGAUUUUAUAGUGUAACUGGUAAUUUAUUCCCGUCUCUAUGUCUCUCAUCACAUUCCUAUUCCGAAGAUUUGCUCUAAAACAAAGGGUAAGGAAGAAAGUCGGAAAUUGAGUUGUCCACAUCCGACAUGAAAUAUGAGCAUAUUGGCGUGGUCGCCUUCACAAAAUACAUUUUGAUGUGAAAACUUAAGCAUGCGAUAGUUAGAUGAUGUACUUUGAGAGGUGAUGGCAAAAUCUACAUGAGAAAUGAUGGUGGCAUGGCAAUGCCACCAUGGUGCCGACAUAUGAAAACUACACUUUAGGAUUUCUUCUUCAUGGUGGUGGAGGAGUUGAACGAAAAAAUGAUUGAGUGGUGAUAUAUGCACUAAAUUCAUGCAGACAACACGAUGUGAAUUUUUAUUACAAUUAGGGUUCUUUAGAUAUAAACUCUUAUAACUCUUAUUUCUUAGAAAGAAAAAAACCCCAAUAAUUAUAAACAUUCAAAUAAAACCCAAAUUUAGAAAAGACUCCCAAAUAGAAAAGUAAUUGACCUAUUAUUACAAAAUAUUUACAAUUUGUACCACAAUAUUCAAAAUAAAUCAAUAAAUGUUAUUACUCACCUUAAUUACAAUGAACAAAUAAUUAUUGCACAUAUUAUUACACCCAACAUAUAUAUAUACACAUUCAAAUGUCUAUAGGACUACCGUAAGCUCAAUAUAUAUAUAUAUAUAUAUAUAUAUAAGAAAAAUUAGUAUCUGGUCCCUAGUUACUAAUGUUCAUUGACUAAAACCUUAUUAGUUUUCAGAUUUUGAUCCAAGUCCCUAGCAUUAAUGUAAUGAUGAAUUUACAUAAUUUUUUUAAAUAAAAUUUAAUAAUUGAUUUAGGAUUUUAAUACUCACACAUUUAUUAAACUCCUAACUAAUUUUCAAUUCAAAACAUUUCCAAAAUAAAUAAAAAAUUAGAAUAAAUUUGUACCCAUUAGCUUUUUAUAAAAUAUUCUUCAAUUUUUUAAUCUUAUAUGCACCCAUUCAUGUAAUUUUUUUCAAAUUUUUAAUCUUAAAAUGUACCCAUUCUUAAAUAUACCAAUUUGUUAUAUGUAAAAUGUACCUUUUUUAUAUAAAAUAUAUUCAAUUUUUCUCUAAUCCAUUUUUAAACUUAUAUGGGGACAUUCUUUUCUUUUGAUUUGAGAAUGUAUCCAUGUCAAGUUUAAUCAAAGAAAUUUACUAAUGUUAUUAAGCCUAAUAUCUAUUACUUUUGUUUUGUGUGUGUGGUUUUGAAGAAUGUACCCAUGUUUUGGUACAAUAAUUUUUUGUUAAUUUUGAUGAAUGUACCCAUGUUUACAUGCGCACACACACACAAUAGUAUAAUUUAUAUUUUAAUAUUUUAAAUCCCACAAAUUAUGAGUUUUUAUUUAAAAUCUCAUUAAUAUAAACAACUAUAAAUUUCAAAUUUUAAUUUAAAAAAUAUAGUAACAUACAUAAAAAUAAAUUAUCACAUUAAUUUCAGGGAUUUCAAUAAAAAAUUGAAAACCAAUAAGGCUUCAAUAAAAAAAUAUUAAUAGCUAGGGAUCAUAUCCAAAGUCUUAUAUAUAUAUAUAUAUAUAUAUAUACAGUACUACAUAUAAUACUAAUUAAUCCACCUAUAUGUAUUUAUGAUGAGCAAAUAACCUUCAUUGUGUAGGUAUUUUAUUUUGUAUGUAUCAUCAUAUAUAUUGGCCACAUUUUGUUAUUAUAUGUACAAAUAAUUAAUAGGUAAACUAGUGUUGAAUAAAAUAAUAUAUUUUUUAUGCAGGUAAAUUAUUUUAUAUAUAUUAUGUUUGCUCUAUUAUGUAGGUAAAUUAUUUUGCAUAUAUUGGGUUUGCUUUAUUAUGUAGGUAAAUUAUUUUGUAUGUCGGGUUUUAUGUGGAGAAUAUUAAGUUUUAGGGGCUAAAGUUAUAUUUUCAAUUACAAACUUACAAUUGUUAAUUAAAUUCCAACUUGAGUUUUUUUUUUUUUUUGUAAAAAAAAAAGAGACCAACUAGUGGCUUCGUCAUAGCAGGCUACCCUUCAGGGGGUCGAGAAGAUUCACAGAAACAUUUCAACAUUCCUUGACCACUAUCAUUCGAUUUACCAGCGUUAAUAAUCGAACACAGGACGUGUCAUGUGGAGUAUGACCUGAAAUUCAUAUUAUUUUUGGUAACGUAUUAUUUGGUGCACGACUUUAAUGCAUCUAUCAUUAUUCAAAAUGAUUUACUUACAUUUCUCAAUACGUCAUCGUGACACUCUAAAUUAACAUAAUCAAUGUGAUUUGACUUUUUAUUGGUAUGAGAUGUUACGAUUGCAUAUUAAAUAAAUCUCUCUCAUGUGAUGACUUAUAUGAAACGGUUCAUUGUUAUGUGAUAUUCUCAUCUAAUAACACAAUAUUAUGUUACGUAUGUUAAUAUAUUAUUGAAUCCAAACAGUACAAUAGCGCGUUUUAUACAAGUUAGUUUUUCUCAUUCGGUGAGGCGACACUUGGCAAAUAAUUAGAGUUUGGUCCCAUGGACAGUCGCAAUACAGCUGCCCACACUGACAAGUUGGUUGUUGCAGAUUUAAAGGACCCCUGUCCCGCCUCUGUAGCAUGACGUUUGGGUAAAUCUGUGGCAUAUGACGUUAGGGUAAAUCUGUAGCAUGACGUUUUGGUAAUCUGUAGCAUGACGUUUUUACCCCUUCAAUAAUCUACACAUAUCAACUCGUUUGGAUUAAUUACUAAAUUAUCAACUCCUAAUUAGUCUUUCUCUAAAUUAAUAAAUUAAAAUAAAAAGUUAUUUAGUAUGUAAUAGUUUAAUAAUAUUCUUUUUUAUUUGUAAAUAAACUUUUUAUAUUUUAAUGUAAUAAAUGACGAUUUUGAAACUAAUUUAUUUCUCCAAUCUUUAAAGUAGAUAUAUCGUUAUAUACAAAAAUAAAAAUAAACAUUCUAUUUUUAUCUGUUUAUAUUGUUUACAAUUAAAGUUCCUCACAAAAACAAAUAUGAAGUUUGUCCUUAAGUUCAAAUUAGCUAUGAUUUUCAAGCUCUCAAUUUAUUUGGAUAGUAAAUAUGAUUUUUUGUUAAUCAUCUUGAGUAGCUUAGGAUAUACGGUAAAUUAUAUUUUUUCUCUUUAGGUUUGUAUUCAAUUGUAAUUUCAUACAACAUAUUUAAAACAUUUUUAUCUCAUAUAUUUACUUAUUAUUUUAUUUCAAUGUCAUAUAUCUGUCUCAUUUUCCGUCAGCUCCUCCGUUAUAUGUCUUCAGACCCCACUUCAGGCCCCAAUUGCACCUACCCGAUGAACUGCUAGGGUAGGCUUUCCCACAACAAAAAAGUGGCACGUUGCACUAAACUUCACGCGGUCACAUAGGCAUAUAACAACUUACGAAAAAUGUGACAGAUGUAUGACAUUAAAAUGAAAAUAAACAUUAGUAUGUGAUUGAAUUGUUUAAAAGAUAUUGUAUGAGGUUAAAGUAAAAUGUGAUUACCCUAAAACAUAAUAAUGUAAUUGAUUAAUAAAGGGCUAGUAAACGAUAUUGGUGAAACGGUAAAUUGUCGUAGUUUAUGAUGAAUAGUUUUUAAUUUUAUAAUUUUUUUUUUAACAAAUGAUAUUAUCUACAAUAAAGAGGAGGGGGAUGUGCUUAACCUCACAAUGAACCUAAAACAUCUCACUUACAAAUUAAGAGGAAUAUCACUAGACGUUAGUACUAAGUGGUUUUUUUUUUUUAACAAACUAUAUUUAUACUAAAAGGGAGUGCGUGAAUUUAACCUCAUGAUGAAAUAGUAAUAUAUGGUUCAAAUUCACAAAUAAAAUCUUUCAUUUAAAUUUACAGUGCAAAAUAUCAUUCAUAAUAAAGAAAAUAUUUUGGGUCAUGAAAAUUAAAGUUAGAAGUGAAGUUUAUGGAGUCUGACAGCGCCUACCUCCCAUUCAAUGGGCCUUCAAAGAUGCACACUUGAUUACAUGCAAGUCUCACGCGCUCGGCUAGCAACCCCUCUAAAGUCCAAACACCAAAAAUUCUAGCUUCUUGGUUGUCACAUUUACCGCGACCACAACUAUCGCUAUGUUUGAAAUUUCAAAGGUAAAUAACUAGUAAUUGGAACGUACCAACAAAAACAUGUUAUUUUUGUAUUACAUUGAAACGUCUCUUUCAUAGAGAAGAGUUACGCGCUCGGCUAGCAACCCCUCCAAAGUCCAAACACCAAAAAUUCUAGCUUCUUGGUUGUCACAUUUACCGCGACCACAACUAUCGCUAUGUUUGAAAUUUCAAGGGCAAAUAACUAGUAAUUGGAACGUACCAACAAAAACCUGUUAUUUUUGUAUUACAUUGUACCGUCUCUUUCAUAGAGAAGAGUUUUGGGCAUGGCAACGAGGCCGGAUAAUACUCAAAUACAUUGAGACAUGUUUCUCUGAAGAGCGUUAACUAUUCAACUGAUAUUAAUAUCAUAUGACAAUGCAUCUAUUAAAGAGUGAUAUGCAAUAUGGUACAAAAAUGUGAUCUCUUAGUUACUAACAGUAAUAUAGAUUAGCCUAAGUGACCAUAAUGAGUGAGAAAAUACAUUUAUGAUUGUGCUAAAAUUAGCUGAUUUUGAUUUUUCAUCUAGAGUCUAUUUCUCUAUCAACGAAAUAUAGUUUGAAAUUCAUUAAAUUGGUGAAAUUCUUCAUUGUCAAAAGGUUGGUGCUAUCCACACACUCCGCUUUACCUCCCACAUAUUCUUUUGAGUUUUGGCUGUUAAAUUGAAUGAAUUAAAAAAAUCCAAAAACAUAAAUUAACAAGAAGUAUAUGAAAAGUAAAAAUGGGUGCGUCAAUAUCACCACCUUGUCAAAAUUGUCAAUUUGAAUGCAACAAGACCAAUUAUUUGUAGUGAAAUGAUAUCAUUGACAUGGCACAUUCAAAUAGACAAAGAGAAUUUGAAUAAUAGACCUUUGGCUAAUUGACUCCUUGACCUAAAAUUGAUGUAAAGUAGUAAUGUAGUUAAUCAAAUUCCAUUGGAAAUGUGAUUCAUACUCAAAACUAGUCCCACAUUUUGCAUGUUUUGCUCUCGAAGUCUUUGCUUCCAAAUCUUCUUCUUCUUCUUCUUCUUCUUCUUCUUCUUCUUCUUCUUCUUCUUCUUCUUCUUCUUCUUCUUCUUCUUCUUCUUCUUCUUCUUCUUCUUCUUCUUCUUCUUCUUCUUCUUCUUCUUCUUCUUCUUCUUCUUCUUCUUCUUCUUCUUCUUCUUCUUUGCCACCUAACAUAACAUGGAAAGAUCCUUCUUAUAAUGUCCCAAGACAGAUCAGUACAUAUCUAGUUGACAAAUGUACCAUUAUUUUAUUUAUGUUUUGGCAAUUAAGGUAUGCAAUUAUUAAUCCAAGCUAUUAAGGACCCCAUUCAGUACUACCCUGGAGACAGACAGCCCAGCAUAAGUCUGGCACUAAUAAUUCUAAAGUUGCAAUUCAAAUGAAAGCAAAGCUUUUAGGGCCUUAGGCUCAUCUCAAGAUAAUACCAUACUGUUGUGUGAGAAAGUAAAAACAUACGACAUUAUGUUAUUGAUUUGGAAUAUUAAGACACUGACGUAUUCAGUGUAGGUAAAUACUUAGAGCAGUUCCACCCAUGUAGGGAGGGUAAGGGCAAGGCAUUUAACUUGCUCUUACUAUAAACUCGGAAUAGCACUUGCCUUUGUAUACUUUUAUCCGUUGGGCAAGAGCAAGAGCAAGAGCAAGGCAGAUUACCAUCACAAAUAUUUUUUAUUUUAUUUUUUAAGUUGCUUUGCAGGCCUUAUCCUCCACGUGUCAUGAAUGCCUUAUAUUUUCGAUCAAAUUUUCAAACACUCUCGUCAUGCCACAUGUCAUUAUACAUUAAUAAUGUUUGCUCUGAUUUUUUUUAUAAGAUUCUCGAUUAUUCAUAUAGUGCAACUUUUCCUUAUGCAAUCUUUUGGUUUCCUUAUAUAGUGCCAUGCACCAAACCCUUGAGCAAAGCAACAUCUUUCCCAAUCGACCAAAUUGCCUUCUUAGUUCUCACUCAUUUUUUUGAUAAAAAAAUGAUUUGGAAAGUGGAAAACAAAUAUAAAAGAUUGUAGUAAGAAUCGAUUGAGUUGUGAUGUGGGGAAUGAAGAAUAUGAUUGGAUUUUUAUAUAAUAAAAAAAUCCUAAUUUUCCUAUUUUUAGUUUUUCUACCAUGAAAUUUGGAUCACCAAGAUGUGCCACGUGGCACAACGAUAACUUCAUAAAAUAAAUUUAUUGUUGGAAAUCCAAUAGCUCACGAAUUGCCAUGCCAUAAAGCCGUAGAUGGUGAUUGAUGGACUGUUGUAGAGAGUACCACGACAACAGAAGUUGCCGGCCCACUCGCCAAGUUCACGAGUGUAUUGCCAGACAAAUAAAAAAAAAAGAUUAAACAACGUGGCUGACAUCAACCUUACGCCCUAACGCAUGACCGAUCAUAAGUUGCUUAGGCGUCGAGCGGGCUUCACAUGGGCCAUCACUUUCCCUCUUCAUCUAGGCUCGUUGGAGUAUUUCUUUGGAUUUGUACUAUAACUUUAUGGCCCCUAUCCUUGCCUUCCACAAAGAGGUGGACUUGCUCUUAGAAGGAAGAGUCAAAGAUGGGCUGCGAGUUUCCCACUCGCCAGGAGAGGAGCGUGGGGUGCACGAGAGGGGUUUGAAGGAAAAGGAUCCCAAAUGGAAGGACAUGCCAUGAAAUGUGAAACACAAAGCCACAUGGUUUGUUCUGAGCAUCCAUUCUUUGUACUUCUUUUUCUUUGGUUUGUAAAAGUCUGAAAGCCACAAACUAGCUGUCCCUAUUCUCCCUUUCUCUCCUCCCUCACCAAUUUCAUACAAACCCUAAAAUGUACAAGAAUAAAUAUUUUUAAAUAAAAACUCAAGGAGCUUGGCCCCUUCUUUCUAGUGCUGCUUUAAGCCCCUCCCCCCCCCUCUCUCUCUCUCUCUCUCUCUCUAAAACUUCACUAACAGAAUCCUCUCUCUACACUCACAUUACAUUAUCCACUCACUCACUCUCUCUCUCUCUCUCUCUCUCUACUUUCUCUUCUGUGUGUUGUGCAGCAGACACCUUCAAUGGCAUUUUGCUGACAGGUACAAUAAGUGAUUCUUCAUUUAUUAACCUACACACCCAACUAAUCAUAGCUUUAGCUUUAUAUUUUAUUUCCUUGGCUACCAACUUUACUAUUAAUGGAAUCUAUGUCAGUGAAUAAAUGGCUGGAAAACCAGUCUUCAUCUGCACCACUUAUCUGUAAGUUUACUCUCUCUCUCUCUCUCUCUCUCUCCUCUUGUUUGUUUUUGUUCUAUUUAUUUGUUUAAUAUGGUCGGAAAUAGUAAUGUUUUCCAUCUUAGAUUCCCAAUUUCUUGGAACAACACUGCUUGCAUAUCAUUAAUUUAUUGGAAAGAAAAAAAAGUCUCUUGACUUUCUAGUUUGGGGUUCUAAAAAAUUGCAAUGUCCAGAGCUGCAUUUCUUGCUUUCCUACUUUGUGUUUUCUUUGUUAUGGAGUCAAUUCUUGUUAAUUCUGCGUAUUGCUGUUUUGUAUGAUAUAAUAUAUUAAUACCCUUUUGAAUUUGAAAGUUCAUAAGCUAUUCCGUGAUUAGAUCUUUGCCUAAUUGGACUUCUGAUGUGGUUAAUUUGGUAAUUUUACUCUGCUGAUGCUGUUUGUACUGUGAAUUUUUGAAAUUAUAUUCUUAUUGAAGGUGAUACAAUUACAAAUAGCAAGAGAGAAGCUUAAUUGAGGGAAGGAGGUGGGGAAAGCAAAAAGGAGGUAAAGUAGUAGUAGAAGCAGCAGCUUUUGAAAUAAGUGCUUUUAUGGACUGGAACUUGAAAGCAGCUUCUUGGGAUUUGUCUGAACUAGAACAAGAAACCUUUUCCAACAUGGACACUACAGUAGAUGGGUCUAGCAGCCUUGGAGAUCAUAGGGCCUUGAAAGGAAGCAACUUUUCUGUUGAUUUGAAGCUUGGUCAGUUGGGUGGCUAUGGGAAUAAUGAGGUGGUGGAUAUGCUGAAGGAGCCCGUUCCGAGAACUACCUCAUCAUCUUCGUCUGUACCAUCAAAGAGGUCUAGAGCGGCUUACAGCGGAUCUCAGAUGGUUUCCUGCCUCGUUGAUGGAUGCAACUGUGACCUUAGUACUUGUAGGGAUUACCAUCGGCGGCAUAAGGUCUGUGAGUUACAUUCUAAGACUCCUCAGGUCACGAUUAACGGAAACAAGCAGCGAUUUUGCCAGCAGUGUAGCAGGUAUAAGAUUUUACAACAAUUUUCAUUAGUCUUGUAAUGUUGAUUUGCAUUUGAUUAAGUAUUUGCAUAUGUUGAUUUGCACUUCGAUUUUAUUUACACAAACUGCAGAUCUCGAAUGUUGAUUAUAUCAGAUAUCGAAUGUUGUUUUGAAAAUCGUUAGAUAGGAUGGCGGAAGACGAGCGAAUUUUUUUUGGAAAGCUGCUAAUGCUGUAUAGAACAAACUGCAGAUCCGUUUUUUUGUAAUCCUAUUCCGCUAAAUAAAUUCAGAGGUAAACUAACAAAUGUUCAACUCAUAUCUAUGUAUUUGUAGCUCCGUUCGGAUGAGUACCCUCUGUUCAAAGCCGCAAUCUGGCAAGGUCAAGUUCCUCACGCUUCGUGCGCUCUUUUGUUGCAGGUUCCAUGCUCUGGAGGAAUUUGAUCAGGGAAAGAGAAGCUGUAGGAAACGUCUUGAUGGACACAACCGGCGGCGAAGGAAGCCUCAGCCAGAACCCUUGUCGCAUCCGGGGAGUUUUAUGUCCAGUUACCAAGGUGAGCUGCAACCUUUCUUUGUGGAGAGCACUUUGUCGAAAUUAAGGCUGUGAAAGCAGACAUUUUAUACAAACAUCCACUUGGUUGAGUGCUUCAUCAACUAUGUCUGGUGGUCAUGCCACAGUUGAUGAUCUAGGGGCCACUAGCAGAUCCAUCUCUUCAAAUCUUUUUAUUUUUUAUUUUUAAGAUUCUUCCAAACUAUUAAUCUUACUGUCAAGUGCUGCUUAAUUUCUCUGCCGUCACAUCAAACAACCCUGAAAUUUCAAUAAAAACCUCGACAAAAAACCUCGGUUUCUUGAAUUUGUUUUAUAACGUUAAACACUUUAUGUCCACAAAUAAAAUUGUGCCGGCAUUAACACAAUUAAGACUAAAAGUUUUUAACAAUGUGUUGGUGAGUCCAAAGCGUGGAGGAGAAUCACUCUUGGUAAGUUUCCACACAACACAAAAUCACAUGCGCGAUCUCUCUUAAGUCUGAUUCUCAAAAAAUUAUCUCUCUCUGUCAUCACGAACACUUGUUUAGCACACGGGUCUACACUCCCUCGGAAACAGCAGCAUUGAGCCCAUCAGAGUUCUUCCCCAAUGGAAGUGUGAUAAACGCAUUGUCCCGGAACACUCACAUUCUCAGAGCAGUAAAAUACACCACAAUCCCCUCAAACACCUGAUUUAUUGGCAGUAGCAAAAAUUAUUUUAGGAUUUCAGCGUUGUUUCGGAAUGGAAUUUAGAACCUCAUUGUAGAUGAGGGCUUUAAGUGUCCGCAACAUAAAUAAUGGGAGUCUAGUGCGGUAUCUAUCUAUCAAUAUUCUUUGACUAAACUUUGUUGGUUUUCAAUUUUUGAUCUGAGCUCUUGAAAUUGAUGUGAUGAUUUAUUUUUAUUUAUGUUACUAUAUUUUUUAAAUUAAAAAUUGAAAUUUAUAGUUGUUUACGUUAAUGAGAUUUUUUUGAUUCAUGUUCUGGAUUUUAAAUAAAAACCCAUAAUUUGUGGGAUUAAAAAUCUUAAAAUAUAAAUUAUACUAUUGUGUAUAUAUAAACAUGGGUACAUUCAUCAAAAUUAACAAAAAAUUUUUGUAUCAACGGUAUUCUUCAAACCAGUGCAAAAAAAAAGAGAUAUUAGGCUAAUAACAUUAGUGAUUUAUUCUACUUGACAUGUACAUUUUCAAAAUCAAAGAAAAAAAAUGUAUCCAAUAGUUUUCCUUGAUUAGAAAAAAUUCAUAGAUUUUAUAUAAAAAAAAUUGAACAUUUUACAUAUAACAAAUUGUAUAUAGAAUUGGUCAAUUGAUAAUUUGAAAAAAUUACAUUGGUAUAUAAGUUUAUUGAAUUUAAAAAAAAAAAAGACUAAUGGGUACAAACUUAUUCUAACUUUUUAUUUAUUUUGGAAAUGUUUUGGUUAAAAUUAGUUCGAGUUUGAUAAAUGUGUAGUAAAAACUAUUCAAUUAAUUUUUAUUUGAAAUUUUGCUAUGUAAAUUCUUAUUAUUUGCAGGGACUUGGAUCAAAAAUCUAAAAACCAAUAAGGUUUCAGUCAAUGAACAUCAAUAACUAGGGACCGGAUACUAAUUUUUCCUACAUAUAUUAUUUACUUAUAUUGUAAGAUCUCACAUCGCCCAAGGGUGAGGAUCCUGCAAACCUUAUAUGUAUAUUCUCAUCUCUACCUAGCACAUUGCCUUUUGGGAAUUCACUGGUUUUGAGUUCCAUCGGAACUCCGAAGUUAAGCAAGUUCGGGCGAGAGCAUUCCUAGGAUGGGUAACCCACUGAGAAGUUCUCGUGUGAGUUCCCAUAAAUAAAGCCGUGAGGGCGUGGUCGGAGCUCAAAGCGGAUAAUAUCGUGCUAUGGUGGAGUUAAGCUCAGGAUAUGGUGGGGACCCGGGCCAGGAUGUGACAUAUACACUCUCCAACUAUAAUUAAUUAUAGACUCAUUUGAAAAUAUUUUUAAAGUGACUGAAAGUACUUUUGUAGCAAAUGUUUUUUAAACCAAUCCUUAGUAAAAAUUCAAGGAGAUCUUGGAAAAGCACUUAAAUCAAUUCACCAAAAGUAUUUUCAGUCAUUUUAAAAGCACUUUCAAACAAACAUGAACCAUGAUGGAUAAAAAUGCUUUUGCAUUCACAAUUUCUUAACCUUCCAAUCACUUUGCCAAGUUUGCAUUAUGAAAUUGUGUUGUUUUUAAGGGAGCAUUUUUGGUACUUCAAAAAAAAAAAUUAUGCACUCCACUCAAGUGUAUUAUUUCUCUUAAUUUAUAGAGAAAUGAUAAGCGCACACAUUUUUUCUUCUUCUACACUAAUUAUAUCCAUUAAUUUUCAUUUGAUUUAUUUAAUCUAAUGACCAGAAAUAAAGAAGGAUGUGCAAAAUGUUAAAAAAAGUGUUAAAAAAUGGGAUGCUAAAAUGCUUAUGAGACUUUCCGGCCCUGAAAAUGAUAGAUAACUAUGGUUUACCAACAAUUGUAUCUUUUUUUAGAAAGAAAAAAUAAUAAUGUAUUCAAUAGCCAUAGACUAUUAGUUAUCACCGCAGACCAUUAAUUGUUGUUACGAUCACUUAGUUUGUAAAUUAUAAGCCUUCUAUAUAUUUAAACUUGGUAGUUAAUAUUUCUGGCUUUAGUUUUUGAAACUUUAGUGAUAUUGAGCUAAUAACACUCAAGUGUUACUACCUUGAUUUGUAGUUACACUUGUAAAUGUUGGAUAGAAACAUGCAAUUCCAAAUCUUAAACCCCUAAAGCACAUAAUUAAUCCGUAACACGCAUCUAAAUACAUAAAUCAUUCAUAAUACACCUAAGUAAGCUCCAAUCACAUGUUCUUAGAGUUAUGUUCUUGUAAAUCAUAGUGAGAUUGAGCUAUUAGCACUUAAGUAUCAUGAAGUUACACUUAUACUCAAAAUUUAUGCACAAUAUGAGCCUAAAAUCAAAUUAUUUGUGUAGAGGAUUUAGACACAACUCUAUAAGCACAAUUACUAUUGAUGUAGGUUUUCUAACUUUCAAUCGAAAUCGACAAACGAGUUAAAACCAACUCAGUGAGUUUAGAUUCAAUUAUUAAGUUCUUUGACGUCCGUGACAAAAAAAACAAACGACUUUUAUUUGAAUUUAAUACGACCGGGUACGCAUUAACUGCGUUUCUGACAUUCAGGUAAAAACCGACAAACAACUUUAAGAAAAAAUCUGAGGCAAUUCAAUAUAGAUAUGGUUACAGUACAAUCACCAACAAUCACUACACGAGCACAAGCAAUUUGAACCGUUCAUUGAUGUAGGCUCCGCUUGAACGUACGACUAAGAAUAACCUAAUAACACGUGGGCGGCGCUCGUUCGUAAUAUACUGCUCACACCGUAGUAGUAAAUUUAGAGAAUCACAAACCCUAUUAAAUUUUUUGCUUUUCCUUUUUAGCUUCACAUGUAAUGGACUGUUUAAUUGGAUUGGUUUCUUUGCAGGGUAGAUAAAAAGUCUAUGGUUUUCAUGCAAAAAAGACAUAGUCUUUUGAUGCUUAACUCUUAAAGAGAUGAAAAUGAAACGCCUAUAUAAGAGGACCUCCCUCUACCACUAUCACCACAGAACAGAGCUACUCAGUAAGACUCAUGUUCUGUUCACAUAAACGAAGCCGAGGUGGUGAGGGUAGAUCAAUGGCGGCUGCACAGCUGAAAACUGAUCGUGAACAAGGAGUGUUUUCUCAAGUAGACGACGACAUUUUGCAGAACAUUCUGGGGAGACUACCGGGGGUUGCUUUCGCGUCAGCCGCCUGCGUCAACACAACUUGGAACAAGAACUGCAGCCACAUGCUCUCUCAUCCCAAAUUUGCUUCUGCCCUUUCUCUUAACUCCGACCUGCACGUAUGUCUUUAAAUACUCUGUUUUCCUAAAUGCUCUGUUUUCCUUAAAUACUCUAUUUUCUUAAAAUUCUAUGUCUCCUGAAAUGCUCUGUUUUUAUUUUUGACUCUGGUGAUUGUUUGUUUUUGAAGAAUGCGAUUGAUGAAGUUCUUGCCGAGAUUUUCUCUAAGCCAAUUCGACCGGACUUUGUUGUCGCAUAUAUUGGAACAAAUUUCAGCUUGGAAGAAACUCACCAACUUGUAAACUUUUAGUCUUUUUGUUAUUAAUUUUUCUUCAUAGUUAUUAAGUUAUUUAGUUUUCGGUUUUUAAUUAAUGGUUGUGAUGCAGAUUACUGAGAAGAUAGGCUCUAGAAUUCCGAUCAUUACAAACAGAGCCAUGGGACUAAUCAGCACAGAUGUCGAAACUCGUAAUCUCCGCGAGGCAUGUUCUUAAUUUUAUGAAACUUUAAAAGUUCAGUUAAGAACAUUCGACACCAAUUAAGACCAUGUUGAAUAUUGCACUAUAUGUUUGUGCAGGUGAACUGCGCUCAUGGUAACUCUGCACGGAACCCAGAAAUCAAUGGAGGCCUCGUCGUUUCCGUUGGAUUUGUGCCUGGCUUAAAAGUUGAAAUAUUUCCCCUACCGAGUCCAAGACAUGUGAGCUUUGUUGUUUUUUCAAUUUGUUUUGUGAAGAGCAAUUACAUGACAUGGAAGUGUUCGAUACUCAGGCACCGCACUUGCUUAUGAUGGAGCAUUUUGUGGGGGACAUUCUGAGCUAUUCGGGUCCUCUUCCGCCUUCAUGCAUGAUGAUGUUCGGGGUAAGUUGGUAUUCCGUCUUCUGAGUUUUACAGGCUAAAAAUUGACAGCUUGGUUUCCUUUUAUUUCUUCGAACUCGGUUUCUUCCUUUCCAUUGCUAAUUUUUGACAUGGUUGAUCUAGGAUAAACAUUUUGACAUGAACCUGGUUGUCGCAGCACUCGGUGAGUACUGUUUUCUUCUCUGAUUCCGCUAUUGGAUGUGAAAAUAAAGAACCUCGAAUAAUAAGUUUCGAAAAGAAAAACGGAGUUGCAGCUGUGAGAGCUCAAUUUCUUUUUCCUGCAAAAUCGUAGAAUAUUGUGUUGUAGAUCAUGUAUUUUUAUAUGUAAAAAACUUGUACAUGGAUCUUAUGGCGGAUAUCUUCCGUUAUCUUGCAGAUGCUAUUAUGCCUGACAAGACUGCCAUCGUCGGUGAUGCAAGUGCCUCUUUUAUGUACACUCGGAGAAAUGAAACCGGAAAUUACAGUAGCGAUUUGUUCUACAUUGCCGGUGCAGCACUCGUUUUUGUAAAGGAUCAACACAAACCUGAUUGUAUGUCCUUUAUGUCCCAAUCAACACACAUAGACACUCAGACUCACACACAUAUUGUCCUAUAUUUUCUUAAUUCAAAGUUCUGGUUUUAACAAAUCGUCAAUUUUAUGAGUAGACAUGGGGGAAAUUGAGUUCCAUGUCACAUUGUCGCCGAGUUUGAUGCCAUUCGGUCCUCAAAUCAAGACAAUAUCAUCUUAUGAGACGCCUACUCAUAGUUCAUGGAUUUCCGCUGUAAUGUCAGAGUUCGAAGGUGUCUUCAUUGAUUCCCACACCAUUCUAAGGGAGCUUCGAAGCCAGGUGCGUCAACAUGAAUAUCUAGACCGUUAUAUUGUCAAACUGUAAAUCUACCACAAAAAAAAAAUAAAAAUAAGACUAGACAUCCACAGGGUUUGUACUCUCAAUUCACAACUGUCAACGUAACAUGCUAGACUGUUAAACUCAAAACAGAUUAAUUUCGUUCUGACAAAAAUCCGUGUUGAUGCAGUUGGGCAUGUCGGACAUUUACGCUGGGGUCACCAAAAGAAGACAAUACCACAACGGAGCAGGACCACCAGUCUCCAUGACAACCUUGAAUUUUCAUGAAGUUAGAGGGUAAGUCAUACGAACUUAUGUUUUUGCCCUUGAAUUUUGUAGAGGUAUAUAUGUAUUUAUAUCUAUGUUUAUGUUUGAAAUUUGUAACAGGGGAUAUGGGGACUACAUUCUUGUUGAUGGUGUGGGAAUCCAACCCGAUGACGUCUUCUUCUUCUACCAUUCAGAUGCUGCAACUGCAAUGAACACCGUUGAUUAUGCAUCUGAUAACCUUCAAACUUUGGUUCACAAUGAUUCCGAUAUCCAGCGAAAGGUGUUCGGAGGGUUUAUCUUCUCCAGCAACAAACGCGGCAUAUCGUUGUUCAAUAGACGUAAUGUUGACUGUAAGCCAUUUGCUGACAACUUCCCAGGAGUUCCGGUAGCUGGAAUGUUUGGAAAUGGGGAGAUCGCGUGUGGUGCUUUGCUUGGUGAAGAAGAAAACCAAGAACUCGGUCAUCCUCGUUGCUGCGUCCAUGCUUGUAGUUCUGUGUACUUGGCCAUGACUUAUGUUCCUCCGCAAGCUCCAUAUUACUUGGAGUAGAUGUUUGGUCGUUUUUCUCCCAUUGGAAUAAAUAAAGUUGGGAGAGAUUAGGGUUCUUGUGUUGUUUUAGUUAAGGUGUUGGCAGAAGUUGGUGUUCUGUCCUAUCAUAUGUUGUUGUAAGCGUUUGGAUUAUGUCCUAGGUCUAAGGCAAGCACUUCAUCAUGGCUUCUAUAUAUAUAAAUAAGUGCUUGUAGUGCUUUUGUUGUUGGUAAUUUAAGUUUUAGUAGUGUUAUCCUAUGUAUCUUUGUUUGCAAGUCUUUAAAGUAGGAGAAGUAUUUCCCUUUUGUACAUAUGAACUGGGUUUACCCUAAUUAAUUUGUUGGUUUUGUGUUACAUUUAAAGUCCAACAGAUCUUGAACUCAACUGGCAUCGCGUUGAUGAUAAAUCAUAAGUUUACACUAAUUAACAAUCAAAACUUGGUUUAUUGGUUGUCAAUAUUUGACAAAAAGAGGUCAUAAAUUUAAAUCAUCUCACGUAACUUGUUACAUCGAUUAUAUGACCCGAAGAAGGGUUAUUGCUAAUUUUAGGGCUAGAAAAAAUUCUCGAAAUUCUCGAUCCAUACCGAAUCUGAACUGAAAUUAUCCCGAAAUUUUCGGUUUGGUUAUUAUCCCGAACCGCCCAAUUCGGUUUGGUAUUUGGUUUAACAUUUGUGGAUUUCGGUUUUCCCAAACCGAACCGACUUUAGAUAAUUACCUCAAAAAUGAGGCCCCAAGGAUUCGAGCCCCUAAUCUCCCCUUGGAGAAUCAUGGAACUUCACCACUGAGCCAACUCUCAAUUUGUCAAAUUAUAAUACAAAAAAUAUAUUUAUAUGCUUAAUAACUAUUAGUUACUCAUACUUUAACAUUUUCAUUAACCCUUGCUGCCUUCCAUUUUUCCAUUUAUGCAAUUUCAUCUCUCUCCUCUCGAUUUCAAUUUUCAGAGCUGCAUCUUCUCUCUUAAACUCUCUCUUUCUCUAGGUGGUUUUGCCACCAACACUUGACUCACCAGCUUUAUCUCCUCUCCUUUCACUCGCUUCUCUCUCUCUCUCAACUCUCCUUUCAGCCAUAUGGUAUUACUUUUUGCAGAUUCUAUCAUGCCUUCCAAAUUGUUCUACCAAUUUAAAAGUAAGUCAUAUUCUAUUCCCUUAAAGAGUUGGAAUUUAUGGUGCAACUACUACAAACUGGGGAUUUGGAGGAAGCUUGGGUAUCUUGUUUUUGAAUUAGGGCUCGAAUUAAGGAUUUACAAAUUGGGGAUUUGGGGAUUUGCCUUUGUUUUGGUUUGAUUUGGGAUCCCAAAAUACUGAAUUUUUUUUUGAGAAUUCCGAAAAUUGGGAAACUGAAAUUUUGGUUUCGGUUUCAGUAUUCAUAAUCUUGUCCUGAAAGAGUUCGGUUUGGGAAUCGGUUUGUGCUUUUCGGUUCGGUAUCCCAUACCGAACCACCCCUAGUUAAUUUGCUAUUAUAAUAUAAAAAGAAGAACGUAAUAUUAUACGAUCCGUAAGGUUUUAGGUUUGAUUUUCACAAAAAAUUGUGUCAAACACAAUUUUAGAGGGUGUAUUUAAUUGAGAUUUUGAAAUAUUAUUUUUGAAAUAUUUUCAAAAGACUUAUAAACUCAUGAUGUUUAAUGGAGGUUCAUAGACACCAUGUUAAUUUUAGAUGAAUUCACAAAAAACCGUAGGGAGAGAGACCUCAUUUCCAAAAAUCUAAAAAACAUUAUAAAGUCACUCCAAAUCCGUUAAAAUUCAUCAUCUUUUAAAGUAGUUUAAAACCAAAUCUUAUUUGAAUACAUAUUGAGUUUUAUGAAGUACUUUAAAAUCCGGAAUGAAUACACUCUGUUUAUACCAUACUUAGGGCCUCUGUAUUUAGAUCUCGUAUAAAUACUAGGGGGACUUAAAUGUAAUUAUGUAAUAAAGGAAGGGGACAAAUAUGUAAUAAGUGAGGAGCCCUUAUUCUAUAAAAUGACUCCUCACCCUCACAAUUAGGGAGGGCCAUUUCUUAAGCCCUCAUCAUCCUCUCAAAGCUCUCACUCUCAUUCAGAGCUCUCUCUCCCUCAGAAAUAUAAUCAGUGUGGGAGUAACCCAAACCUUAGGAUGAACCACGAUACAUCUUAUGUUAUUUACAUUUCUUGCAGAUUCACGGUCGGAUUUACGUUGUUUCAAGACCUCCAGUUUUUUUGCAUCAACAUUUGGCGCGUCUGUGGGAAUCGAUAUGAAAAGCUGUGUCAGUUCUUUUUCAUUUUUUUCACCUCCACCGCAAGAUCUGCAAAAACACAAAACUAAAAGCUCCAAAAAAAAAAGAAUCAAUCAUCAGAUCCACCGUCCACAACCCUAAUUCAAUCUCCUGAAAAUCUCUGAUCCCUUUCGCCCCAAAACAAAAGCUUUCAGAUUCUCUGCAUGUAUCGCAAUCCAUUCGAUUUUUGUAUGAUUGGAAAUCCGAAUUGAUGUGUUUCUUGUCGGAUCGGACGGUCAACGAUUCUUCAAAGAUUGGCAACAGUAAUGAACCCUAUGCCAAGUGCAAUACAAAGAAACCAUCGAGACCAUAUGCCAACCCACAACCUACAAAGAAACCUGCCAGAGCAGCCUCGAGAAGGUGGCGGGUGACAGCACCGACGCCAAGAACCUGAUCAAGGCCGGGUUCCAAGUGGCAGAAGACAAAGUUAACUCGAGACAAGCCGGGUUCCAGGCCGGGUUUCAGGAAGCUGGCGGUGAAGUUGCACCCAGACAAUCACUCUGCCUCCCCUAAGACAGAGAGAGACAGAGCCAUUGUCAGAUUCAAGCAGGUCUCCGAGGCCUACCAGAUCCUCAUCGACGAGCGCAAGUGCGUCGACUACAAUUUCUAGAUCUCUCUGCAGCUAAAACAACAAGAAAACCACCCCCAUUUGGAUGUUGAUUAAGGGCUUACAGAUUUGGAUCUUAUCAACAAUCAAGGAUGUGAUGCAUCAUUAUCAUCACAUGUUUGAGUCAGAUCACAAUCAGUUCAUCAAACGCCUCUUUCAUUUUUCAAAUUCUGAGCGAAGGCUCAUAUGCCCAAAAGAGCUAGACCCUCUACUAUCACCAACCAGGUAACCAAAAGUACGCCCAGUACUUCAAAAAUUAUUCGGCAACCUGCCGCUCUUACCACCAACCAGGUGAUCAAAAGUACGCCAAAUACUCCAAACUUAUUUAGCAACCUGCUGCUAUUACCACCAACCAGGUGAUUAAAAGUACACCCAGUACUUCAAAAUUAUACAUGAGCACUACUCAUGUCAAUCAUACAUAAAACAUUCAUGAGCAUCACUCAUAUCAAUCAUACAUAAACAUUCAUGAGCAUCACUCAUAUCAACAUUCAUGAGUAUCACUCAUGACAACAUCUAUGAGCAUCACUCAUGUCAAUCAACAUAAACAUUCAUGAGCAUCACUCAUGUCAAUCAGCUUUAAAAGCUUCAUUUACAAAAGCUCUAGCUUCAAAAGCUUCAUUUACAGAGCUCCAACUUCAAAAGCUUCAUUUACAGAGCUCUAGCUUCAAAAGCUUCAUUUACAGAGCUCCAGCUUCAAAAGCUUCAUUUACAGAACUCUAGCUUCAAAGCUUCAACUUGCAAAGCUUCACCUACAAAGCUUCAGUGCAUGGUCUACAAAGACCACCUCGGAACAACCGCCAUUUCGGCACAUACAUGGAUUCAAUUUGAAGUCUCCAGUCAACAGACUAUAUUGACCGAAGAUUUAGGGGACCACAUUAUGUACCAUAUAUUGGGCCUCAUGAAAAAUACUCGGGGGACUUAACCCAUUAUUCAUGUAUUGAGGAGCGAGCCCUUAUUUUAUAAAAGGGACUCCCUCACUUUCAUUAGAGGGAACCCAUCACUUCUGUAUUGAGGAGCGAACCCUUAUUCUAUAAAAGGAACUCCCUCACUUUCAUUAGAGAGCACCCAUCACUUAUGUAUUGAGGAGCAAGCCCUUAUUUUAUAAAACAGACUCCCUCACCUUCAUUAGAAAGCAUCGCCGCUAGCUGAGCAAUCGCCUCGCCGCGAGCUUCACUCAUAACCCAUCAUUUAUGUAUUGAGGAUGAGUUCUUAUUCUAUAAAAGGGACUCCCUCACCAUCAUUAGAAAGCAUCAACUCUAGCCCAUCAUUCAUGUAUUGAGGAGCGAGCCCUUAUUCUAUAAAAGGGACUCCCUCACCUUCAACGCCACAAGCCGAGCAGCCUUGCAACAUGUGCUACAUCUAGUUGAGCCUCAUUUCAGAUUGAGCACCGCCUCAUAUCGAGCAUCAGUUUAAAACAACAUCUAGUUACUUCGGCGCACACAUGGACUGAAUUUCAAGUCUCCAGCAAAAAGACUCUCUUUACUGAAGACUUGGGGGACUAUUGUUUAUACCAUACUUAGGGCCUCUGUAUUUAGAUCUCGUAUAAAUACUCGGGGGACUCAAAUGAAAUUAUCUAAUAUAGGAAUGGGGCAAAUAUGUAAUAAGUGAGGAGCCAUUAUUCUAUAAAAUGACUCAUCACCCUCACAAUUAGGGAGGGUCAUUUCUUAAGCCCUCCUCAUCCUCUCAAAGCUUUCACUCUCAUUCAGAGCUCUCUCUCCCUCAGAAAUAUAAUCAGUGUGGACGUAGCCCAAACCUUGGGGUGAAUCACGAUACAUCUUGUGUUAUUUACAUUUCUUGCAGAUUCACGGUCGGAUUUACGUUGUUCCAAGACCUCCAGUUUUGUGCAUUAACACACUCAAAUUCAUAUGAAGUUUAAUAAACUCUUUUAAAAUCUUGAUGAAUACCCAUGCACUUCCAUAAAUUCAAUGAAAAUCUUGGCUGAAUACGUAUGAAUUUGUAAACUCUUUGAAAAUUCUUUAAUCUUUUACUUGAAUAUCCCCACCCCUCCAAACGACUAUGUCAAAAAAAACAUUCUUUUAAUCAGUAUUUUGGCCUUUAAAUUAGACCUGGCAGUUUCUUACACGACACGAAAAUAACGGGUUUCGGAUCAAUACGAUAACUAAUGAGAUCAUUAUUGGGUGACCCGUUAAUAACGGGUAUACACGCGGGUAACAUGUGGGUAACCCAUUUCGACCCGUUAAGAAAAAUAAAUUAUAAUUUUAAAGUUUAAUUACUAAAAAAUUUAUUAUAAAAUACAAUAGCCAUAUUGUAUAUAUUGAUAUAUUCUAUAUUAAAUAUAUUUUUUUGUAUUAUUAUUCUACAUAAGUUUAAAAAAUUAAGUUUUAUUCAUUUAUUUAUUUUUAUUAUGAGAGUUUUUUAUUAUCAUUAAUAGGAUAAAUUUUACUUAACAUGUUGUUGUCCAAAAUUAAAAUCAACUAGUAUAGUCUUAGUAUAAGCAAUAAGACAUCCCUACAAGUAUGAAAAAUGUGAAAUAAUAUAUUAACACUCGUGAUUCAUCAUUCCUCCACAAGUAGAUAAUGAUUACACUUACAUUAUCGUUUAAAUUUUUAAAACCCUCCAAAUUGUCAUGAAUAGUGUUUUUUAGUGUAAAAGUAAUAAAAUUAAUAAUAAUUAUUGUAGAAGUGUAAAAACUGUUAAAAAAAAUAUACAAUCACUCGUAGUGAUAAGCUUUACAACUUUCGUGAAGAGGUCAACUGCGAAAUCCGACACUAUAAUCCAUAAACCUUAAAUUUUUAUUUAACCCUUGAUUGUCGUUUAGGCUUUAUUCUUUAUAUUGAAUUUUAUUUUUAAAAUUUUCUUUUUUGAAAACAUGAUCUUCUGGGGGAUGUAGGAAGAACGGUUCGGAUCUUUGAUAUCACGUCCCAAUAUUUACGGUUAAUUGAAAUAUGAGUCGAUGUUAUAUAGUUUGUAGAGACUUUAUAAACACCAAGCAAUAUUUAACCGUUCAUCUUCCUGUAUCCUCUAAUAGAUCAUGUUUUCAAAAAAGAAAAUCUAAAAAUACAAAAUUUGGUGAGAAAAAUGAAGCAUAAAUGUAAACAACAAUUGACGGUUAAAUUUUGAUUUAUGAAUUAUAUGAUUCUAGUGGCACAUUUCAAAGUUAAACCCUUCACGAAAGUUGUAAAGCUUGUCAUUAUGAGCGUUUAUAUAUUUUUCUAUAUUUUUCACACUUCUACAUUAAUGAAAAAACUAUUAAAGAUUUUACUUAAACAAUAGCCAUAAGAUAAAUUACAAGAGAGUGCUAAUGUAGAAAGCCUCAUUGAAAAUAUGAUCAACAUAACUCUUGAAGACAAUAUAUCAAGCCAAAAUUCCAAUACCGUUUCCUAUGGUGAUUGAUGAAAAUUGAAGAGUUUGAUUGUAAGAAAAUGUGCAAAGGUUCCAAACAUUGAAACAUAACUCCCUUAAUUUUGCAAAUCUUUUGAACAUUUGAUAUUUUGUAAUGUUCUAAUGUUUUUUUUUAUUUUUUAUUAUGCUCUUAUUUUGGGUAUGUAAAUAUGUAAUACUUGAAAGACAAAUGCGUUUUUAUGUUUUGAAUGUGAUAAUAUGGUAUGUAUAUACUUAUUUAGUAUUAUGUUUUUCAUUUGAUUAUUUAUUGGUUUAAAAUAUAUUUUCCUUAACGGGUAACGGGUUGGGUCAUAUUACUUGUUAAUAUUAUCGGGUCUGAUCAUUGUACCCGUUUAUUUUAACGGGUGUUACACGACACGACCCGUUAAGAUAUCGGGUAUGACACGAAAAUGACAUGAACACGGAAAACACGACACAAAUGUUAGGUCUACUCUAAAUACCAAACUUUUUUAUUGAAAACUGUUGAACAACAUCUCCACAUCCUUUCCACUCCCCCCUUCAUCCUCCUCGAAUUCUCCGCCGACUUCCACUUCUUCUUACAUCUCUCUCUCCCCCUCCUCCUUGCCUCAAAACCUUGACCCCAAACCCAAUCUUGGCCCCAAGCCCAACCCAAAUCCUUCGCCCACUCAUUGACCUCGCCGUCAUCGACCUGAUCAAACUCCGCUUUCACCGCUCUCGCCUUAUCUACAACAAGAACAUGAGCGUCCUCGUUCAGUGGAUCAUUCCCCAGCAAAAAUGCCUUUAGGAUUUGCUUUGUCGCCUUCCGCAACAGCUAAUCAGGAUCUGAAACUAGAAACCUAAAUGCAAGAAAGAGACAAAAGAAACACAAACUUGAUGAAGGCAAUAGGUCAUUCCAGACAGGCUUUUGUGGAAGAAAACUAGAAGAAGAAACAAAAGUUGAGAGCAGAGAAGGCAUUAGAUUCAUAGAAAAUUAUCAAAUGGUAAAGAUUUAAUCAAAUGGUAGGAAAUCAAUGGUCCGAGCAAGAGAGUUGUUUCCAAAAAUUCUUAGACCCGCCAUGCCCCGUUCCACCCUGCCCCGUCGCACUUUGACCUAUUUUGUGUAUAUAACAUUUGGACCUACACCGAACCGCAUGAACCCGCCCCAACCAGUGGAUCCAUGACCCAUUUUCCCACCGCUAGGAUGAGCUCCUCCUUCAAAUACCUCGUGACCUAUUUAUAGAACUUCGUAUUUAUGAUCAGAAUCGUUUGUGUUAUAAGUCAUGAUGUAAAGACCAUCUCUAAAAAAAAAUCAAUUAAAAUUAAGAAUGUUUGGUGAUUUAUAAUAUGAACGACUCUAUUUAUAAGCAUAAAGUUCUAUGAAUAGGCAAAAAAGUAUUUUGAGAAGAAACUUCACUUCAACCUUCAAGCCUUCCAUAUUAGUUUGUGUGAGUGUGCUACCUAUGUAUAGUAAUCAAGCAACUUAAAUUUGAUACUUAUAAUACUACUGCUAUACUAGUGUAAGUUCAAUAUUUGCAAAAGUCAUACUUUAGAACUUUCUAGUUUAUAAGUAUCAUACUCACGAGUUUAAUAAAUUAGUGUCACACGAAAACUUUUCGAAUGUGAUUCCUGUAUGAACUCAAUAUAUUGGUAUAACACUUGCUUUUUCUGGUCAAUGUGAACAGAUAACGCCUUCCACGCUAAACCAGAAAACUAUAUGUGAUACCAAGAGUAUAUGAAUCAAACUCCUAUAGUAAAUAAGAAAAUUUGAGUAUAAUGAUCUCAUGAGUGUGAUACAUAUACAAUAAAUAGCAAAGAUAAAGAAAAUAAGUAGCCGAUCAUUAAAUAAAGGAAAAAUUAAAGGUGGAUGGGUCCAUAUUUAAUAUAAAACCCAUCAUUAUCAAACUCACACUAUCAUGAAAAUAGUGUAAUACAUGUUAAACUCAUGGUGUCUGAUUAUGAGAUCAAAUCUUUUGCAUUUAAAAUGGGUGUAAUCUCUCUAUGGCUCUAAUAAUUGACGGACAGGUAUUUAAAAAUUCUUUUUUUUUUUAAAAUUUGUUUGUUAUUUAUUUAAUAUGUGUCAAAUAAUAAUUGGAGUUAGGCCAUACCCUUUUUUUUUUAACGAUAAAUUUUAUUAGAUUAAUCACCGACAGAGGUUGAAUCAACAUCAUCAUGUAAAGACCUGACCCAUUUUGAUCUCUCUAAUUCGUACAUGUAAUUCCACUUUUCCAACUGAAAGGGGUCCUCUCUGAAUUCCUUACACCUAAUUCUUUUCAUUAAAUAAUCCGGGUUCUUAAAAUACGAUCCAAUAAUUAUGAUAACUUUUAAAAUGAAUUUUUGUUUUUAGCCGUUGGAUCAAAUUUCAAUGUCCGGAUUAUUUGAUGAGAAAAAUUAGGGAAAGGAUCCAGAGGCUCCGGAUCCUUUUCCAACCACACCCAAGCGUCAAACUUCUACAAUCCAAAGUCGGCAGCACCUUUACGAAACAACCAGAGCUCCGAUGGACGUGGCAUCGUCGUCGUCGGCGAUAAAAACCGACACAAAACGGCCCCAUACGACGGCGACAGGGUUGUUUUCGCCGAUAAGCGAUGACCUUCUCCACAACGUCCUUUCGCGCCUACCCGCCCUAACCUUCGCAUCGGCGGCGUGCGUUAGCAAAUCCUGGAACCAAAUCUGCAGUCGCAUCCUCAAUCGACCGAAACUCGCCUCCGCCCUCUCUCUCCACCCCUCGCCUAAGGUUGGUUUAGCGUCUAGACCCCUUGUUUGGUUUCCGAGAAUAUCACAAGCUCAAAUUUUCACGCACACUUUCUCAAAUUUUGUGUUGGAAUUGACAGGUUGCUGUGAAUGAGGUUAUCGAGAAGGUUCUGGCCGAACCGAUACGGCCUCAUUUCGUUGUAGCUAAUAUUGGAAGUGGGUUUCGAUUGUAUGACAUUUCCAAGCUUGUAUGUGUUCUUGCUCUUAUAUACCCUUUAAUUAUAAUUAGUAUCGAAUUUAGAUAAUUUUUAAUUAAGAGAAGCAAAUUAUGGAAUUUUCUGUUGUUGUUUGUUUGAAAUUGCAGAUAUCGAAAAAAUUGGGGUCCAGUGUUCCAUUCAUCAUUUCUACUUCAAGUGGAAUUGUUGGAAGAGAUGCUCUGACCCAUGAAAUCAAAGAGGUUUGUGGUUGUGUUUUUCGGGUGUGCCGAGUUUUUGUGCGUUACGAUGUAGAAAGUUUAAUUCUUUACUAAUUGUGGGUAACAUUUGGUUGUUUAGGUUAAGUGGGGAGAAGUUUGUGGUGAUGGAAGUGAUGAAGAUUGCUCUAUACCAGCAAAGGAUGUGAACUGUGGCAUCCUUUUGACUGUUGGCUUUGUGCCAGGAUUGAAAGUUGAUGUCAUCCCGCUGUUACGAACAACAAAGGUGCCAAAUUUACAAUAAAACUACUACGCUGAUUUCUUUAAGAAUUCCACAGUGAUGGAUUUCGAAAUGGGAAACUUAGGACAUACAGUUUAUGGUUGUUUUUGUCAUUUUUGGGAAUUUGUAGAGUCAUUCAAGCUUUUCUGCUGUUUGAAUAAUGGAUUUUCAUGACGUGUAAAUUUUUUUUAAUGACAUCAGGAACCUCGAGAGGUGUUGCUUGAUAAAUUCAUCACGGAUAUUAUGGAUUACACAGCGUCUGUUUCAGAUUGCACAUCCCCAGUUGGAAUUAUGAUGUUUGGAGUGAGUGGUUGUCCUCACACUUGAUUGCCUCUCUCCCUCUUUAUUUGAAUCAGAUGUAGCUUUCCUUUACUGCAUUGCUAACAUGGGACAUGAUUGAUGGUGCAGGAUGGGCUUCUUGACAUGAAACCGAUUGUUGAUGCAUUGGGUGAGUACUGAGAAUAUAAUAAAAAGAAAAUAUUUUGUUUGAUAGCUAAGAAAAAUGAGGGAUGAUAUCUUUAUCACUUGAAACAUUAGUGAGAUAAGCCGCUGCUUCCAGAUUUUGUGUUGUGAUUAACUUUUCUGUUGCAUGCUCAUGCUGGGUCAAAUUUUGUUGAUUGUAUCUCAAUGUCUCAAUUUGUUGCAGAUUAUACUAUGCCUGCAGAAACUGUCAUUGUGGGUGAUGAAAGAGGUCGUUUUCUAUAUAGAAGUGAGAACGAGUCUAGAAAUGUCUGCGGGAGUGCAAAAUACUUUACAGACGCUGUUGCUCUUAUAUUUGCAAAGGAUAAAGGCAAGCCACAUGGUAAAUGUUUGGUUUGUUCAUUCAUUUAUAAAGUACUGUUUUGCCCAUAUUGUUUACAACGUAGUUUUAUGCUAAGUUAGCUAACAUGGAUGCCUUCAGAAGUGUCACAUACAAAGUAAAGAAAUAAAAGACGCAUCAUUUCUUGAUAGAUUGCUACUGUAGCCUCGCAAAAUUAGAGCUUCUUCUGAUUGUACGUAUAAUUUGCAAAGCCCCAUAGAAGAUUGGAAACACAUCCAGAUCUAUUCAUUUGUGAAGUAAUAUUUUUUGUAUUUAAUUUUUUUUUUUUUUUUGUAAACAUAUUUAAAGCUUUCAUGAUUUUAUAAAAUUUCUUGCGCUUUCAAAUUUUCAGUUACAGUAUAUCUCCAAAUUUUGGAACCGUGUCCUAUCAAAACUGCAUAAUUUUAAGGGUCUCAUAUUUGAGAGAUGCAUGCUAAUCUCUACUGUUCACGAGUGAAGGUUUUCUAUCACUCUUUUAUGCAUGUUAUUUUUUCUCUUUUCAAAUUGCUCUUAUUUUAGUAGUUCACUUUCCAGAUCUUGUACACCUCCUUAUAGGCUUGUACAGUUCUGUAGAUAUUUGCCUCUUAAUUUUCGGUUAACUUGUUUACUUCCUUCGUCCUGCUUUCAUGUGGAAACCUGGGCCCACUCCUUUUCACUUACUCUUAACAAUGUGUAUAUCCAUGGUGGCUUUCUUGUUCUGUAAAGUUAUAAUGUCAAACCAUCCAACGUGUUUUGUUAAUCUCUUAUUUGGUUUGGUAUAAAUGAGAAGGUAUUGGAGACAUUCAAUUCCAAAUUGCAUUGUCAAACGGAGUGUCCACAGUAGGUCCCCGGCACAAGGCUGUUUCUGUCAAAGUGAAUGAGUGUGAGCGUUCUACUUGGCUUACUGCUAGAAGAGAAGGACACCCUGAAAUUCUUGAUGGUCAACAAAUCCUUGAUGAUAUCAAUGAUGAGGUAAAACUCACAGUUAAAUUCCAAGUGGUGCAUGCAGAAAGUGCCAGUUGACUUGAAAUGUUUUACAUUCGACUAGUGAAUCAAAAAUAUUACAAGUGAAUUUCUAAAUCUGAGAAUUUUAGAACUGUUGAUAUAUCAUGCAUUCUUACAAGUACUUGUAUAUGUUUUUGAAAUGAAUAUGUGACAGUUAGGAAAUCAUGCUGAUUCUUCUGAUCUGUACAUCGGGGUUACAAAACGUAGAAAAAUCUCUAUCGGGUCAGAGAAGCCAAGGUGGAUUACGUCCUUGGAAUACCAUGGAGUUGUAGGGUAAUGCUCAUGACUACUUUCUAUAUUGGCUAGUAAAUUGUCUUAUUGUUGCUGCAUAUGUUCUUGUAACGAAGAAAUAUGAAUUCCUUAAAACAAGAACAUCCUUCACUGUGUCCUAUGCUUUGAUUUAUGGUUCGUCUGCUCAUCCCUGUCAAACUCCUUGCUCCAUCUACCACUUCACUGUAGUUGCUGUUGUUUUCCACAUUAAAAUUAUGAAUGGUACAAGAUCAUUGCCGGAAAAUCAAUUUAAAGAAUGUAAAGUAAAAGAUCUUAAUUCAGACGGUACUACAAUCUUAAUCUACAUAUAUUAUGUUUAUAUCUUAUCAUCUGCAUCUGCGUCUGCCUUCUGUGUUGUUGUGUGGUCUGGUCACUGGCAAUUAAGGCCUGGCUGCAGUAAAGUGAAUGAUUUUUGGGAAACAAGGAUUCUCUUUUGAUUUGAAUAUGUUUGAUAAUUUGAUAAAUCUUUAUGAUUUAAGUUUUAACACGAGGCUUUUCUGCAGAGGAGAUGAUCAGUACCUUUAUGUCAGUGGCGUUGGCAUAAAAACUGGUGAUUACUUCAACUUCUAUCGUUCAGACCCCCAAACUGCAUUAGCUUCAUGUAGCAACAUCUCUGCCAACCUGAAAAAAUUGAAGUUAGAAGAAAAUCCAAAACAUCGCCGUCACAUGAGUGAAGUAUUUGGGGGUUUUAUGUUCGCUUGUUGUGGCCGUGGUGAGCCGUUCUUUGGACGGACCAAUGUUGAUGGCUCUCCUUUUGUGGAGAACUUCCCCAGGGUUCCAUUGGCAGGAAUAUUUUGCGGGGGAGAAAUUGCACGUGGCUCUUCGAGGUUGACCGGGGAAGCUCAGAAGGAUAAUGAUGCUCGUUGCACUCUUCAUGUCUACAGCACCAUUUAUCUUGUGCUGUCAUAUACUCCAGCACCAGCACCAGCACCAUUGGAGCAUUAGAUGUUGCCUGCUGCUCGUCCCUUGAAUCUAUUUGUUUGAUAACCUUCUAGCAGCACAGAACUGUCUAUACGCUUAGGUUACGCGACACAGUCGACAAUUGAUGAACGGCCUGUAUGGCCGUAAUUUAAUUUGCCGGUAGGUGUUUUUUUUUUCUGCAUAGAACGCGUUCAUGCUAUAUAAAAACGGAUUAAUAUACAGUUGAUCCAGUCUAUAUUAUGUAAGAUUAUUUUUCAAGAAAAUAUAGAAAGGCAUGAAUGGGAAUGUAUACGUAUAUGUUGUGUGUAUGUACGCACAUAUACGAACUAAUUAGAAACAAGGGAAUCUGCAAAAACAGAACUGGUUAUAAACUUUUAAUCAAAAAUAUUUCUCGACAGACUAAAUAUACAAAAAACCUUAAGCUGAACAAACAAUAGAAGGCCACUACUAGUGCAUGUAUACGGCUUCUAAUUUCAUUUUCGCUCAAAAGUUUGAAACUAGUUUUAUUUGUGUAUGUUUACUUUAAACGAAACGCGAUGAAGUGAAAAGUCAACUGUGAUAUUGGCACGGCUCAAUCAAAUUAAAGGACCCAAAUUUUGAGAGAUUUUAUUUGAUUGAACCAUACCAACAUCCCACAUUUUUCAGCAAACACAAGAACACAGAACCACAAAGGCAUGAAUCAUCACUUCAACCUCCAUGGAUCAUAUCACUCUCUCAAAUACCUCCUUCUUUAUUUGGUUUUCGCCGUGACGCAUAUCGAUCGCCUUGGUCUCCGCCGCGACACAUAUCGACCGCAAGGCAAGUCGACGGUGCAGAGGGAAAAAGGAGAGGUGAUGGAUGUGGAGAAGCCAUUGAAGUUGCAAAUGGGAUAAGAGAAAGAGUGGAAUUUAUAGAGACGGGUUGCAAACAAAUAUAAGUAUAAAACGGUUGAGAUGUCAAAAUCUUUGUUCAUUUGGAAGAUGGAAUAUAUUAAAUAAAAAUUAGCAAUUUGGUAAUCCACAAUGCUUAGUGGUUUAUGACAUUAAAUUGUCACAUUAAUGCACAACAAAUGAUGCCUUGCCUUAGUCGCAAUUUCCUCCUCAUUUCUAAUUAUAAUGUUUCCAUUUUUUUAGCAAGUGGUACAUAGUCUUCCUCUUUAAUGUAUUAUGUUCCGAGUUUAAAACCUCUCGCAUUACUUUAGUUUAGUAUAACAAAGAGUUUAGUGUUCAAUGAAGCAUGCCAUUUUAUGCGCCUCAUUCCUCAUAGGAAGCUCAACCGCUUGCGGAGGGAAGCAAAUAGUGUUGCUCGCAUAUUAGCAAGGAUUGGGCUACAGUUGGAUAAUGUAAGAAUUUGGUUUGAUGAACCUCCUGAUGUAAUAAGUGAUCUUCUUUUUGAGAAUAUAAUUAAUUUAUAAAUCUGUUGGUGUGGAAUACUCUUUUUUCAUUCGACCGGGUUGAAAUUUUUCGACAAAAAUUUUAUUGAAGCCCAUGUACUCGCACUCUAUCCUCACCGUUUUUAUGCAUUCUAAACUUUAAUGAAUGAAUAUCGUACUUGAUCUCAAAAGGAUUUUCAUCACAAUGGUCUUUGAGAUUGAUCAAACUCAUCAUUUUGGAUCAUUACUUUCAAAAUCAAUCAAUGUCGUCCUUGACAUUCACUACCCCACAUCAAUUUGGUCAUUUCGUUAAGAUUUCGUCAAUUAUUCUGUUAGCUUGUAUGUGGGACCCACAAAUCCAAUGAAAUGAUGACACGUGGAUUACACAAAAUAAGGGUUUUAUCGCAAAUGGUCCUUGACUUUGAUCCAACUCCUCAUUUUUGUCCUUGAGUUUCAAAAAUCAAUAAAUUUGGUCCUUAACUUUCACUACCGCACAUCAAUUUUUGUCAUUCCAUUAAAAUUUCAUCGAUAUUUUUCAUUUGUGUGUUGAUGUGGUCCCACUAAUCCAAUCAUAUGGCUCCGUGUGGAUGAACUACAAGAAACUAUUUUUUUAAGAGUGAACCAACGGAUGAGUAUUCCGUGCUGACAUUUUUCUCACAUCCCACAACCCCAAUUGAAAAAAAUAUCAAUCUAAAUUGGAUAAAAUCCAAUCCAAAUUCAAUUCAAACUUGAUAGUAUUAUAACCAACUAGAGAGAAUGAGGAGUAGUUCAGGAGACCAAGUAGUUUAAUGGUGUCAUGGUGCCUUCCUUUUCUUUUGGAGCAUACCCUGAUGAAGACGACGAUGACUUUUUUUUCUUUUAGUUUUAGUUUUUAGUUUCUUAUUUUACUUUUAGUUUUAAAUUAAAAAAAAAUUAGUUUCUUAUAGUUAAUCCAUGUGGCAUCAUGUGAUUGGAUUAGUGCAACAAAAAAUAUUGACGAAACUUUAGCGAAAUGAUUAAAUUGAUGUGCGGUAUUGAAAGUCGGGGACCAAAUUUAUCAAUUUUUGAAACUCAAGGACCAAAAUGUGGAGUUUGGUCAAUGUCAGGGACCAUUUGUGAUACAACCCUUAUUUUGUGUAAUCCAUGUGUCACCAUUUCAUUGGAUUUGUAGGUCUCACAUACAAACUAACAAAAUAGUUGACGGAAUCGUAACGAAAUGACUAAAUUGAUAUGUAGUAGUGAAUAUCAUGAACAACAUUUAUUGAUUUUGAAAGUGAGAAACCAAAAUGAUGAGUUUGAUUAAUUUCAGUGAUCAUUUGUGAUACAAAUCCGAUUUCAAAAUAUAGAACUUAGAGUAGCCGAGAAUAUUCUAUGAAAUCAUUGUCAUCCGAUUUAGGUAUGCUCCAGUGAAGUGUUGAAAUUUAAGGUCUCCUUUCUGGUUGGUGGUUGGAAAAGUUGUCAUAUUCGCAUAAUUACGGCUUUAAAAUUGUAACCAAGAGGGGAUUAGAAUCACACUGAAAGUUGAUAGGGCAAAUUGGAAGAAAGUUGUUAGUUGAGACGAUAGUUACAAGUCUUUAUUUUUUUAAACGAUUGAUAUUUUACUUUAAACUAAUUUAAAAUCGCAGAGUAAAAAAUUCAAACUCGACUCUAUUAAAAAAUUACAUAUGUUAUAGACAACGUAACUACACUCAUACCUGCCAAACCAUAAGAUUUUAUUUGCCGAAGCCGUCUCAGUAUCUUUUCACUAGAGACAGAAACCCAUGAGGCCACGCACUCAAUGACUUAAACCUAAUUUCUUGUCCCAUUUUCUCCACGAUUUAGUGCAUGUCUUUCAAGGGAAAAUGAAUAUAUCUAAUCUAUAUCAAGCCUUAUUGAUAACGAAACAAGAUUUGACCCAACAACUACUUAUAAUCAAACUCGUGACCUAGUCAAGUUAUAUUACUUUGGCAUUGCUUUUCAAGGAUAUGAAAUCACGUUGUACUUUCGUUUUUGUCAGCAGAAUCGAACUCUUGACCUAGCCAAAUAAUGGUUUUUUCCUUUAAAAAUACGAAACCUUGCAUUGUAUAAUCCCACAUGAAUCGAAUCUUGCAAAGAUAUACGUUGUAUAUAUAACAGGGAUUAUUAUUCUAUAUUUAAGGAGAUUAAUAAACCCGUCGCAUUUAACAGGAUUUUUUUAAAAGUUCAAUAGAAAAAAAUUGAGAGAGAUAUCUUUUUAGUCGCGUGCGAGGCACAUCCCCUCACCAUACACUUGGAAUAUUUAUAAAAAGAGAUGUUAUCCCAAAUAGUUAGCAAUGUUGCAACCGGUAAAAUGUCAAACCUUAUUUCUUGGAAAUAUAUCGAUUGGGAUUUGUUUGGUGCCCUUUUCCAUCAAUCAAAGUUCAAACCAAAAACAUAAAAACAAGUUAUAGCCGGCAUCCGACCAAUAGGAAAAAUGAUGGAAAUUAAUAUACAGUCGGCAGCCGACAAAUGAACAAAACACUAAAUUUAGCCAUCUUUCAAUUUUUACUGGUCUCUUUUGUGCCUACUAAAUAUUUGUUGUAAUGCUUGCUAGGUACAUUUUAACAUGUUACAUCGACAUCACUCUACAAAUUCUCUCUUUUAUCGCUCAUCAAAUUGUAUCAGCAUAAGUCAAUAUCUGUUGACAUGUGCAUAACAUGAUUUAACUAACUACAAGCCUACAAAGUACUCGACGAAAUACGUUGGUGAAUAAACUGAAAAGAAAUAUUGAGCGCCUAGCACUUUGUUUCUAUCUAAAAAACUUGUAUUUAAACCCCCCAAGAUUCGAAUUCUGGAUCCAAUAUGGAUAUCAUAACUCUAGAAGAACAGCAAUGGUGAAUCUUUUUAUAUAUGGCAUCAAGUCAGCUACAACCACACACUGAGAUUGAGCUUAAACAAAUGGGGAUGCAAGUGAUCGGAGUUUCCUUAUAAGUGCCGGCCGGAAACUACGAUUAGAACAUCCGAUUGUCGAUUGAUAUUUCAAAACAGUACGAUCGAAAUACAAGGUGGACACCCAAAAAAGACAGCUCUGUCUCGGAGCUGCUUAUUUCCUUACGAGGAAAGCCUCCAGCUAAACGAUACAACGAAACAUGACGAUGAAACUGAUCAAAUGGAAAUCCCCAAAGAUUUCUUGAACUUUUCAACCUCCAAAUAUACUGUGGAAUACGGGAGGAAUUCUUGGAAAUAUUCUUUGCUUAGAUCGUUUAUUGCGACAGCGAGUUUUGGGAUCUCCAAGGUCUCUUCAUGUGUCAGGGUUCGGACAAACCUUGCCGGGUUUCCAGCCCAAAGUUCACCGGUUGGAAUUCUCCUCCCCGGGGGAACCACAGAUCCAGCUUCAAGGAUAGCGUGGGUCUCCACCAAGGAACCUUCCAUUAGGAUCGAAUGUUGCCCGAUAAUGCAUUCUGGCUCAAUUGUGCAGGACCGCAACAGACUGUAUGCGCCAAUAGUCACAAACCUCUCAAUGGAUGUCUCUGCUGGAAGUCCUGAGAUAGUGAAAGUGGUUGCGUGUUAUAAACUCAGAAAAUCCCAGUAGAUUAAUUAGCAAUAGAUCCCUUACAUUUCAUAACAGACGUGAUAUGCACGUCAAGAAAAUACAUCAACAACAAAUAACAAUUGAUAUACAAGAGUCAUAGUCACCUUCUAGGAUGCACAAACAACCGAUGUAUUUUUAAAAUGAAAACAUAUGCUCUUUAAACAGAGCCAAUGAAAAAGAUAGACUAGAUCAUUAUAUACAAGUUGAUGAAAAUUAAGGUUGGUCUCUGGAUAGGACCAGGAACAAUGUAGAGAUCAGUGGAAACUCGGCCUAAAACGAAUCAAGAAACACGAUGCUCUAGGGUUAUAUGCUAAACAUAAGGAAAUUCCAAAUUCUUGACUGAAGUGAAUUUACACCCCAAGUAUAAACCUAAAGGUCAAAAAGUUUCACGCAAGAGAAGUUGCGAGAUAUAAGUUCAGGAAUGACCAGAUAACCAGAAACACUCAGCUGUUUUAAAACAUUAAAUACAAAUGGCAAACUAAUCGAUAUUACCACUUUCUUACAUAUCACAUUCUACUGACCUUAUCCAUCACUAAUUAUCAGAACCUGCUGUUCCUCACAAAGAAGAGAAUUCCUAUAUUGUAUAAUACUUGACACCCAUGCCUAGCAUAUUUGUCUAGCCACGAAUUCAGGAAAUGGAGAAUGAACUAAGGAUAGUCUAAUAGAUGUUGCAUGGACACUCCGAAACCCCGAAGUAUCGGAGUGUUGGACACCCCGACACCCGACAUGCCUCGGACACGCCCCAGACACAGUUUGGACACGGUCCAGACACAGCAGGCAUUUUUUGUAAAUGUAAAGACAUUUUGGGGCAGUUCUGUAACUAUU
rnacentral:lncRNA from 1 species